rnacentral:lncRNA from 1 species
UACCAGUGCCGUGGCUAGUGCUAAGUUGGCGCCGCAUCUUGACAAGACGCGCCGACGCAAGUUGGGUCGAUCUGUCGAUGGCACGCCGCUAAAUUUGCACGCAUCCAAAUAGUACGAGCGUACACCCCUUGUUUUUUUUGUUCGAGCGACACCCCUUGGUAGUUGAUUCGCCGUAACUCGUAAGUGGUUGAUCCUUGGACGUGAUAAAUCUAUCGUUGCUUGGUGUAAAAUGUCCUCAUGUCAAAUGCUAGAUUGUACUGUACGUUAUUCCUAGACAGCGGAGCACCUUCUGUUUUCUCCAAAAUAUGUGCAUAAAUUUACACAACUUCUUGAAUAAGCAAUAUUCCUACGGUGUCGUAAGAAUAUAGUAGAUGGUGUGCAUUUGACAGAAAUGCAGUUGAUUUGACACUGUUUUUGGUGUCUGUUUCAAUUGCAUCUCUCACGGGUGCCAAUCCCACUUUUUCAACUGUCUCACGUGUUUUAAGUGCAUCGUCUCAACUGUGUUAGGGCAAAUUCAACGGACCGACUUAAAUGGACGACGAUUUUAUCCUUUUUCAUCCGUUUGGGUCGGCCAGACGGACACGAACAUCCGUUUUCGCAAAUGGAUCGGCGCAUGCGCCCAACGUUGCCGGACUCAUUUUUGCUGGCUUGCGAAAAAAAACAUAAAUGCAUAAUUAAAGAUUAAAAGCCGGCCAUGAAGCCCGAAGAGAGUCCACACGUCCGCAUUACAUUAAUUAAACAUAAAAAAACUAAAACUACCAGGGCAGCCCUAGGGGUCGNNNNNNNNNNNNNNNNNNNNNNNNNNNNNNNNNNNNNNNNNNNNNNNNNNNNNNNNNNNNNNNNNNNNNNNNNNNNNNNNNNNNNNNNNNNNNNNNNNNNNNNNNNNNNNNNNNNNNNNNNNNNNNNNNNNNNNNNNNNNNNNNNNNNNNNNNNNNNNNNNNNNNNNNNNNNNNNNNNNNNNNNNNNNNNNNNNNNNNNNNNNNNNNNNNNNNNNNNNNNNNNNNNNNNNNNNNNNNNNNNNNNNNNNNNNNNNNNNNNNNNNNNNNNNNNNNNNNNNNNNNNNNNNNNNNNNNNNNNNNNNNNNNNNNNNNNNNNNNNNNNNNNNNNNNNNNNNNNNNNNNNNNNNNNNNNNNNNNNNNNNNNNNNNNNNNNNNNNNNNNNNNNNNNNNNNNNNNNNNNNNNNNNNNNNNNNNNNNNNNNNNNNNNNNNNNNNNNNNNNCGUCGGCCCUGCGUGGCGCUUCCUCCUCACUGUCGUGGAGGACAGUUGCGAGCGCCGCCUCGUAGGCGGCCUCAGCCUCCUGGUCCUCGUCGCUGACGACAGGCGGGGGCGGCGGAGGGCCUCAUGGUUGCACUUCGUGCACGCCACGACGACGCUGCUCCUCGUGCUCCACCGCGAACCACACCUCCCUGUUAGGGGAGUCGACCGCGUACGUAGGGUCUCGUCGCUAAUUCAUCGUCAGCAGACGCCGCCGAUCGCGGCACGACUGGCACCAGAAUCCUCUCCGGAUCCAGAUGCUAGCCGUGCGGCAGCGUGACAUCGAGGUAAGGGAGCGGCACACGGUGCUCCGAGUGCCACCGCGCUUGGUGCACCGGGACGCUCAUGCGCUGGCGAGGCCAGUGGGAAGACGGCGGCGUGGAGAUGGCGCGGGGGUAGAGCGGGGCCUUACCCUUGUUUGGGAAGCCGUCGGCCAUGGUGUGCUAGGGUUUUGGUCGCCGAGGAAGGUGGUUGGAUGUGGACGGGCGGUGUUCUCGAAGCAGAUGGCGGAACCCACCGCACGCUCGGAUUAAAAAAGUCGGCCGCGGUCACUGACGCAUGGGCCCGCGGAUGGCGGCCAUCAUAAAUAAUGUUGACCGCGGUGGUUGGGGCGGACACCGAGGGGGCGCGCGCGUCCGUUUUGCGUCCGCGUCGACGCAUUUCAGUCCCAAAUUUGGGCCGGAAAUGGGUCAUUCGCGUCCGCGUUUUGGCAAUGGGUCGAUGCAUUGGGCCAUCAUUUUUGUCCGCGCCGAUCCAGACGGACGACGGCGGACGAAAUGGGUGGCCUCAUUGAAGUUGCUCUUAAAUCUCAACUGCAUCAUUACUGUUAAGAAACUUAAUGCGGAGCAUUUCAUUGAUCUGCCCUCAACACCUCGAGCUCAAAUUGAUCGUAUGAUAAGAGCUCGCGCAGUGUCAUCGAAACCGAUGUGACAUCUCUUCUUACCAAACCACCGUUUGAUUCAGUCAAGACAUGGUAGUUAUCUCAAGCGAAUACACUUUGAUACUCACGUACUCGGAGAAAGAUCAUGGAACGGCCACGAAGGAGAGCGAGGACAUCAAGCUCGGAAAGAUCAAAGAGAAGUUGCACACACGCUACAACCAGCAGACAACCGGUCCAAACUAGACAUCCGACAUCGUGGAGGUCAACUAGCCCGAAGGCCCAGUUGAACUCUACAACGUCGAGAUGACCGACGAGGACCGGAUGUCCGCCAUGUUCCAGUGACCAGUCGUCCGUCCGCCUCUGAAAAUCCGGCAUCCCAAUUUUCUUGGACAAAGUGUAAAUAAAGACCUUAAUUCCCAUCGCCUGACUCUUUCACCUAGCAAUCUUGUCUAGUUUCCUCACGUUUGUUCAUGAAUAUCUUAUCGCCCCAUACACAAAAGGGAUCGAAGGGUGGAUCAGUACCGCUGAUAUAUGUAUCUAUAGGCAACAAGUAAAUGUUAGAAGCUAAACUGCGAUUGCACAAAUGGUGUAAAAUACAACUACCAACGUUCCUAAGUACAAGUAUUUUUAAAGAUUUCAAUACGAACUGUAUAUAGACAUAGUUUAGAUUAGAAUGUAGAUUCACUCAUUUUGCUCUGAAUGUAGUCUAUAUUGAAAUCUCUAAAAAUACUUAUAUUUAGGAACAGAUGAUGUAUAAGACAUGGGAUGCAGCUAACCUCGACGGCAAACAAUAGCAUGGCCCAUUGUAGCCGUGUGCAAGUGCAUGGAAAGGCAAUGUUAACUACAACAUGGUUAACAUCCACCAAAAAUAGCAAAUGGUAAUAAAGCGAGAACAUGUGUAGUGAUAUCUUCAUUGGAAAAGACUAGCAUGAUAGCAAAGGGAUGGAUUAAAAAAUGGAUAGAAUUGUUUACUACAACAUGCAUGUUCCACUACAAACAACCAUAUAGACAUUGAAACAGGUACUGAACUACAGAUAGAAAUGAAAUUGAAAGAGUUAAACAUCACAAGGCAGGUCCUGCUAGAGCAGAGAAUGACCAUGUUGCCUAUAAAAAGGUAGGGAAAAUAGAUAAGACACGUUAGGCGUGUUUACUAUAACAUGCUUAAUACAUCAACCGUACAAAACAUGGUCAUUGCAACUUGUAUUGGUAAGAUUGAACUGGUGAGUUCAUACUUGGUAAGUCAUGUGGGGUAGUUGUUGGGGCACUCCAUAUGGGCAAGAGCCUAGCCAAAAUUGGUCGCAGCGAAGUUGAGGUGUUCCUCCGGGCCAAAGCAUGGAUGAGUGCCACUGACAUGUGUACCUACAAGAAGCAAGUAAAUGUUAGAAGUUUAACUGCAAUUGCACAAAUGAUGUAAAAUACUGUAGACUUGUGAUGCAGCUAACCUGGACGACAAACAACAACAUCGCCCGUUAUGGCCCUGCGUAAGUACAUGGAAAGGCAUGUUAACUACAAUAUAGCUAGCAUCCACCAAAAAUAGCAAAUGGAAAUAGAAUGGUAACAUCUCUGGUAUAUCUUCACUGUGGAGAGUAGGACAGUAGCAAAGGGACAUAUUAAGAAAUGGAUACAACUGUUAAUUGCAACAGGCUUAACAACAUCCAAGUCAUGUUUUGUAAGUUUGUAGCUGCUAUUGGUGAAAUUGAGCUGGAGAGUCCAUACCUGAACAUCACACAUUGUACAAUACUGAAAAUAACAAGGCACGUUUAACUACAGACAGCCCAGUACAACCAAUGAAACUGGUACUGAUAAAAAUGUAAUAGACAGAGUUAAACAUCGCAAGGCAAAUGCUGCCAUAGCAGAGAAUGGCCCUUUUGUCUAUAAAAAUGUAGGGAAAAUAGAUAAGACAUGUUAGACAUGUUUACUACAAAAUGCUAAUACGUAUAAAACAUAGACAUUGCAACUGGUAUUGGUAAGAUUGAAUUGGUGAGUUCAUACUUGGUAAGUCCUGAGGGGUAGUUGCUGGGGCACUUCAACUUGGUGAGAGCCCGCCCCAAAUCUUAAGAACAUGCAGUUAUGAGAAUUCCAAUGAUAUAGAGAUGUGAGACCUCUAUGAAUGAAGAACCGACAAAAACUUCCAACAUCGAAAACAUCAUAGAAGAUGCAUAUGGACUUUGUUUUCGAUGAACUCGAGCUUGUCAUGAAGAUGACCAUAAGCUCUAAAACUCACAAGGAGAAAAACCAAACAAGAACCAAGAUAUGAUGCAAGGAUGCAAAUGGUUUGAGCUCUCAACGAACUAUAUGAUCAAGCUACUCACUUGAGAGCCCCCUUUGACAGUUCGACAAACUAUCCUACAAUAGAAAAUCCUAUCAAGGGUAAACCUAUAGCUUGCACCUAGUCCUCUUGAGCUAGAUGAUGAUGCUCUUGGCUUCCUCAAGAUGGACCACCUUUCUUGAUUGCUCCCGCAUACUCACAAUGGGUGAGCCACUCUUCAGCACAUUCUUCACAAGUCCAUUUCCACCACAAUGGACGACAAGCUUGAAGCAUGAUAUCUUCGUGAUGCUCCACUUGAACUUGCACACCGCAAUCUUGAUGACGAUCACCACUUGAUGCCAUCCUUAAUAGGUUGAAUGAGAUCUUCCUCUUGACACAAACCCAUGGAAACACACCUAACCCCACAUAGAACUCUUAUGAAGACAUGGGUUAGUACACAAAAGCGUUAUGGACAGUGCUUACCAUACCAUGGGAUCACUUGAUCCUUCUCGAUACAACUUGUACACUUUGUGUGUUGAUCAUCUUGAUUUACUCUCUGCUUAGUCUUGAUCAACCAUGUAUCUUUAUGACCAAUAUUUGGAUAAUACUUGGAAUACCACCUUGGUCAUCAUAUAAACUCCUUGAAACCAACAGAUGGACUUCAAGAAGUGCCUAUGGACAAAUCCUUCGAAUAUAACUUAGGGAAACCAUUAGUCCAUAGGGAUUGUCAUCAAUUACCAAAACCACAUAUGGAUAAAUAUGCUCUAACAAUUGUUGGAAAUAUUCCCUAGAGUCAAUAAUAAAUUGGUUAUUAUUAUAUUUCCUUGUUCAUGAUAAUCGUUUAUUAUCCAUGCUAGAAUUAUAUUGUUGGAAACUCAAAUACAUGUGUGGAUACAUAGAGAACACACUGUCCCUAGUGAGCCUCUAGUUGACUAGCUCGUUGAUCAAAGAUGGACAAGAUUUCCUAGCCAUAGACAAGUGUUGUCACUUGAUAAUGGGAUCUCAUCAUUAGGAUAAUGCUGUGAUGGAAAAGACCCAAAUUAUAAACAUAGCAUAUGAUCGUGCCAGUUUAUUGCUACUGUUUUCUGCAUGUCAAUGUAUCUGUUCCUAUGACCAUGAGAUCAUGCAACUCCUGGACACCGGAGGAAUACAUUGUGUGUUAUGAAACGUCACAACGUAACUGGGUGACUAUAAAGGUGCUCUACAGGUAUCUCCAAAGGUGUCUAUUGGGUAGGCAUGGAUCAAGACUGGUAUUUGUCACUCCGUGUGACGGAGAGGUAUCUCGGAGCCCACACGGUAAUACAACAUCACAACAAGCCUUGCAAGCAAUGUGACUAAGGAGUUAGUUACGGGAUCUUGUAUUACGGAAUGAGUAAAGAGACUUGCCAUUAACGAGAUUUUACUACGUAUGGAGAUACCGACGAUCGAAUCUCGAGCAAGUAACAUACCGAAGGACAAAUGGAACAUCAUGCGGGAUUAACUGAAUCCUUGACAAAGAGGUUUGACCGAUAGAUAUCUUCGUAGAAUGUGUAGGAGACAAUAUGGACAUCCGGGUCCCGCUAUUGGUUAUUGACCGGGGAGUGUCUCAGGUCAUGUCUGCAUAGUUCUCGAACCCGCAGGGUCUGCACACUUAAGGUUCGGUGAUGUUUCAGUAUUAUUGAGUUAUGUGUGUUUGGUAACCGAAAGUUGUUCGGAGUCCCAGAUGAGAUCCUGGACAUCACGAGGAGCUCCGGAAUAUUCCGUAGGUAAAGAUUGAUAUAUAGGAAAGUGGUUUUUGAACUCCGGAAAGGUUUUGGACAUUUCCGGUAGUGUACCGGGAGUGACGAAUGGGUUCCGGGGGUCCACCAGGUGGGCCCACCCACCCAAAGGGUCUCAUGGGCUGUGGGAGGACGUGGACCAGCCCUUAGUAGGCUGGCUGAAGCCCCCACUAAAUCCAAAGGCGGAUUGGAGGUGGGAAGGAAAGAAACCCAAGAGCAGAAGGGAGGAAUCCUACUAGGUGUAGGAUUGGAGGUGGACUCUUCCACCUCCUCCACUUCGGCCGAACCCUUUUAGGGUUUUUUGGCUGCCUCCUCCCCUCCCUCCCUCCUAUAGGGGAGAGCUAACCCUAAUUGCCACAUGCUCCCUCUACUUCUCUCUAGAUCUGUUUCUCGUCUAGUCUAGUUCGGCUAUGCUUAGGCGAAGCCCUGCUGGAUUAGUUCACCACCACCACCGCCACGCCGCCGUGCUGGAGAACUCAUCUACCUCUCCGCCCCUCUUGUUGGAUCAAGAAGGCGGAGUUAGUCAUCGAGCUGUAUGUGUGCUGAACGUGGAUGUGUCGUUUGUUCGGCACUAGAUCGGGAUGGAUCGUGAUGGGAUCGCGGGACGGAUUGUGAUGAGAUCGCGAGACGGGCCGCGAUUUGGAUCGCGAAGAUGUUCCACUACAUCAACCGUGUUAUAUACGCUUCCGCUUAGUGAUCUACAGGGGUAUGUAGAUUCUUUCUCCCCUCUCGUAGAUGAUCAUCACCAUGGAUAGGUAUUGUGUGUGCGUAGGAAUUUCUUUGUUUCCCAUGCAACGUUCCUCAACAACAAUCUCCCCCAUUUUGGUAAUUGAUGAAAAUCAGUACAAGAGAGUUUAUAUAAGGAAAUAAGCAUAACCAAGUGCACACAUACAAAGCAAUAAUGCAUGUGUACAAGAUGUAAAUGCGUAAGCAAUAAAAGAAAACCCUAUAAGCAUCACCAAACUAAACUCUCUAAACUUCUCCUCCAUUGGCAUCGAUUGCCAAAAUGGACAAAAAGUUUAGAAAGCCAAUAUAGUAGGUGGUCCUCCAAAGUGUGUGUACUUCUCAACAAUAGUGCAAAGAAAUACACAAAUAAAAUGAUAAACGUUGGAAGAAAACAAACUAUAUCGAGGACCCAAAGAUUUCAAGAAGGAUUGUAUGUCACAAAGACAUACAAAAGAGAGAAGCAAGCAAUCAAAAGAUACCAAUAAGAACAAGCAGUCAUAUGGUCCUACGAACCACAUGAAAAAAAAUAUUAUGAUAAGGGAAAAGGAGUGUUUUAUCAAAACUAGAGAAGCUCCCAAUGAUUUGUGCACUAAUAAGAUUUUUUUUGUUUGAUACAAGUGCACAAAAUAGGAUCGUUGCUCUCCCAAAAUUAAUAAAAGCACACAACAAGUGCAAGGAAAUAGAUGAGACAAUAAGCAUAUCACUUGCACAAACCAUAUGGUUGAGCAACAUGUAAAAGAGGAAAUAUAAUAAUAGGCUCAACCAAAUUGAUUUGUGUGAGUCAUGGCAAGGCACUUGAGAAGACUAAGAUAAGGAUGAGCAUUACUCAUCAACAUAGUCUUUAAGUAAUGAGAAACAAAGUGGAAGACAUAUCCGUCCCACACACACACUACUAGCAAAUGGGUUCACAAGCUUACUAAUAAACAAAUUGAGAACCACACUUGUGACAACCCAUGGUGAAGAAGGAAAAUAAUAACCUUGUCAAGGGAUGGAUACCAACCAAAAUGUCAAAACCCUCGUCAAGACAAGCAUGAGGGAAAAUAAUCUUCACCACCAAAGAGUGCAUCAAGAUGCAAGGAUAAAAGAUCUGCACUCAAGACAAAUCCUUUCACGAAGCCACCAAAAACUGAAAAAGGAAAUGCAAUGGUGGACGUGAAAGAAAAGAGGAUAUCAACUAGAGAUGUAACUUCUCUCAUGUAUAAAAGAUUCUAGGUACAAGACAAUCAUGAUGGUAUAUAUCCACAAAGAAGGACGUACACACAAAAUGGUUACAAUAAGAAACAAACAAGAUAUCCAAAAGGAAGUCCUAAAUAUACCAAUAAGAUCUUUCCUUGAAAGCAUAACACAUGGCCUAAUAUUUUCUUAUUGUACAAUGUGAACUUCCAACUUAUGAAGAUCAAACACAUCCCAACUAGCAAUUAGACAUCAUCGUUCGGAUUUGAGGAAGGAAACAAGUACCACAAGAACGAAUCAAGAAAUUCAUGCCAUGAUGCAGCCUACGAAAGGUUGAAUGCAAGAAAUGUAUGCAUAAAGUAGAUACUUGUUACCAAGAUAGCAUUGGAUUGAUGUAGUAGAUAAUGGUUCAUCAAUCAUCCUAGCUUGGCUCCAAUAAGUCCAUGGUGUCAACACCUUCCUUGUAGGUGAGCCGAGCAUCCAAUGCAUCUCCAAUUGUUUCUAGAACAAAAACACAAACAAAAUGGUGUCCAAACUCAUUGGGACCAAAAAUUAGAAAACCAACAAUAUAUAGGACAAACUCCACAUAAAUAUGUGCAUAUUGAUAUGAAAUUGAAUUUCAUGCACACUUUAGCCAAUUUAUGACAAGGUGGAGUUUCCCCUAUAUAUCGAGUCAAGGAAAGAAAGCAUGCAAAAAAAAAAAGAAACUAUAUAUAUAUAGUAAAUAUGCAUGCUCAAGGCAUUCAAAAAAUCAAAUCAACACAUAGUUGAUAAGACACCAAAAGACAAGGUAUCAAGUGAAAAUAAAAUACCAAACGAAAAAUUAUCACUUGAAGGAUGCCAAUUAAAAGAUACAUCAAGGAAUGAUAUACAUUGACACAUGCCAGAUAAAAGGAAACAAGAUACCAAUUGAAGGAAAACAAACACGAGGUAUCUAGUUUCCAAAAGAGAGCUAGGUUCCAAACAAACCAAACCCUUGACAAAUUUUCAUGAUGGCACAAAGCAUCAUAAAGAGCAAGACUUGCCUCCCACCAACACACACUUGAUGGGGAUCAAAAGAUUUUAUGAUAGACAUAUAAAGAGUCUGUUCCAAAGAAAAUAGGAUAGCUCCCCCAAGGGAUGUGCAUUAUAUAGAAUUUUCAUUUGAAUACAAAAUGCACAAGAUGGUAUCAUCACUUUCUCUAUAUCUGUAUAAACACAAGACAUGUUCAAAGCAAUCCACAAGAGGCAAGGAAGACAAACGAUACAUAAAAUCCAAUGUAAAGAUGAUUAGCAAUUUCUACCACAUGGAGGGAACACUAGUGGAAAUCAGUUUUUUGCCGUCUGCUGGCUGAUGGCAAAGAGUGUCUUUGCCGUGUGCUGGCUGAUGGCAAAGAGUGUCUUUGCCGUAAGCUCCCACAAAGCGGAUGGCAAAGAAUUGGCUAAUGGAAAAGAAGGUCUUUGCCAGCAGUCAAUUCUUUGUCAUGUGCCGCAGACGGCAAAGAAGGGGAGAGCAGACGGCAAAGAUGCUCAUCUGACCGGGGAAACCUUAGGUCAAACUACACCCUUCUUUGUCGUGUGCUGGCGGACAGCAAAGAUGCAACACGCAGACGGCAAAGUAGACGAAUCUACUAACGUCCGUCCCAAUCCUCUGACCAUCCCGAUCCUGUCAAACGCCACUCUUCCCCCCUCCUCUCCCCUGACCCCCACCGCCGCCGCCACCGUCGCUCCACCGCCCCCGGCGCCACCNNNNNNNNNNNNNNNNNNNNNNNNNNNNNNNNNNNNNNNNNNNNNNNNNNNNNNNNNNNNNNNNNNNNNNNNNNNNNNNNNNNNNNNNNNNNNNNNNNNNNNNNNNNNNNNNNNNNNNNNNNNNNNNNNNNNNNNNNNNNNNNNNNNNNNNNNNNNNNNNNNNNNNNNNNNNNNNNNNNNNNNNNNNNNNNNNNNNNNNNNNNNNNNNNNNNNNNNNNNNNNNNNNNNNNNNNNNNNNNNNNNNNNNNNNNNNNNNNNNNNNNNNNNNNNNNNNNNNNNNNNNNNNNNNNNNNNNNNNNNNNNNNNNNNNNNNNNNNNNNNNNNNNNNNNNNNNNNNNNNNNNNNNNNNNNNNNNNNNNNNNNNNNNNNNNNNNNNNNNNNNNNNNNNNNNNNNNNNNNNNNNNNNNNNNNNNNNNNNNNNNNNNNNNNNNNNNNNNUGACAUAAUUAGCCUAUUUAGCUCCAAAAAGACAUAAUAAUCUCAAAAUGGCAUAAGAACCUUGGUUAGCUCUUUAAUAUUAUAUACUUAUCUUGUUUUCCUCUAAAAUUGACAUAAUUAGUCCAUUUAGCUCCAAAAAUACAUACUUAGAUAAUUUAGCUCCAAGAAGAGGAGAACAGGAGAAAUGAAAGGAAGGAAGAAGAAGAAGGAGAAGGAGCCCUGCUUCUCCUUCUUCUCUCCUCCUUAUUUUUAGCUUGUUUAGCUAAUUAUCCUCCAAAAUGACAUAAUAAGAUAAAAACCUUUGUUAGGUCAUGAAUAUUAUAUUCUUAGCUUGUUUUCCUAAAAAAUGACAUAAUUGGACAUAAUUAGCAUAUUUGUGUUGAUCAGGUGGAUUUACAUGUGACAAUUGUCUCGUCAUUGUGAGGUGUGCUGUGCGAAGACCUCCCCGUGCGUUGUACGAGCUCCGCCCCUGCAUUCGUGGGCCAGUACAAAUGUCAUCUCGUCCUCUUCCCUACAUUUACUUUGGAUCGGUUUUCGGAUAAAACUUGCUAGAUUUAGGUAAUUAAAUUAAUUUAUCAGUAUGCGUGAACAGUAUGCGUCUCCUGUUCAAAAGUGUUAAAGUUAUAAAUAUGCAUGCAUUUGCCUAUAUUUAUAAUCGUGAUUCUUUCGAAUUGUCUAACGUUAUGCAUGGACAGCCCGAGUAUGUGUAGAUUGGGUUCGUUUUCCCAUAUACUUUGUUCCGGAUUCGAUGCAUAAUUUCGUCAGUGCCUCCCUGUUGUUCUCCGGAUACACAUCCUCUCUGUUUAUUGCGGAGACGUGUAUCAGGAGAACAACGGGGAGGUGCUACCAAAAUUUUGCGUUGGAUCCGGAGCAGAGCAUGGGAAAACAAACCCAAUCUACACAUACUCGGGUGGGAUUAGGACCUAUCUUUACCUAUUAGCGUGUAGGUUUCAUGGACGUAAUAAAAAUGGCGAACUUGAUUAACUGAAGAAUAUAUAUGCUAAAUUAUAUAUAAAUAUAUUUCUUGUGUCUUUAGUAGCUAGGCAAGAUGACUGAUCGUUUGUGGAUGUAUACCAGUCACCCUAGUCAAAAAGAGAUGACGAAAGAAUGGUUUCUAAAGACCAAGGAAUUUGUGAAAGCCGCAUUUGCAAAUGGCCAGGAAAGAAACUAUUGCCCCUGUCCUAGAUGAGACAACUAUAAAAAGAUGACAGAGGAUGUAAUGAUUAAACACCUGCAAAGGAGGGGUUUUAAGCCUAAUUGUACGAUGUGGACAUUUCUUGGUGAGUCUAUAGAACGCACCAGAGCUGAGGUGGUAUGUCGUCGCACCGACCAACAUGGUACCGGGAUCGAAGACAUGGUGCAAGACUUUGAUGAUGCUCGGGAUUCGGAAGAUGAGAUGGAGGAAUCUGCAAAGGCCUUCUAUGAAAUGUUGGAGUCUUCAAAACGUCCUCUCCAUGCGCACACUGAGGUUUGUCAGCUGGAUGCAAUUGCACAAGUAAUGGCUCUGAAGGCUCAGUUCAACCUGGGAAGAGAAUGCUACGACGCGAUGAUGACACUAUUUGGACGCUUCCUACCCAAAGGCCAUGUCAUGCCUGCAAACCUGUACUAGUGGGAAAAAAUACUUCGUGUACUUAAGAUGCCCUAUGAGAAGAUAGAUCCAUGUGACAAAGGAUGUGUCUUAUUUAGGGAGGAGUAUGCACACUUGGACUAUUGUCCCAAUUGCGAGUCUUGCACGUAUGUUGUGGUAGACAACAAUAUGGGUGAGAAGAGACUGACCAAAAUCGCAGUUAGUAUUAUUCUGUAUAUGCCAAUCAUACCGAGGCUUCAACGUCUUUUCAUGGUCGAAGAGACAGCCAGACAGAUGACAUGGCACAAAUGGGGCAAAAGAACCGUACUAGAUGCAGAUGGGAAUAAGAUGGCGGUACACACAUCGGAUGGGGAAGCGUGGAAACAUUUCGAUGGAUUGCAUCAGGAUAAAGUGGCAGAUCCAAGGAAUCCUCGAGUCUGGGUCGCUACUUAUGGUUUUAAUCCCUUCGGCAUGACGCCAACCCAUUUAGCUCCAAAAUGAAAACUAAUUUAUAUUGACAACAAUGACAUACUUAGACCAUUUAGCUCCAAAAUGACAUAAUAAGCCCAUUUAGCUCCAAAAGACAUAAUUAGAAAUUUUAGCUCCAAGAAUAGGAGAAGAGGAUAAGAAAUAGAAAAGUGAAAAGAAGGAAGANNNNNNNNNNNNNNNNNNNNNNNNNNNNNNNNNNNNNNNNNNNNNNNNNNNNNNNNNNNNNNNNNNNNNNNNNNNNNNNNNNNNNNNNNNNNNNNNNNNNNNNNNNNNNNNNNNNNNNNNNNNNNNNNNNNNNNNNNNNNNNNNNNNNNNNNNNNNNNNNNNNNNNNNNNNNNNNNNNNNNNNNNNNNNNNNNNNNNNNNNNNNNNNNNNNNNNNNNNNNNNNNNNNNNNNNNNNNNNNNNNNNNNNNNNNNNNNNNNNNNNNNNNNNNNNNNNNNNNNNNNNNNNNNNNNNNNNNNNNNNNNNNNNNNNNNNNNNNNNNNNNNNNNNNNNNNNNNNNNNNNNNNNNNNNNNNNNNNNNNNNNNNNNNNNNNNNNNNNNNNNNNNNNNNNNNNNNNNNNNNNNNNNNNNNNNNNNNNNNNNNNNNNNNNNNNNNNNNNNNNNNNNNNNNNNNNNNNNNNNNNNNNNNNNNNNNNNNNNNNNNNNNNNNNNNNNNNNNNNNNNNNNNNNNNNNNNNNNNNNNNNNNNNNNNNNNNNNNNNNNNNNNNNNNNNNNNNNNNNNNNNNNNNNNNNNNNNNNNNNNNNNNNNNNNNNNNNNNNNNNNNNNNNNNNNNNNNNNNNNNNNNNNNNNNNNNNNNNNNNNNNNNNNNNNNNNNNNNNNNNNNNNNNNNNNNNNNNNNNNNNNNNNNNNNNNNNNNNNNNNNNNNNNNNNNNNNNNNNNNNNNNNNNNNNNNNNNNNNNNNNNNNNNNNNNNNNNNNNNNNNNNNNNNNNNNNNNNNNNNNNNNNNNNNNNNNNNNNNNNNNNNNNNNNNNNNNNNNNNNNNNNNNNNNNNNNNNNNNNNNNNNNNNNNNNNNNNNNNNNNNNNNNNNNNNNNNNNNNNNNNNNNNNNNNNNNNNNNNNNNNNNNNNNNNNNNNNNNNNNNNNNNNNNNNNNNNNNNNNNNNNNNNNNNNNNNNNNNNNNNNNNNNNNNNNNNNNNNNNNNNNNNNNNNNNNNNNNNNNNNNNNNNNNNNNNNNNNNNNNNNNNNNNNNNNNNNNNNNNNNNNNNNNNNNNNNNNNNNNNNNNNNNNNNNNNNNNNNNNNNNNNNNNNNNNNNNNNNNNNNNNNNNNNNNNNNNNNNNNNNNNNNNNNNNNNNNNNNNNNNNNNNNNNNNNNNNNNNNNNNNNNNNNNNNNNNNNNNNNNNNNNNNNNNNNNNNNNNNNNNNNNNNNNNNNNNNNNNNNNNNNNNNNNNNNNNNNNNNNNNNNNNNNNNNNNNNNNNNNNNNNNNNNNNNNNNNNNNNNNNNNNNNNNNNNNNNNNNNNNNNNNNNNNNNNNNNNNNNNNNNNNNNNNNNNNNNNNNNNNNNNNNNNNNNNNNNNNNNNNNNNNNNNNNNNNNNNNNNNNNNNNNNNNNNNNNNNNNNNNNNNNNNNNNNNNNNNNNNNNNNNNNNNNNNNNNNNNNNNNNNNNNNNNNNNNNNNNNNNNNNNNNNNNNNNNNNNNNNNNNNNNNNNNNNNNNNNNNNNNNNNNNNNNNNNNNNNNNNNNNNNNNNNNNNNNNNNNNNNNNNNNNNNNNNNNNNNNNNNNNNNNNNNNNNNNNNNNNNNNNNNNNNNNNNNNNNNNUUGUUGUUCUUCUUCUUCUCACUUUCUUAUUCCCAUUUUGCUGAUUGGAUGUACUACAUGCAUGGAAGCUGGCAUUGGAGUGCUUUAGUUCUAGUUUUCAUUUGAGUUGAUGAACAAUGUGGAACUAUAUGUAUAUAUGGAUGAAGAAUAUAUGUGGAACUAUAUGUAUAUGUAUCUAUGCAUGAAACUUUGUAUAUGUUGGUUCUUUCGAUGUAUGGGAUGUACAUUGAUGAACAAAUGGCAUUGAUGAACUUUAUAUGUAUAUCAUAUAUGUGUUUUGACCUAUAUAUCAUAUAUAUGCUAUGAAUUAUAUAUAUAUGUUGCUGCGAAAUAGAAAAAAUAAACAAAAAUGUGACAAUAUGGGCUCUUUGCCGUCUGCCAGCUGAUGGCAAAGGCCUUUCCCGUCAGUUGCCUGACAGCAAAGGUGCCACGUGGCACCUAGCUGUGCAACUUGGGAGCAGCAGGAGCUGGCCCAUAUAGGCUCUUUGCCGUCCGCGUCCUUGGGAGGCUGACGGCAAAGCAUACAAUGGCACAUGGCAAAGAAGCCGACAUGCGCUGGCCCAACAUUGUGCUGGCCCAUAGAAGCAGACGGCAAAGAGGGGGAGGGAAGCUGACGGCAAAGCCUCCGUUAGCCCUAACGGAGGCGUCUCCUGUCGGCUGCCGUCUCAAUCUCUUUGCUGACUGCUCCGUGUCUGACACAGACGGCAAAGAGCUUUGUCGUCCACUUAGGGUAGGAAGACGGCAAAGAAGCUACCAUGCCGUCGUAGGCUGACGCAGAAUCUUUGCCGACAGGUGGCAGCCGGCAAAGAUCAUUGCCGUCGGUGUGGACCUCUUUGCCGUCUAUGAUGGAUGACGGCAAAGAAGCUGAUUCCUGUAGUGGAAUAGCAAUUGUCAAAGGACAAGAAGUAUUUGGAAACAAUUCCCAUUGGUAGAUUGCAAAAAUAUCCAACAUCAUCUUUACUCCUAAAACGCAAGCAAAUGACACUUGUAGAGCCAACAUGACACCUAGGAACAAGAUAAUUUACAAUAUCAACACUACAUGUCAAUACCUCAAAUAUACACAUUUUCUAGGCUUGUAAUAUGCACAUAGCAUAUUACUCCCCCAUAAUGUGAUUACCCAACAUUUAUUAGCAAGUGGCAAACGAAAACCAACAAGAGAUAAUUAAUGGCCAUUUAGAAUUUGAAUUUCUCAUGAGUAGGACAUACCACAUAGAGACUAGAUAAACAUGUAAUAACAAUACUAAGUGGUAUUACUCAUGUAUACACAUUUACAGGAUUGUGAGGUGCGCAAAGCACAUCACUUCCACACAAUGGGAUAAUCCAUUAAUCCCUCAAAAGGGACAACAUAGAUACAAACAGAAUGCAAAAAGGCUCAACACAAGACUCACAUAUACAUGAUGUGCAAACCAAUAUACACAUACUUGAUUACUCAAGAUAGGCAAGUUGGAAGCACAACAUAUACACACACAUAAACGGUACAAAACCACAACAUGCAAAGGGUCAAGUAACUAACAAUGUAAACAAUUUAAGUACAAGUUACCGUAAGGAGGCACAUUGGAUAUAAGAUAGAAACUCGAUAAUAUAAAUGACUUAGCUUGAGAUAAUAUGAAUGAUGAAGACCUCUUAAUUCUUCAUUAUGUAUCCCAGUCUCCAAUGUCCUCCAGUAUCACCUAUUGAUCAAGUUUGAGCUUGUUGGUCCCCAACCAUGUUGGGUCCGAAGAGGUUAGUCACAAUAGGCUUGGCUACCCAAAUGGUUCUUUUCUUGACACGACUUUGAGUACCAAAAAACUUGGCAAACACAUUGCCAACCUUAUCCUUACCAAGAGAAUAGAUAUCAUCAAUAAUGAUUGGGUUGGACAAAUUACCUCUCAUGCAAGAACAAGCGAAGUGACCCUUCUCACGACAUAAGUAGCAACAUCUACCCUUUACUUUCUUCCCAAUUGAUUUCUCAACUUGAGGAGUGUUGGCUUGAGUCUUCUUGGGGAGAGGCCUUUCUUCAACUUGUGGUUGAGUAUGUGUUUGAACUUGUGGCCGCUUUCCUUGUUGCUUGUGACUUUGUGGCUUCUUCUUUAAUGGGCAAGAUCUAACAUGGUGCCCUUCAAUUUUGCACUUGAAGCAAACAAUCUUGGCCGAAUUCUUGACUUUUUCUUGGGCCUUCUUCUUUAAGCUUUUGGACUUCUUCUUAUUGUUGGAAUUAAAUCCAAGUCCACCUUUUUCAUCUCGCGAUUUUUUCCCACACAAGGUAUUUUUAAGUGUGUACUGAUACGUCUCCGUCGUAUCUACUUUUCCGAACUCUUUUGCCCUUGUUUUGGACUCUAAUUUGCAUGAUUUGAAUGGAACUAACCUGGACUAACGCUGUUUUCAGCAGAAUUGCCAUGGUGUUGUUUUUCCGCACAAAUAAAAGUUCUCGGAAUGACCUAAAAAUUCACAGAGAUUUUUUCUGGAAUUUAUGAAAAAUACUGACGCAAGAAUCAGCAGAGGAAGUGGAGCCGUGAGCCCACAAGCCCACCAGGCGCGGGUCCCCCUGGCCGCGCGUGGCAAGCUUGUGGGGCCCACAAAACACCACCGCCUCCAAAUCCAGCUCUAUUUAGUCCGUCUCCUCCAGGAAAAAUCAAGGAGAAGAGUUCAUCGCGUUUUACGAUACGGAGGCGCCGCCACCUCCUGUUCUUCAUCUGGAGGGCAGAUCUGGAGUCCGUUCUCGGCUCCGGGGAGGGGGGAUCAUCGCCAUCGUUAUCAUCAACCUUCCUUCAUUGCCAAUUCCAUGAUGCUCUUCACCGUUCGUGAGUAAUCUCAUCGUAGGCUUGCUGGACGGUGAUGGGUUGGAUGAGAUUUAUUAUGUAAUCGAGUUAGUUUUGACGGGGAUUGAUCCCUAGUAUCCACUAUGUUCUGAGAUUGAUGUUGCUACUACUUUGCCAUGCUUAAUGCUUGUCACUAGGGCCCGAGUGUCAUGAUUUCAGAUCUGAACCUAUUAUGUUGUCGCCAAUAUAUGUGUGUUUUAGAUCCUAUCUUGCAAGUUGUAGUCACCUACUAUGUGUUAUGACCCGGCAACCCCGGAGUGACAAUAGCCGGAACCACUCCCGGAGAUGACCAUAGUAUGAGGAGUUCAUGUAUUCACCAAGUGUUAAUGCGUUGGUCCGAUUCUUUAUUAAAAGGAGAACCUUAAUAUCCCGUAGUUUCCAUUAGGACCCCGCUGCCACGGGAGGGAUGGACAAUAGAUGUCAUGCAAGUUCUUUUCCCUAAGCACGUAUGACUACAUACGGAAUACAUGCCUACAUUAGAUUGACGAACGGGAGCUAGUUACUUAUCUCUUUGUGUUAUAACUGUUACAUGAUGAAUAGCAUCCGGCAUAAUCAUCCAUCACCGAUCCAAUGCCUACGAGUCUUUUCCUACUGGUCCUUGCUACGUUACUUUGCCGCUACUGCUGUCACUGCUGCUACUGUUACUCUAUUGCUACUGUUGUCACCUUGCUGCUACUGGUUACUAUUGCUACUGCUGCUAUCAUACUACCUUGCUACUGAUAUUUAGCUCGAAAAUGACAACUUAUUUGACAACUAAUUUCUAUUGACAACAAUGACAUACUUAGACCAAUUAGCUCCAAAAUGACAUAAUAAGUCCAUUUAGCUCCAAAAAGACAUAAUUAGAAAUUUUAGCUCCAAGAANNNNNNNNNNNNNNNNNNNNNNNNNNNNNNNNNNNNNNNNNNNNNNNNNNNNNNNNNNNNNNNNNNNNNNNNNNNNNNNNNNNNNNNNNNNNNNNNNNNNNNNNNNNNNNNNNNNNNNNNNNNNNNNNNNNNNNNNNNNNNNNNNNNNNNNNNNNNNNNNNNNNNNNNNNNNNNNNNNNNNNNNNNNNNNNNNNNNNNNNNNNNNNNNNNNNNNNNNNNNNNNNNNNNNNNNNNNNNNNNNNNNNNNNNNNNNNNNNNNNNNNNNNNNNNNNNNNNNNNNNNNNNNNNNNNNNNNNNNNNNNNNNNNNNNNNNNNNNNNNNNNNNNNNNNNNNNNNNNNNNNNNNNNNNNNNNNNNNNNNNNNNNNNNNNNNNNNNNNNNNNNNNNNNNNNNNNNNNNNNNNNNNNNNNNNNNNNNNNNNNNNNNNNNNNNNNNNNNNNNNNNNNNNNNNNNNNNNNNNNNNNNNNNNNNNNNNNNNNNNNNNNNNNNNNNNNNNNNNNNNNNNNNNNNNNNNNNNNNNNNNNNNNNNNNNNNNNNNNNNNNNNNNNNNNNNNNNNNNNNNNNNNNNNNNNNNNNNNNNNNNNNNNNNNNNNNNNNNNNNNNNNNNNNNNNNNNNNNNNNNNNNNNNNNNNNNNNNNNNNNNNNNNNNNNNNNNNNNNNNNNNNNNNNNNNNNNNNNNNNNNNNNNNNNNNNNNNNNNNNNNNNNNNNNNNNNNNNNNNNNNNNNNNNNNNNNNNNNNNNNNNNNNNNNNNNNNNNNNNNNNNNNNNNNNNNNNNNNNNNNNNNNNNNNNNNNNNNNNNNNNNNNNNNNNNNNNNNNNNNNNNNNNNNNNNNNNNNNNNNNNNNNNNNNNNNNNNNNNNNNNNNNNNNNNNNNNNNNNNNNNNNNNNNNNNNNNNNNNNNNNNNNNNNNNNNNNNNNNNNNNNNNNNNNNNNNNNNNNNNNNNNNNNNNNNNNNNNNNNNNNNNNNNNNNNNNNNNNNNNNNNNNNNNNNNNNNNNNNNNNNNNNNNNNNNNNNNNNNNNNNNNNNNNNNNNNNNNNNNNNNNNNNNNNNNNNNNNNNNNNNNNNNNNNNNNNNNNNNNNNNNNNNNNNNNNNNNNNNNNNNNNNNNNNNNNNNNNNNNNNNNNNNNNNNNNNNNNNNNNNNNNNNNNNNNNNNNNNNNNNNNNNNNNNNNNNNNNNNNNNNNNNNNNNNNNNNNNNNNNNNNNNNNNNNNNNNNNNNNNNNNNNNNNNNNNNNNNNNNNNNNNNNNNNNNNNNNNNNNNNNNNNNNNNNNNNNNNNNNNNNNNNNNNNNNNNNNNNNNNNNNNNNNNNNNNNNNNNNNNNNNNNNNNNNNNNNNNNNNNNNNNNNNNNNNNNNNNNNNNNNNNNNNNNNNNNNNNNNNNNNNNNNNNNNNNNNNNNNNNNNNNNNNNNNNNNNNNNNNNNNNNNNNNNNNNNNNNNNNNNNNNNNNNNNNNNNNNNNNNNNNNNNNNNNNNNNNNNNNNNNNNNNNNNNNNNNNNNNNNNNNNNNNNNNNNNNNNNNNNNNNNNNNNNNNNNNNNNNNNNNNNNNNNNNNNNNNNNNNNNNNNNNNNNNNNNNNNNNNNNNNNNNNNNNNNNNNNNNNNNNNNNNNNNNNNNNNNNNNNNNNNNNNNNNNNNNNNNNNNNNNNNNNNNNNNNNNNNNNNNNNNNNNNNNNNNNNNNNNNNNNNNNNNNNNNNNNNNNNNNNNNNNNNNNNNNNNNNNNNNNNNNNNNNNNNNNNNNNNNNNNNNNNNNNNNNNNNNNNNNNNNNNNNNNNNNNNNNNNNNNNNNNNNNNNNNNNNNNNNNNNNNNNNNNNNNNNNNNNNNNNNNNNNNNNNNNNNNNNNNNNNNNNNNNNNNNNNNNNNNNNNNNNNNNNNNNNNNNNNNNNNNNNNNNNNNNNNNNNNNNNNNNNNNNNNNNNNNNNNNNNNNNNNNNNNNNNNNNNNNNNNNNNNNNNNNNNNNNNNNNNNNNNNNNNNNNNNNNNNNNNNNNNNNNNNNNNNNNNNNNNNNNNNNNNNNNNNNNNNNNNNNNNNNNNNNNNNNNNNNNNNNNNNNNNNNNNNNNNNNNNNNNNNNNNNNNNNNNNNNNNNNNNNNNNNNNNNNNNNNNNNNNNNNNNNNNNNNNNNNNNNNNNNNNNNNNNNNNNNNNNNNNNNNNNNNNNNNNNNNNNNNNNNNNNNNNNNNNNNNNNNNNNNNNNNNNNNNNNNNNNNNNNNNNNNNNNNNNNNNNNNNNNNNNNNNNNNNNNNNNNNNNNNNNNNNNNNNNNNNNNNNNNNNNNNNNNNNNNNNNNNNNNNNNNNNNNNNNNNNNNNNNNNNNNNNNNNNNNNNNNNNNNNNNNNNNNNNNNNNNNNNNNNNNNNNNNNNNNNNNNNNNNNNNNNNNNNNNNNNNNNNNNNNNNNNNNNNNNNNNNNNNNNNNNNNNNNNNNNNNNNNNNNNNNNNNNNNNNNNNNNNNNNNNNNNNNNNNNNNNNNNNNNNNNNNNNNNNNNNNNNNNNNNNNNNNNNNNNNNNNNNNNNNNNNNNNNNNNNNNNNNNNNNNNNNNNNNNNNNNNNNNNNNNNNNNNNNNNNNNNNNNNNNNNNNNNNNNNNNNNNNNNNNNNNNNNNNNNNNNNNNNNNNNNNNNNNNNNNNNNNNNNNNNNNNNNNNNNNNNNNNNNNNNNNNNNNNNNNNNNNNNNNNNNNNNNNNNNNNNNNNNNNNNNNNNNNNNNNNNNNNNNNNNNNNNNNNNNNNNNNNNNNNNNNNNNNNNNNNNNNNNNNNNNNNNNNNNNNNNNNNNNNNNNNNNNNNNNNNNNNNNNNNNNNNNNNNNNNNNNNNNNNNNNNNNNNNNNNNNNNNNNNNNNNNNNNNNNNNNNNNNNNNNNNNNNNNNNNNNNNNNNNNNNNNNNNNNNNNNNNNNNNNNNNNNNNNNNNNNNNNNNNNNNNNNNNNNNNNNNNNNNNNNNNNNNNNNNNNNNNNNNNNNNNNNNNNNNNNNNNNNNNNNNNNNNNNNNNNNNNNNNNNNNNNNNNNNNNNNNNNNNNNNNNNNNNNNNNNNNNNNNNNNNNNNNNNNNNNNNNNNNNNNNNNNNNNNNNNNNNNNNNNNNNNNNNNNNNNNNNNNNNNNNNNNNNNNNNNNNNNNNNNNNNNNNNNNNNNNNNNNNNNNNNNNNNNNNNNNNNNNNNNNNNNNNNNNNNNNNNCCCCAAAAAUGACAUACUUGGAGCUAAAUCACCUAUUGAUCAAGUUUGAGUCUGUUGGUCCCCAACCAUGUUGGGUCCUAAGAGGUUAGUCACGAUCGGCUUGGCUACCCAAAUGGUUCUUUUCUUGACACCACUUUGAGUACCAAAAAACUUGGCAAACACAUUGCCAACCUUAUCCUUACCAAGAGAAUAGAUAUCAUCAAUAAUGAUUGGGUUGGAUAAAUUACCUCUCAUGCAAGAACAAGCGAAGUGACCCUUCUCACGACAUUAGUAGCAACAUCUACCCUUUACUUUCUUCCCAAUUGAUUUCUCAACUUGAGGAGUGUUGGCUUGAGUCUAGUUGGGGAGAGGCCUUGUCGGGACCCCGAUCCUAAGCCAUAGGAAUCCAGCCUGUAACACAUCGCAUCUCUUUGCUCUCUCACGCACGGUUAUCCCCACGGCUGCAGCCUUACCUUAGCUGGGACCGUUUGCGCCUUUUGACUCGCGUAUGCAAUUGUGUCGCUAGCAAUCCAAUGUCAAAGAACCCAGAUCGACAUGUCUAGUCAUAAACUAAAGUGGCAGUUCCGUACAGGGACAUGCAUACAUGAACUAGCAAAGCAGGGGUCGAUCAUGGACGAAUGUAGACGAGUCAUAGAAAGCUACAAGGACUCCAUUACAUACGCGUGACAUUUCCCAAAGGGACAGACACAACAGCUAAGAAGGACACAUGCCGGUCAACCAAUGUGUCCAGAGCAGUAGUGAACUACCAUGGCUCGAUGGAAUCACAAAGGGGCAUUUCCCCGUAAGGAGUGCUACUAAGGCAUACGACUAGGUAUUCGAACCCCAUACAUAUCAAGUACAACACAUGUACGCAUGGCAUACCGAUAGUUAUAGAUACAUCGAUGGCAUCACAACAUAACCAUAAACAUAAAAACUUUAUUAAGAAGGCUCGGAAGAGCCUCACACAUAAUAUUACACAGAUAGGAGUCUCACGACCCAUCAUCAUAAUUCAUACACACAAGUCUUACAAGCCAGCGAAAGAGUAAAACUGUCUGAGUACAGACAGAUGGAAAGGCAAAGGCACAUGGCCUGACUAUCUACAGACCCAUCCUAGGGCCAGAUCGUAGUUGGGAUACCAGCUACUCAUCGUCGUCAACGUCUAGGUAGAACCCUCCAUUACGGUCAUUAACAACCUCUACAACAAUGUAUUAAGCAAACGUGAGUACGAAAGUACUCAGCAAGACUUUAGGAAAUCUAUCUACACAUGCAAUGUAUCAACAAGGAGUUGUGGAGUUUCAUGCGGAAAGCCAGCACUUGACUCUUGGCUAGACAACUUGCAUUUUUAAAUAGUUUUGACAAAUAUGUUUCUCGCACAUGAGUACACUAACACCACAACAAUACUCUAUCGUGGAAUCAUUCCGUCUCCCUAUGGAAAUGCCGUCCACGACACUCACACUUAUCUUGACAAUUUUAUGAGUAGCCAUUAUAGUUAUCUAUGAACAACAUAUGUUUCCAAGUAGUCCAUAUCCGUGGACGCGACUAUUCGAAUAGAUCAUAACCCUGCAGGGGUGUACUUCUUCACACACGCUCUCGCCACUUAUCGCCAUGUGCACGUCAUGCACCUCGGCAACCUUCAAGCGGAAGCCCAGCGAGCGAGUCGGCCACGACCGUCAACCAUGCUAAUACUUAGUCCAGGUCUAUCGCCUAUGUGAUGGUAACCCGCACGGAAGUCCGGCCGAGGUUUCCGCCACGGCUCCAGGAUGUGCGCAGGGUUCCCAAGCCCACCAUCCAGGUGCCACUUGGUACACCGUGACACUGCCUACCGCAUCAUAGCCCACCUCUAAGGUCAGCGCUACACACGGCCUCCAGCAAGACUAUAAACACCAGAAACUACUUGCAACUCCUGGACCGAGUACUAAGUGGUCAAUAAGUCGAGAGGGUCAAUUAAGUAUCCCAACGUGUGGUAGUAUCUAGUCUGGGAUUACAUACACGGAACUCAGUUCCUAAGGACGGUUCCAAUGAAAUAACCCACCAUGUACUCCUACAUAGCCUUUCACCGGUACCUUUACCAAAUCAGGUUCAACACACAACCUUUACUAACUGAACACAUUCUCACGAUCCUGUUCAUCACCCAGAUGACAGACCAUACACAACUCUAAGCAUAGCAUGCGAAGCAGGAUAAGGCACAUCAUGGCUCAAGCAUCUACCAGGUAUGCUAGGUUGCAAGGUUCAGUUAUUUACUGUGACAAGGACAGGUCAUGCAAAGGAAGUGGGUUCAACUAACGUGAUAAAAGCAGUGAAAGCAUUUUGGCCUAAUGCAAUAAGUAAGAGCAGGAGCGAGAACAUGGGAUUUAUCGGGAUGAUCAAAAUGGUUGCUUGCCUUGUUGCUCACCACACGGGUGAUAUCCGUCAGUCGGAUAAUCAUAUGUAUCCGGAGGGGCGGAGCCUACCGGAAUAACAACAAUCAAUCAAUAUCAAACAUAUGCAACAAAAUGAUGCAUGAAAUGCAAUGUAGCAUGGUUUGAGAUGACUAACAGAAUCUUUUGGGUGAUCUUGAUUUGAAAUCAUAAUUCAAAUAUCAUUUGAAUUAUAAUUUAGCAAAUUCUUUUAAUUUAUUUGACCUGAUGCUGUUUCAUAACUUUGUUUUUNAUGCUAGGUUGCAAGGUUCAGUUAUUUACUGUGACAAGGACAGGUCAUGCAAAGGAAGUGGGUUCAACUAACGUGAUAAAAGCAGUGAAAGCAUUUUGGCCUAAUGCAAUAAGUAAGAGCAGGAGCGAGAACAUGGGAUUUAUCGGGAUGAUCAAAAUGGUUGCUUGCCUUGUUGCUCACCACACGGGUGAUAUCCGUCAGUCGGAUAAUCAUAUGUAUCCGGAGGGGCGGAGCCUACCGGAAUAACAACAAUCAAUCAAUAUCAAACAUAUGCAACAAAAUGAUGCAUGAAAUGCAAUGUAGCAUGGUUUGAGAUGACUAACAGAAUCUUUUGGGUGAUCUUGAUUUGAAAUCAUAAUUCAAAUAUCAUUUGAAUUAUAAUUUAGCAAAUUCUUUUAAUUUAUUUGACCUGAUGCUGUUUCAUAACUUUGUUUUUGAUGCAUGAAAAUAGCACCAUUGGAUUCCUUGAAUUUUUUUGAUCCUUCUACAUAUAUUAUUUGUCAAAUUUGGAGUUAUAUUGAAUUUUCUAUGAAUUUCCAAAGUUUUGAACUUAUUCUAGAAUUAUUUUUAAACAGAAAAGGCUUUAUUGCAUCAGCAUGACAUCAGCAGGUCCAACUGGCCGUUGAAAGUCAAACCUGACCAGUGGGACCCACUGGUCAGUGACUCUGGCCAGGUUUUUGUUUAAAUUUAACUUAAUUAACUAAUUAUCAGGGUUGGACCCACAUGUGAGUGUCUGUUUAAGUUUUUAUUUAAUUAAUUAUUUUUAUUAGACUAAUCCUAAUUAGCCAGGGGGCUGGCCCCACAUGCCAGUGACUCAGGGGAGUCAGAUCCACCGGCGGCGAGGUCGAUCUCUCCGGCGGUGAGCCUCCGGCAGCACCAAAGACGGCGGAGGGGCUCGGAAAUGCAUCUCCGAUGACCAAAUGCACGGCGGAGGGCACCAAACGAACCAGCACUCAACCGCAGUUCCAUUUUUGCAUAGAACCGAGGCUAAGAUGGUAGGAGAUGAUGCCGGCGACGAGCUUGGCGGCGACCGAAGCUCGGGCUAUGUCGGGUACAUCGAAACAGAGGGCAUUUUGCGCGGGGCUGGGCUCCUACAACAUCUACACGAUGCACUGAAGCCAUUGGUGGCCUCAGAUGGACCAGCCGAUCACCAGAGAGCUACCAGCGACGAGGUCCCGUGGCGGAUCUCGUCGGGCUCCGGUGGAAUCGGGACCUAGAGGAAGGGAUUGGGGGGGGGGGAACUCGGGGAAAAGAACCCUGAGCUCAUGGGGAGUGCAGAGGUGUUAAGAGUGGGCUCGGGGAUUGCCUGAGGAGGCAGAACGACGGCGGCGAGCUCCGGUGAUCCGAGGAGGAAGAUGACGGCGUCACGGCGUUUCAGAGCUUCUCGGCGUCGAGCAACUGGUUGGAGAGCUUCAGGGGAUCACGGCGAAGCUAACGCGCAGCCCAGGAGAGAGGAAGAGAGGCGGGAGUGACGGCGAGCUCGAGCUCAAGCUUGCGGUCAUGGCGGCCGAGAGAGAGAGAGAAUAGGGGCGAAUGAGGAGGGGAAGAGCUCAGGGACGUCUUCGGGGAGCUUAUCCCCUUCACGCCAGCGUGACGCGGCAGCCAGGCAGACGCACAGGUGCGUGGCUGUGCCGGAACGAGCGGCGGCCACCUCCUGCUGCUCACUGGCAAGGAGGAAGACGAGAUGCGCUAAUUGGGCUGGGCCUUAGGUGAGCGACAUGUAAGGUCUUUUGCAUUUCUUUUCUUUUCUGUUUCUGUUUUAUUCUUUCUGAUAUUGUUUCAUUUGUUUUUGGCUCCAAACUAUUCCUAAAAAUAGUUUGAAAAAUACCAGAGUGUUAGUUGGAAUAUUUCCAACCACUCAUAAAGUUUUCAACAUUUUUGGAAACUUUGAAAUAUUUGAAAUCAAAUAUAUAAUUUAUUUCAGUAGCUUUUAACUUAAAUUUAAAAUGCGAGAAGAUUUUUGAAAAUAUGUUUCAUCUCUGAUAUCUUGUUGUCAACAAUUAUCAGAAAAGAUAAGCUUUUCUAAUGGCCAUUUUGGAUUCAUUGAUUUUUGACAAUGGUUGGAUUUCUUUUGAAUAAGGAGUGGCUAGGGUUUUGCUUUGGAUUUCACCACUUCUUUUGAGUUUAUUUACAUUUCUUGAAUGCAAUGAAAGAAGACAUGAGCACAAGUUGUUAAACCCUAACAGGGAAUCCAGGGAUGUGACAACUCACCCCCACUCAAAAGAAUCUCGUCUCGAGAUUUGGAAGUCGUCGGGAAUAGCGCGGGAUACUCAAGUCAGAGACGAUCCUCUCUUUCCCAUGUUGCUUCUUUUUCAGUAUGAUUUGACCUUUGAACUUUAAGAAACUUGAGGUUUCGACGUCGAGUGGUACGCUCAGCUUGAUCAAGAAUACACACAGGGUAUUCUCGGUAUGAAAGGUUAUCUUGGAGAUCAACGCCUGAGUUGCGAGACGUGGAAUACAUCAUGAACCUUGGAAAGAUGCGGAGGAAGUUCCAAUUGGUAGGCAACUUCUCCUCGUUUGGCAAGAAUGCGGAAAGGACCAAUGUAACGAGGAGCCAACUUGCCCUUGAUACCACAUCGAUGGGUACCCUUCAAAGGUGUGACCCGAAGGUAAGCCUUCUCAUCAACUUCAAAGGUCACAGCCUUAUGAUGACGAUCAUAUUGGCUCUUUUGACGAGACUGGGCUGUUUUGAACUUUUCACGAAUAAUGCGAACUUGGUCUUCUGCAUCCUGGAUCAUAUCCGGACCAAAGAGUUGCCUCUCUCCGGUUUCUGACCAAUUAAGAGGUGUUCGACAUCUUCGUCCAUAGAGAACUUCAAAAGGAGCUUUGCGCAAGCUUGAUUGAUAACUAUUAUUAUAGGCAAAUUCGGCGAAUGGAAGGCACUUCUCCCAGUUCAUACCGAAGGAUAUAACACAAGCUCGGAGCAUAUCUUCUAGGACUUGAUUCACUCUUUCUACUUGACAACUUGAUUGAGGAUGGAAAGCAGUGCUAAAAGAUAAGUGAGUCCCCAUGGCAUUCUGAAAACUCUCCCAGAAGCGAGAAGUAAAGAUACUUCCACGGUCUGAGUUAAUAUCCAGAGGAAAACCAUGAAGAGACACUAUUUGAGAGACAUAUAACUCUGCUAGCUGGCUAGGUGUUAUACUCUCACGAACUGGAAGAAAAUGAGCUACUUCCGAAAGACGGUCGAUGACCACAAAGAUAGCGUUAUUUCCUUUCUUUGUCUUGGGAAAUCCAGUGAUGAAAUGCAUACUGACUUUAUCCCAUUUCCAUUUAGGAAUAGCUAAAUGCUAAAGGGUGCCAGCAUGCCUUUGAUGUUCUGCCUUAACUCGACGACAAACGUCGCAGUUAGCAACGAACUCAGCAAUUUCUCUCUUCAUCCUAGUCCACGAAAACCUCUGGAAUAGGUCCUAAUACAUCUUAGUACUACCAGGAUGAAUGGUGAGAGGAGAAUCAUGAGCCUCCUUAAGGAUCAAUUGCCGUAGACGUUUGCUCUUAGGAACCACUAGACAGUUCUGAAAGAACACAACACCUUGCUCAUUGAUAGAGAACUCCCUAGCAUUUCCGCUAGCAAUAUUCUCCUUGAUCCGGGAUAUACCCUUAUCAUAUGCCUGCAUGGCUAUGAUUUGAUCCCAAAGAGUAGGCUUCGCCAGCAGGGUAGAAAGGAAUCCUUGAGGAACAAUGUGAAGAUUUAACUUCCGAAAUUCCUCAUAGAGAUGUGGUUGACCUUGUUGUAGCAUCAGGUUGUUACAAUAAUACUUACGACUUAGUGCAUCGGCCAUAACAUUGGCCUUCCCUGGGGUGUAAGUUAUCCCUAAGUCAUAAUCUGUGAUCAACUCAACCCACCGUCUUUGCCUGAGAUUCAAAUCCGGCUGGGUGAAGAUAUAUUUCAGACUUUGGUGAUCACUGAAAAUUUUGCAACGAUUACCAAGAUGGUAAUGUCGUCAGGUUUUAAGUGCAUGGACUACUGCUGCAAGCUCAAGAUCAUGUGUGGGAUAAUUAUCCUCAUGUGGACGCAACUGUCGAGAUGCAAAUGCAAUCACAUGACGAUCCUGCAUGAGAAUGCAACCUAAUCCUUGUCGCGAGGCGUCACAGUAAAUAACAAAGUCCUUAGAGAAAUCUGGUGGUAACAACACAGGUGCGGAAGUUAGGCGUCUUUUUAGUUCUUGAAAACUAUGCUCACACUGUGGUGUCCACUCGAACUUUUUAUCUUUCUUGAGGAGUUCAGUUAGAGGCUUUGCAACCUUGGAGAAAUUCUCGACAAAGCGGCGACAGUAGCUCACUAGACCAAGAAAACUACUAACUUGCUUAACCGAUUCAGGUUGAGUCCAACCAAGGACAGCUUGAACUCUCUCGGGAUUGACAACAAUACCUUAACCAGAGAUUACGUGACCUAGAUAGGUCACUUCUGGUAACCAAAAUUCACAUUUUGAAAACUUGGCAUAAAGGCGAUGCUCUCGAAGUUUCAUCAAUACCAGCCUUAGAUGCUCGGCAUGUUCUUGUUCGUUCUUCGAGUAGAUGAGGAUAUCAUCGAGGUAUACUACGACGAAUUUAUCCAAAUACUCCAUGAACAUUGAAUUCAUCAAGCGAGAGAAGGUGGCUGGGGCAUUGGUUAAACCAAAGGACAUGGCGGUGUACUCGUAUUGGCCAUAACGAGUGACAAAAGCCAUUUUUGGAAUGUCCCCGUUCUUGAUCUUGAUUUGAUGGUAACCCAACCUCAAAUCCAUUUUGGAGAAGACUGAGGAUCCAACGAGGUGAUCAUACAGGUCAUUGAUCCUGGGGAGCGGAUACUUGUUCUUUAUGGUGACCAGGUUAACUGGUCGGUAAUCUACAACCAUCCAAUCCAUUCCGUCUUUCUUCUUGACGAAGAGGACGGGACAAGCCCAAGGAGAAGAGCUAGGACGAAUGAAACCUUUAUUCAAAGCCUCAUCUAGUUGCUUCUUAAGUUCGGAUAGCUCCAGGGGUGCCAUAUUAUAAGGUCUUCUGGCUAUUGGAAUGGUUCCCGGAACAAGGUCUAUCACAAACUCUACAUCUCUGUCAGGUGGAAUUCCUGGCAGUUCCUCUGGAAAAAUAUCCGGGAAGUCACGGACUACCGGAAUGUCUCCAAGUUCUGGAAGAGGGUUGGCAUUGAGGGAAUAGAGUUGGCAUUUGGCAACUCGAGUAGAGACAUUGACUAUCUCACCCGAGGGAUGGGUAAGCUGAACAUUUCUAGAAUGAGUAUCAAUCUUGGCAUAGUGAGCUGACAUCCAGUCCAUACCCAAGAUGAUAUUGAUAUCCGAAGAUUUCAGGGCUAUCAAAGAUGCUAGAAAAACUAGCCUAUCUACUAGAAUUUCAUUGUCAUAGGUUAUCCUGGAGGUUUGCCACUUACUACGAGGGGUUUGGACAACCAAUGGGAUUGGGAUAUCACAGAAAUACAUGUUAUGCAACUUUGCAUAACUUUCUGAAAUGAAGGAAUGAGAUGACCCAGUGUCAAAAAGAACAGACGUUCGGUGAUGAUUAACAAGGAGCGUACCCAGUAUAACGUCGGGAUCCUCUGCAGCUUCUUGUGCUGAAACAUAGUUCACACGGCCACGUGCAAGAGUUGGCUUCACAUAGUAUGCUUUACCCGACUUGCCUUGCCCAACAGACUUUCUGGGUUGCUUGGCACCCAUAUUCUAAGGACACUCUCGGGAAUAGUGCCCUGGUUCUCCACACUUGUAGCAGAUCACCUGAUUGGCACGUGGUGUAGCAUUGCUAGCUGGGCCACCAUAGGAUUUUGCUGGACGGUUGGUCUGAUUCGUCCGAGGCGCCACAUAGGAUGGCCUCAGGGUAUAUCUUGGCGGCAGAGAACUAUUUGGAACCCACAGCCUGCGUUUUGGGAACGCGGAGCCAGAUGAAGAGCCAGAGUCACGGGAGUGCUUCUUUGUGGCUUCAUAGUCGGUAUGACCAGUCUCGGCACUGAUCGCCUUGUUGACAAGAGCUUGAAAGCUUCUACAUUCAUGGAGGCGCAAAUCACGACGAAGUUCAGGGCUCAGAACCUUACGGAAUCUUGCUUGCUUCUUGGCAUCAGUUGACACCUCCUCAUUUGCAUAGCGGGCAAGGUUACCGAACUCGCGGCUAUAGGCAUCCACGGUCAAUUUUCCUUGGGUGAAUGCACAUAACUCCUCUCUCUUUCUGUCCAUCAGACCCUCUGGAAUAUGGUGCAGAUGAAAGGCUGCACUAAAGUCUGCCCAUGUGGCUACUAGUUCGGCAUGACGCUUAGCUUCAAAGUUCUCCCACCACAGAUUGGCGGGUCCUUCUAGAAAGUACGCCGCAAAGGUCACCUUGUCGGCCUCGGAAACAUUUGCAGAGCGAAUCUUGCACGAUAUACUGCACAACCAGUCAUCAGCGUCAAGGGGAUCAACGGAGUGAUGGAAGUUCGGAGGAUUCAGCUUCACAAAGUCAUUGAGGGACACUGCAUCAUUCCUAGGCUGACGAGCCGUAUUUUGCUCAAUACGCUCUAGCAGACGGUUGGUCUCCCUUUUGUUUCUUUCUGCCUCAAGCAUAACUUCCGCCAGAGAGGGCGAGUGAGGCAGUUCCUCCUGCGCUGCUUGACUACCCUCUCCUUGCUCAUGAGCAGGGGCACGGUUCAACCUGGUGAAGACCAUCCUGACAAACAAACUCACAGCUUAGACCAAUAUCAACAUCAACACUAACUAUGGAUUAAGAAUGCACUGAACACAUGGAAUGCGGUAAUGACCAUCCGAAUAGCAUGGUAAACAGCAACUGCUAUAUAUACACCAUGGUUCAUACACACCAUUACAAAGUUCAGUACAACCUUAACCGAAGAGCGAACUACUGAAAAGAUGACACAACUCCUGAGAGGCUUUCCAAGCUUCCUAUACAUUAUUUAUCUAUGCCUCCGGAAUUAGCAUGCUCCACGAGAUGCACAGGACUGUGGAAGUAUAACUACUACCAUACUAUCCUUCCACUCACGGGUUCAGGCAUCCGCAUAGAACAUCUCAUAAAGGUUACCUCCAUGGCCUGGGAGCUCAACCUGCGGAUCAGGAAAUAUUCGAGCCUGAGACCCCUGGGAACCGUAAGGGCACUGAUGUGGCCUUGGUCCCCUAACUGGUGGUAGUAGAGGUCCCCGAAGAGGGGUGACUCCUCCUAUAGCAGGCCAGUCAACAUGAGCCGGAAGAUGGGUCCUAACAGGGUUCAACAUCUCCAUAUCUCCAUACCCUGUCUGGACUACAGGUGCGAGCUGUGUCAAAGCCAUCCACAGACGGGCACGUGUAGCAUAGAGCUCCAUACGAAGGGCACGAGCAUCCCUAUCUCUAUUCUCUAGCAUCUCAGCAGUGGACUGCAGCAGCGGAUCCUCCAUAGAGGAAUCAAAGUAGACCCCACUGAGGUAUCCUUCUUCUCCUGGCUGAGAGGCAGGAACAUAGCAGAACUCUGAAUUCUGCAGCAGUGCAUGUCUAGCCCUCAUGAUGGUCAGCAUUGAAUAGGCAGCAUCAUGUACUGCCAUGUCAACACUGACCCCCAAUCCAUAAGACCAAUGGAUCAGCUCCUCAGCUCCAGGGUAAUCUGGGAAUACCCUAACACUGCAGAGGUACUAACUCUGAUUAAAAUCCCGGUACUGCUCCUCCAAUGUGUACUCUGGGUACCAGCGGUAACCGGCUACUGACAUCAUCCUGACUAGCAUGGCCGUAUGACCUGGCACAUCAAUGCACCUAGUCAGACGGACCACCUGACGAGAAGGACGGCCAGGCAUAUGAAAAUAGAGAGUAAUGCAACAAGCAUUAGAGCUCUGAAGACAAAAUUGGGCAUCAUAACGGCUGUAAAUGCUCAAAAACAAUUUUGAUACAACCCACAAAGAUAGGAUAGCAUAACCACUCAACUAUCAAGUUCAAUUCCAUGGUCAUCAAAACUUACUUUGUUUUCCUUGAAAUAGAAGAAACCCUAAGUAACUCUCGACUCGUUGUCCUAUAAUCUACCGAUCAAUAACACACGAUCCUGAGAGAAAGAUAAGUAACCUAGUUCUGAAUCCCCGUUGAAAAGACGAGGAUGACCAUAGCAGAAUAACUUGAGAAGAGAAGCAAGAGUCUUACGUUCCCUUCCACAAACAAUUCCCUUAUAUAUAAGUAAAGCAAUUCUAGACUCAACUUCGACCAGUUUGGCUUAGUAAUUCUACAGUCAGUCAGGCUCUGAUACCAACGCUGUCGGGGCCCCGAUCCUAAGCCAUAGGAAUUCAGCCUGUAACACAUUGCAUGUCUUUGCUGUCUCACACACGGUUAUCCCCACGGCUGCAGCCUCACCUUAGCCGGGACCGUUUGCGCCUUUUGACUCGCGUAGGCAAUUUUGUCGCUAGCAAUCCAAUGUCAAAGAACCUGGAUCGAGAUGUCUAGUCAUAAACUAAAGUGGCAGUUCCAUACACGGACAAGCAUACAUGACCCAACAAAGCAAGUGUCGGUCAUCAACGAAUGUAGAGGAUUCGUAGCAAGCUACAAGGUCUGCAUUACAUACGCGUGACAUUUCCCAAAGGGACAGACACAGCAGCUAAGAAGGACACAUGCCGGUCAACCAAUGUGUCCGGAGCAGUAGCGAACUACCAUGGCUCGAUGGAAUCACAAAGGGGCAUUUCCCCGUAAGGAGUGCUACUAAGGCAUAUGACUAGGUAUUCGAACCCCAUACAUAUCAAGUACAACACACGUAUGCAUGGCAUACCGAUAUGUAUAGAUACAUCGAUGGCAUCACAACAUAACCAUAAACGUACAAACUUUAUUUAGAAGGCUCGGAAGAGCCUCACACAUAAUAUUACACCGAUAGGGAUCUCACGACCCAUCAUCAUAAUUCAUACACACAAGUCUUACAAGCCAGCGGAAGAGUAAAACCGUCUGAGUACAGACAGAUGGAAAGGCAAAGGCACAUGGCCUGACUAUCUAUAGACCCAUCCCAGGGCCAGAUCGUAGCUGGGAUACCAGCUACUCGUCAUCGUCAACGUCUAGGUAGAACCCUCCAUUACGGUCAUUAACAACCUCUGCAACAAUGUAUUAAGCAAACGUGAGUACGAAAGUACUCAGCAAGACUUUAGGAAAUCUAUCUACUCAUGCAAUGUAUCAACAAGGAGUUGUGGGGUUUCAUGCGGAAAGCCAGCAUUUGACUCUUGGCUAGACAACUUGCAUUUUUAAAUAGUUUUGACAACUAUGUUUCUCGCACACGAGUCAACUAACACCACAACAAUACUCCAUCGUGGAAUCAUUCCGUCUCCCUAUGGAAAUGCCGUCCACGACACUUAUACUUAUCUUGACAAUUUUAUGAGUAGCCAUUAUAGUUAUCUUUGAACAACAUAUGUUUCCAAGUAGUCCAUAUCCGCGGACGCGGCUAUUCGAAUAGAUCAUAACCCUGCAGGGGUGUACUUCUUCACACACGCUCUCGCCACUUAUCGCCAUGUGCACGUCAUGCACCUCGGCAACCUUCAAGCGGAAGCCUAGCGAGGGAGUCGGCCAUGAUCGUUAACCAUGCUAAUACUUAGUCUUGGUCUAUCACCUAUCUGAGGGUAACCCGCACGGAAGUCCGGCCGAGGUUUCCGCCACGGCCCCAAACGAUGUGCGCAGGGUUCCCAAGCCCACCAUCCGGGUGCCACUUGGUUUACCGUGCCACUGCCUACCGCAUCAUAGCCCACCUCUAAGGUCAGCGCUACGCACGGCCUCCAGCAUGACUAUAAACACCAGACACUACUUGCAACUCCUGGACCGAGUACUAAGGGGUUAAUAAGUCGAUAGGGUCAAUUAAGUAUCCCAACGUGUGGUAGUAUCUAGUCUUGGAUUACAUACACGGAACUCAGUUCCUAAGGACGGUUCCAAUGAAACAACCCGCCAUGUACUCCUACAUAGCCUUUCACCGGUACAUUUACCAAACCAGGUUCAACACACAACCUUUACUAACUGAACACAUUCUCACGAUCCUGUUCAUCACCCAGAUGACAAACCAUACACAACUCUAAGCAUAGCAUGCGAAGCAGGAUAAGGCACAUCAUGGCUCAAGCAUCUACCAGGUAUGCUAGGUUGCAAGGUUCAGUUAUUUACUGUGACAAGGACAGGUCAUGCAAAGGAAGUGGGUUCAACUAACGUGAUAAAAGCAGUGAAAGCAUUUUGGCCUAAUGCAAUAAGUAAGAGCAGGAGCGAGAACAUGGGAUUUAUCGGGAUGAUCAAAAUGGUUGCUUGCCUUGUUGCUCACCACACGGGUGAUAUCCGUCAGUCGGAUAAUCAUAUGUAUCCGGAGGGGCGGAGCCUACCGGAAUAACAACAAUCAAUCAAUAUCAAACAUAUGCAACAAAAUGAUGCAUGAAAUGCAAUGUAGCAUGGUUUGAGAUGACUAACAGAAUCUUUUGGGUGAUCUUGAUUUGAAAUCAUAAUUCAAAUAUCAUUUGAAUUAUAAUUUAGCAAAUUCUUUUAAUUUAUUUGACCUGAUGCUGUUUCAUAACUUUGUUUUUNNNNNNNNNNNNNNNNNNNNNNNNNNNNNNNNNNNNNNNNNNNNNNNNNNNNNNNNNNNNNNNNNNNNNNNNNNNNNNNNNNNNNNNNNNNNNNNNNNNNNNNNNNNNNNNNNNNNNNNNNNNNNNNNNNNNNNNNNNNNNNNNNNNNNNNNNNNNNNNNNNNNNNNNNNNNNNNNNNNNNNNNNNNNNNNNNNNNNNNNNNNNNNNNNNNNNNNNNNNNNNNNNNNNNNNNNNNNNNNNNNNNNNNNNNNNNNNNNNNNNNNNNNNNNNNNNNNNNNNNNNNNNNNNNNNNNNNNNNNNNNNNNNNNNNNNNNNNNNNNNNNNNNNNNNNNNNNNNNNNNNNNNNNNNNNNNNNNNNNNNNNNNNNNNNNNNNNNNNNNNNNNNNNNNNNNNNNNNNNNNNNNNNNNNNNNNNNNNNNNNNNNNNNNNNNNNNNNNNNNNNNNNNNNNNNNNNNNNNNNNNNNNNNNNNNACAACCUUUACUAACUGAACACAUUCUCACGAUCCUGUUCAUCACCCAGAUGACAAACCAUACACAACUCUAAGCAUAGCAUGCGAAGCAGGAUAAGGCACAUCAUGGCUCAAGCAUCUACCAGGUAUGCUAGGUUGCAAGGUUCAGUUAUUUACUGUGACAAGGACAGGUCAUGCAAAGGAAGUGGGUUCAACUAACGUGAUAAAAGCAGUGAAAGCAUUUUGGCCUAAUGCAAUAAGUAAGAGCAGGAGCGAGAACAUGGGAUUUAUCGGGAUGAUCAAAAUGGUUGCUUGCCUUGUUGCUCACCACACGGGUGAUAUCCGUCAGUCGGAUAAUCAUAUGUAUCCGGAGGGGCGGAGCCUACCGGAAUAACAACAAUCAAUCAAUAUCAAACAUAUGCAACAAAAUGAUGCAUGAAAUGCAAUGUAGCAUGGUUUGAGAUGACUAACAGAAUCUUUUGGGUGAUCUUGAUUUGAAAUCAUAAUUCAAAUAUCAUUUGAAUUAUAAUUUAGCAAAUUCUUUUAAUUUAUUUGACCUGAUGCUGUUUCAUAACUUUGUUUUUCAUGCAUGAAAGUAGCACCAUUGGAUUCCUUGAAUUUUUCUGAUCCUUUUACAUAUAUUAUUUGUCAAAUUUGGAGUUAUAUUCAAUUUUCUAUGAAUUUCGAAAGUUUUGAACUUAUUCUGGAAUUAUUUUUAAACAGAAAAGGGUUUAUUGCAUCAGCAUGACAUCAACAGGUCCAACUGGUUGUUGAUAGUCAAACCUGACCAGUGGGACCCACUGGUCAGUGACUCUGGCCAAGUUUUAGUUUAAAUUUAACUUAAUUAACAAAUUAUCAAGGUUGGACCCACAUGUCAGUGUCUGUUUAAGUUUUUAUUUAAUUAAUUAUUUUUAUUAGACUAAUCCUAAUUAGCCAGGGGGCUGGCCCCACAUGCCAGUGACUCAGGGGAGUCAGAUCCACCGGCGACGAGGUCGAUCUCAACGGCGGUGAGCCUCCAGCAGCACCAGAGUCGACGGAGGGGCUCGGAAAUGCAUCUCCGAUGACCAAAUGCACGGCGGAGGGCACCAAACAAACCAGCACUCAGCCAUAGUUCCAUUUUUGCAUAGAACCGAGGCUAGGAUGGCCGGAGAUGAUGCCGGCGAUGAGCUUGGCGGCGGCUGAAGCUCGGGCUAUGUCGGGUUCAUCGAAACAGAGGGCAUUUCGCGCGGGGCUGGGCUCCUACAACAUCUACACGAUGCACUAAAGCCAUUGGUGGCCUUAGAUGGACCAGCCGAUCACCGAAGAGCUACCAGCGACGAGGUCCCACGGCGGAUCUCGUCGGGCUCCGGUGGAAUCGGGGCCUAGAGGAAGGGUUCGAGGGGGAAAACUUGGGGAAAAGAACCCUGAGCUCACGGGGAGUGCAGAGGCAUUGAGAGUGGGCUCGGGGAUGGCCUGAGGAGGGAGAACGACGACGACGAGCUCCGAUGACCCGAGGAGGAAGAUGACGGCAUCACGGCGUUUGAGAGUUUCUCGGCGUCGAGCGACUGGCUGGAGAGCUUCAAGGGAUCACGACGAAGCUAACACACAGCUUAGGAGAGAGGAAGAGAGGCGGGAGCGACGGCGAGCUCGAGCUCAAGCUUGCGGACAUGGCGGCCGAGAGAGAGAGAGAGAACAAGGGCGAAAGAGGAAGGGAAGAGCUCGGGAACGUCUUCGGGGAGCUUAUCCCCUUUGCUCCAGCGCGACACAGUGGCCAGGCAGACGCACAGGUGCAAAGCCGCGCCGGAACGAGCGGCGGCCACCUCCUGCUGCUCGCUGGCAAGGAGGAAGACGAUAGGCGCUAAGUGGGCUGGGCCUCAGGUGAGCGACAGGUAAGGUUUUUUUGCAUUUCUUUCUUUUCUGUUUCUGUUUUAUUCUUUCUGAUAUUGUUUCAUUUGUUUUCGGCUCCAAACUAUUCCUAAAAAUAGUUUGAAAAAAACCAGAGGGUUAGUUGGAAUAUUUCCAACCACUCAUAAAGUUUUCAACAUUUUUGGAAACUUUGAAAUAUUUGAAAUCAAAUAUAUAAUUUAUUUCAGUAGCUUUUAACUUAAAUUUAAAAUGCCAAAAGCAUUUUGAAAAUAUGUUUCAUCUCUGAUAUCUUGUUGUCAACAAUUAUCAGAAAUGAUGAACUUUUCUAAUGGCCAUUUUGGAUUCAUUGAUUUUUGACAAUGGUUGCAUUUCUUUUGAAUAAGGAGUGGCUAGGGUUUUGCUUUGGAUUUCACCACUUCUUUUGAGUUUAUUUCCAUUUCUUGAAUGCAAUGAAAGAAGACAUGAGCACAAUUUGUUCAACCCUAACAAGGAAUCAAGGGAUGUGACAUGCCUUUCUUCAACUUGUGGUUGAGUAUGUGUUUGAACUUGUGGCUGCUUUCCUUGUUGCUUGUGACUUUGGGGCUUCUUCUUUAAUGGGCAAGAUCUAACAUGGUGCCCUUCAAUUUUGCACUUGAAGCAAACAUUCUUGGACGAAUUCUUGACUUGUUCUUGGCCCUUCUUCUUUAAGAUUUUGGACUUCUUCUUCUUGUCGGAAUUAAAUCCUAGUCCACCUUUGUCAUUUGGUGAUUUUUGCCCACACAAGGUAUUGUUGAGUGUGUACUGAUACGUCUCCGUCGUACCUAAUUUUCCAAACUCUUUUUCCCUUGUUUUGGACUCUAAUUUGCAUGAUUUUAAUGGAACUAACCCGGACUAAUGCUGUUUUCAGCAGAAUUGCCAUGGUGUUGUUUUUCCGCAGAAAUAAAAGUUCUCGGAUUGACCUAAAAAUUUAUGGAGAAUUUUUCUGGAAUUUAUGAAAAAUACUGGUGCAAGAAUCAGCGGAGGAAGUGGAGCCGUGAGCCCAUAAGCCCACCAGGCGCGCCCACCCUGGCCGCGCCAGGCAGGCUUGUGGGGCUCACAAAACUCCACCGCCUCCAAAUCCAGCUCUAUUUAGUCCGUCUCGCCCGGAAAAAAAUCAAGGAGAAGAGUUCAUCGCAUUUUAUGAUACGGAGGCGCCGCCACCUCCUUUUCUUCAUAUGGAUGGUAGAUCUAGAGUCCGUUCUGGGCUCUGGAGAGGGAAGAUCAUCGCCAUCAUUAUCAUCAACCUUCCUUCAUCGCCAAUUCCAUGAUGCUCUUCACCGUUCGUGAGUAAUCUCACCGUAGGCUUGCUGGACGGUGAUGGGUUGGAUGAGAUCUAUCAUGUAAUUGAGUUAGUUUUGACGGGGAUUGAUCCCUAGUAUCCACUAUGUUAUGAGAUUGAUGUUGCUACUACUUUCCCAUGCUUAAGGCUUGUCACCUACUAUUAUGUUGUCACCAAUAUAUGUGUGUUUUAGAUCCUAUCUUGCAAGUUGUAGUCACCUACUAUGUGUUAUGACCUGGCAACCUCGGAGUGACAAUAGCGGGAACCACUCCCGGAGAUGACCAUAGUAUGAGGAGUUCAUGUAUUCACCAAGUGUUAAUGUGUUGGUCUGGUUCUUUAUUAAAAGGAGAACCUUAGUAUCCCGUAGUUUCCAUUAGAACCCCGCUGCCACGGGAGGGAUGGACAAUAGAUGUCAUGCAAGUUCUUUUCCCUAAGCACGUAUGACUACAUACGGAAUACAUGCCUACAUUAGAUUGACGAACGAGAGCUAGUUACUUAUCUCUCCGUGUUAUAACUGUUACAUAGUGAAUAGCAUCCGGCAUAAUCAUCCAUCACCGAUCCAAUGCCUACGAGUCUUUUCCUACUGCUCCUUGCUACGUUACUUUGUCGCUACUGUUGUCACUCCUGCUACUGUUACUCUGUUGCUACUGCUGUCACCAUGCUGCUAUUGGUUACUGUUGCUACUGCUGCUAUCAUACUACCUUGCUACUGAUACUUUUUUGCAGAUACUAAAUCUUUCAGGUGUGGUUAAAUUGAAAACUCAACUGCUAAUACUUGAGAAUAUUCUUUCGCUUCCCCUUGAGUCGAAUCAAUAAAUUUGGGUUGAAUACUCUACCCUCGAAAACUGUUGCAAUCCCCUAUACUUGUGGGUUAUCAAGAACUUUUUCUGGCGCCAUUGCCGGGGAAGCACAGCUAUAUUCUCUGAUUCACUUGGGAUUUACGUCUGCUGGUUACUAUGAAGAAUCUAAAAGAUCCAAGAACUAAAGUCUUGCCCUCAACUACGAGGACAGGUAAGGAACUGCCAUCUAGCUCUGCACUUGAUUCACCUUUAGUUAUGAGUAAGUUUGCGACACCACCUCGUGCUAGAAAUCUUGAUAUGUCGCCUGUGCUUGAUGGUGCUACUUUUGCUGCCCAUGAUGCUUAUGAUGAUGCUAUGCUUGAUACUGCUUUGCCUAAUGAUGCUAUGCUUGAUACUGCUUUGCCUGAUGAUGCUAUGCUUGAUACUGCUUUGCCACUAGGUGCAUUCCUUGAUGCACAAAUUGCUAGAGUUGCCGAUACUAUUGAAGUAGAACCUACUGAAUUGCCUGAUAUGCCUGAGCGUUACGUUAUGGAGGGAGAGAGAGAUGAGGAUUUUCUUGCGUGUAUGGAUAGCUAUGAUGUUGAGAAUUUACUGCGCAAGUGGAAAGAAAAAUCUCUGAACUCUAGGAUGAAAUACGACCCAAAGUUUGCUACUUCGUCUAUCUUUGUGACCGAUAAGGAUUAUGAAUUCUUUGUCGACCCUGAGUUAAUCACUCUGGUCGAAUCUGAUCCUUUUCACGGUUAUGAGUCUGAAAUGGUUGUAGCCCAUCUUACCAAACUGCACGAUAUAGCCACCCUAUUCACUAGUGAGGAAAAGAUCCACCACUACUAUAUCCUUAAGCUGUUUCCUUUCUCGCUAAAGGAUGAUGCUAAGACCUGGUUCACUUCUCUUGCUCCUGGUUGUGUGCGUAGCCCCCAGGAUAUGGUCUACUACUUCUCUGAAAAAUAUUUCCCUGCCCAUAAGAAGCAAGCCGCCUUGCAGGAAAUAUACAACUUUGCGCAAGUUGAAGAAGAGAGUCUCCUACAAGCUUGGGGGAGGCUCGUCCAGCUGCUGAAUGCUUUGCCUGAUCACCCUCUUGAGAAGAACGAAAUACUUGAUAUCUUCUAUAAUGGACUUACCGACGCUUCUAAAGACCAUCUAGAUAGUUGUGCUGGUUGUGUUUUAGGGAACGAACCGUAGAACGAGCUAAGAUCCUAUUGAAUAACAUCUUGUGCAAUGAGAAUGCUUGGACUAUUGCCGAACCACCUCCUAAGCCAACUCCGAAGAAAAGAGGUAUUCUAUUCCUCAGUCCUGAAGAUAUGCAAGAAGCUAAGAAAUCUAUGCGAGAGAAAGGCAUUAAAUCUGAAGAUGUCAAAAAUCUACCGCCUAUCAAAGAGAUCCAUGGUCUUGUUAACCCGAUACAGGUAGUAGAAGUAAAUUCUCUACGUGGGUUUGAUGAGAGUGAUAUUCCUUUUGGUAAACCUGCUAGCCUAUACCUGGAUGAAUUUGAUAACUUUGUUGCCAAACAACAGAGUUUCAAUGAUUGUGUUAGCAGACAAUUGGAACGAAAUGCUCGUAUGCUUAGUCAUUUAAGUGCUUGUGUGGACAGAAAUGUCAAUGAUCUUAAAAUUCUGAGUAAACAUGCCUCUAUGGUUACUACUCAGGUAGAACAAGUACUUAAAGCUCGGAAUGACUUGAUCAAUGAGUUGAAUGAAAAUUCUGUUAGAGUCGUCACUAGAGGCGGUAGAGUGACCCAGGAACCUUUGUAUCCUGAGAGCCAUCCUAAGAGAAAUGAACAAGAUUCUCAAGGAGUUAGCACUGAUGCACCUAGUCAUCCUAGAAAUAAGAAGAAAUAUGAUAGGAACCUGCACGCUAGUAACCCUGUUGCUGCUACACGUGAGAGUCCAAACGAUGUCUCUUUCUCUGAUGCUGAAACGCAAUCUGGUGAUGAACAUGAUCCUAAUGAUAAUAUCAAUAGUGAUGUUCAUGAUGAUGCUCAACCUAGCAAUGAAAAGGAUGUGGAGAUUGAACCUGUUGAUCUUGAUAACCCACAACCUAAGAAUAAGAGAUACGAUAAGAACGACUUCCCUGCUACGAAGCAUGGUAAAGAAAGGGAACCAUGGGUUCAGAAACCCAUGCCCUUUCCUCCCAAACCAUCCAAGAAAAAGGAUGAUGGGGAUUUUGAGCGAUUUGUUGAAAUGAUUAGACCUGUCUUUCUGCAAAUGCGUUUGACAGAUAUGCUCAAAAUGUCUCCAUAUGCUAAGUACAUGAAGGAUAUUGUGACUAAUAAGAGGAGGAUACCUGAGGUUGAGAUUUCCACCAUGCUCGCUAACUAUACAUUCAAGGGUGGAACUCCCAAGAAACUAGGUGAUCCCGGUGUGCCCACUAUACCUUGCUCCAUUAAAGGCAACUACGUUAGAACUGCGUUAUGCGACCUUGGAGCCGGUCUUAGUGUUAUACCUCUCUCUCUCUUUAUCAUAGACUUGAACUGGAUAAGUUGACACCUACUGAAAUCUCUCUGCAAAUGGCCGACAAAUCAACUGCUUUCCCUAUCGGCAUUUGUGAGGAUGUGCCUGUUGUGGUUGCUAAUGUCACUAUCUUAACAGACUUUGUCAUUCUGGAUAUCCCUGAGGAUGAUGCCAUGGUUGUCAUCCUCGGAAGACCCUUUUAAAACACUGCAGGGGCUGUUAUAGAUUGCAACAAAGGCAAUGUCACUUUCCAUGUCAACGGUAAUGAGCAUACGGUGCACUUUCGGAAGAAACAAUAUCGAGUACAUUGCAUCAAUGCUAUCGAAAAAACUUCAUCGAUUCUUAUUGGGAGCUUUGAAUGCCCUAUUCCUCCUGUUAAGAUGAAGUAUGAUUUGCUUGUUGGGGAGAUACACAUCCCCAUUGAGGUGACCUAGUGACUAUUCGAAAAUUCUCCGUUCUCUUUUGCAAUUCGAAAAAGUUUGUCAAGGAGACCUUAUCAACCUCAUUGACGGAUUUCUUUCGAUGACCAUGAGAUGGAUGAAUCGAGGAGUCACAAACCUCUGUUCCAAGCUUUCACCUUCGGUUGCUUAGAAGAAAAAUGAUAGAUUUAGUUUAGUUUUCCCUAUUUCCUGCUUUUAGCGUCCCGUGGAAAAGUACCCCGAAAAUAAAAGUUCUCCGAACGUCCUAAAAAUGAAGUAUGAUUUUUUCUGGAAUUUUUGAAAAAUACUGAGACGAAGAGCUAGUCUGGGAGCUGCACCAGUGGGCCACAAGCCCUGGAGGCGCAGGCACCCCCCUGGCCACGCCUACCUGGCUUGUGGGGCCCACGUGCACCCCCUCCACUCAUUCUAGCUCCCAUCUGCUUCUCCUACCUCCAGAAAAAAUAGUUUCGCAGCUCAAACCCGUGUUCUUGCUCCUCUUGCUGGGAUUUUCGAUCUCCUUGCUCAAAGCACCAUUCUCCGAACUGUUUUGGGGAAAUUACUCCUUGGUAAGUGACUCCUCCAUUGGUCCAAUUAGUUUUUGCUCUAGUGCCAUAUACUUUGCGUAUUUUUUCUGCCUUGGUGACCCUGUUCUUGAGCUUUGCAUGCUAAUUUUAGCUGGUCCCAAGUGGUUUUGAUGCGUAAUCUGGCCUCUAGGCACUUCUGGGAGUAGUUGCUACAAGUUUAGUUGAGCCUUGUUCACUUUUUACUUUGGGUCACUGAAAAUUUCAGAAAAGGAAGAUGUUCAGAAGAAACUAUCAUGGUGGUUCCUCAAGCAAGAGAGGACCCCGUCUUGCGAUUCGGGAGCCCGACCCUUACCAACCGAGGAACACACACGUACAACCAUGUGAAUGGCCUUCUGAUGAAUUCAUGAUUGAGGCAGGUUUCAAAGACGAGUUUGAUACACUUGUUCACAACGUUGGAUUCGAAGAAUUCAUCUCCGAUAAAUGUGAACAGUAUGUUGCUCUCACUGCCUCUUUUGUUCGUAGAUUCAAAUUUCCAUUUGGCCGUGAUACAUCUGUACUGUUUGAUCUCUAUGACAAAUCGUAUACCAUGGAUUUAGAGGAUUUCGAUAGAAUUUGCAAGAUACCUAUUUGGGGUAGUCUCAAUGAUCCUCCUAAAUCUUCGGUUAGAGAUUUUUUCUCUGGCUUAACUGUUGGAGAAACUAGAGAUAUUACACUGGCUACCAUGGGGAGCAUUCAUCUUCCUGCCUUGCAUUAUUUUGCCCUCUACAUAGGCAGAUGCAUUAAUGGCAAGAUUGAGCAUUGUCACCUCUGCGCACCCGACCUUAGUAUUCUUAAGAGCGAAGUAACGGGUGAUAGAAGUUUCAACAUGGGAGCUAUUAUAGCAAGGAGGCUGAAUAAUAAUGCUAAUGAAGGGGAUUUCUUUGGUGGCGUAUAUGCCACUCGCAUAGCAAAUUUUCUUGGAGUACCCAUCCGCGAAGGAGAUCCCCCACUCCAUACAGCUUUCCUUGACCGCGUCGCUUUGACACGCUACCAGUUCCUUGAGAGGGAUGAUGAGUCCCUCCUAUACCGUUUAAUAUUUAACCGACAACGUGUUUUCCAUAUUACCCUUCCUGCUCCUUCCUUCUUUGACUUUCAGGUAAAAUGGAGAUACUACAUAACUAGAGGAGAGGUAGAGGAGUAUGAGAGGGAGGCAAAGGUUGCUCGUCUCCGUGAGGCAGCUAUUCAGGCAGUGGCUGCAGCGCUCUCGUACAACCCUCACUAUGAUUUUGGGUAUCGCCCAGACCAUCCAUGGGAGUAGACCAACUUAGGCCAAAAGCCUAAGCUUGGGGGAGUACGUGUUUCUCACCGACUUUACAUUCUUGCUUAUGCUUUCACUUUGUUCGUCGAUGUUCACACCUUGCCACUGUAUCAUCCAUGUUAGUUAUUUCUUUUUCUCGUUUUCUUUUUUGUGUGUCUGUCUAGUUUGAGAAAACCCAAAAAUAUUUUAUUUUUCUUCUUUUGCUUGUUGGGAGCUUUCCCGUGUAAAUAGUUUUCUUUUUCUUUGGGUCAAGGUAGAAGACCAGGGUUACAAUGUUUAGUGUCUCUCGCAUGCAUAUCUGUUUAUCUGGUAAAGAGCCAUAUUACUUUGUCUUCUCCUUUGUGUAUGCCUGCAGAUUCCAGCGUAGUCCAAUGCACGAGAACUCUUAUUGUUGUUCACAUCAUUCGGUCGUGCAAGUGAAAGGCAAUAAUGACGAUAUAUGAUGAAGAGACUGAGCCUGGAAAAGCUGGUACGAACUCGAUCUAUUUUGUUUUUGUAAAUAUGACUAGCUCAUCGUGCGUGAUUCAGCUUUGUUGUGAGAGAAACAUGGUUGCAAUGACAAUUUAGAGAUCAUAGUUGCUGAUGCCAUGCUUACUUAGCUAGGAGCUUAUAAUGGUUUGUCUUGGAUGCCAACAUGAAUGUUGAGAUGACUAUGAUGUAGUAUGAUAGGAUGGUAUCCUCCUUUGAAUGAUUCAAGUGGCUUGACUUGGCGCAUGUUCACGCAUGUAUUUGAAACAAAAUCAACAUAGCCUCUAUGAUAUUCAUGUUCAUGGUGAUUUAUGUCCUACUCAUGCUUGCAUUCAAUGUUAGUUAAUCUCAAUGCAUUUUGAUGACUGUUGUCGCUCUCUAGUUGGUCGCUUCCCAGUCUUUUGCUAGUCUUCACUUGUACUAAGCGGGAAUACUGCUUGUGCAUCCACCUCCAUAAACCCAAAGUUGUUCCAUAUGAGUCCACCAUACCUACCUAUAUACGGUAUCUACCUGCCGUUCCAAGUUAAUUUGCAUGUGCCACUCUCUAAACCUUCAAGAAAUAAUCUGUUUUGCAUGCCCGAACCGCUCAUGUGGUGACAGGGGGCUAUCAAUAUCUUCCAUGCUAGGCGUGUUAUCCUCGAUAUGUGUACAUUCACUAUCAUUCACGAGAAAGGGGCCGAUAAUUGGAAUGCCCAGUUCCAUGCUCAAACCGAAAAGAUAAUUGCAAACAAAACUCCCCCUGGAUUGAUGUUGGUAUGGAUGGCACCCGAGUAUUCGGCUAGUUGUGGAGUGUGACUGAUUGGUGGCGGGGGAGUCAAAACUUUACUUUUCUGUUUGGGAACCGCCUAUAGCAUGUGUAGCGUGGAAGAUGGUGUGAACUCUUAGUCAUUGCGUUGACAAUGAAAGCAUGCCACCCAAAAUUAUUAUCUCUGUUUUAAAAGCUUGAGCUCUGGCACCUAUGCAAAUCAAUGCCUCCCUCUACGAAGGGCAUAUCUAUUUAUGUUCCUGUUGAGUCAUCCUCCUCUUAUAAAAGCACCAAUUAGAGAGCACCUCUGUCAUUUUUAUGCUUUGCUUUUAACUGUGUUGAGUAUGACUGUGACUGGAUCUUCUUUGCCAUGAAUUAUAAUGUUUAGUCAGCCCUUGGUCUUUGAAGGUGCUCUGCAUUUAUGUUUUGCGGUCUCAGAAAAAGAGCUAGCGAGAUACCAUCUGUUCAUACUGCUUCAUGAUUGUUUUGAUUGAAGUGUUGACGUUCGAGACUUACUAUUAUUUGCUCGCUAGUUGAUUAUUCCAUUGAUAUGAGUUUACCAUCAGACCUAGAUGUCAUUUUCUUAUGUGGUUAGCUUGUCAUCUUGCUGAAAUUCUGGUUAUGAGUUAGACAUAGUUGCAACAACAAGAUCAAACAGAGUUCGUCAAAGUUUUUCUUUUGUCUCUUUCAGUUUGUCAACUGAAUUGCUUGAGGACAAGCAAGGCUUUAAGCUUGGGGGAGUUGAUACGUCUCCGUCGUAUCUACUUUUCUGAACUCUUUUGCCCUUGUUUUGGACUCUAAUUUGCAUGAUUUGUAUGGAACUAACCCGGACUAACAUUGUUUUCAGCAGAAUUGCCAUGGUGUUGUUUUUGUGCAGAAAUAAGAGUUCUCGGAAUGACCUGAAAAUUUACGGAGAAUUUUUCUGGAAUUUAUGAAAAAUACUGGCGCAAGAAUCAGCGGAGGAAGUGGAGCCGUGAGCCCACAAGCCCACCAGGCGCGGGCCCCCCAGGCCGCGCCUGGCAGGCUUGUGGGCCCCACAAAACUCCACCACCUAUUUAGUCUGUCUCGCCCAAAAAAAAUUCAAGGACAAGAGUUCAUCACGUUUUACGAUACGGAGGCGCCGCCACCUCCUGCUCUUCAUUUGGAGGGUAGAUCUGGAGUCCGUUCUGGGCUCCGGAGAGUGGAGAUCGUCGCCAUCAUCAUGAUCAACCUUCCUUCAGCGCCAAUUCCAUGAUGCUCUUCACCGUUCGUGAGUAAUAUCAUCGUAGGCUUGCUGGACGGUGAUGGGUUGGAUGAGAUCUAUCAUGUAAUCGAGUUAGUUUUGAUGGGGAUUGAUCCCUAGUAUCCACUAUGUUCUGAGAUUGAUGUUGCUACUACUUUGCCAUGCUUAAUGCUUGUCACUAGGGCCCGAGUGCCAUGAUUUCAGAUCUGAACCUAUUUUGUUGUCGCCAAUAUAUGUGUGUUUUAGAUCCUAUCUUGCAAGUUGUAGUCACCUACUAUGUGUUACGACCCGGCAACCCCGGAGUGACAAUAGCCGGAACCACUCCCGGAGAUGACCAUAGUAUGAGGAGUUCAUGUAUUCACCAAGUGUUAAUGCGUUGGUCCGGUUAUUUAUUAAAAGGAGAACCUUAAUAUCCCGUAGUUUCCAUUAGGACCUCGCUGCCACGGGAGGGAUGGACAAUAGAUGUCAUGCAAGUUCUUUUCCCUAAGCACGUAUGACGACAUACGGAAUACAUGCCUACAUUAGAUUGACGAACGGCAGCUAGUUACUUAUCUCUCCGUGUUAUAACUGUUACAUGAUGAAUAGCAUCCAGCAUAAUCAUCCAUCCCUGAUCCAAUACCUACGAGUCUUUUCCUACUGGUCCUUUCUAUAUUACUUUGCCUCUACUACUGUCAUUGCUGCUACUGUUACUCUGUUGCUACUCCUGUCACCUUGCUGCUACUGGUUACUGUUGCUACUGCUCCUAUCAUACUACCUUGCUACUGAUACUUUGCUGCAGAUACUAAAUCUUUCAGGUGUAGUUGAAUUGACAACUCAACUGCUAAUACUUGAGAAUAUUCUUUCGCUUCCCCUUGAGUCGAAUCAAUAAAUUUGGGUUGAAUACUCUACCCUCGAAAACUGUUGUGAUCCCCUAUACUUGUGGGUUAUCAUGUACAACCCUUAAUGACUCAUUUCCAAGUCUUUUUUAAGGAACUGACUUCGGCCUUGAGCUCUUCGAUUUCCUAUACAUGGUUAGUAUCAACACAAGCACUAGAGCAAGUCUAAGCAUCAUUAUCAGAGCAAUAAGGCAAGGAAAGUAAUUCACCACAAGAUGUAGCAACAUUAUGAGUAGAGGAAUUACGAGGACUAGCACAUGGCAAUAUAGCAUUUUGACAAGAAGUAGUGCUAAUGUCCACACGAGGCUCACUUGAUGCUACCUUGGUAGUAAUAGCAUCAUGGGGUAAUUUUAGCACAUUGUGGGAUACUAGAAGAUCCUCAUGAGAGCUUGUGAGCAUUACAUGACUUUCUUGCAAUUUCCCAUAAUUUCUAGAUAGCAACUCAAGUUGAGCCCUUAGCUCAACAUUCUACUUUAAUACGGAUGCUUGAUACGUCCAUUUUGCAUCAUGUUUUCAUGUUGAUAUUUAUCGCUUCUUGGGCUGUUAUUUCACUUCACGGUGCAAUUCUUAUGCCUUCUCUCUUAUUUUGCAAGGUUUACAUGAAGAGGGAGAAUACCGGCAGCUGGAAUUUUGGCGUGAAAGUGGAGAAAAGUUGAGAUACCUAUUCUGCGCAGCUCCAAACGUCGUAAAAAUCAACGAGGAUUUUUUUCCGGAUUUAUAAAAAAUACUGGGCCGAAGAAGCGCCAGAGGGGCGCCAGGGGUUGGCCACAAGCCUGCACGGCGCGGCCACCCCCCAAGCCACGCCAUGAGGGCUUGUGGGCAGCCUGCUGGCCCACUUGCCCCCCUCUUCUGCUAUAUGAAGGGUUUCGUCUGGAAAAAAAAAAAUCAGAGAGGAGCUUUUUCGUGGAUUCGCCGCCGCCACAAGGCGGAACUUGAGCAGAACCAAUCUAGAGCUCCAACAGGACGAUCCUACCGGGAAACUUCCCUCCCGGAGGGGGAAAUCGUCGCCAUCGUCAUCACCAACACUCCUCUCAUUGGAGGGUACUCGUCACCAUCAACAUCUUCAUCAGCACCAUCUCAUCUCCAAACCCUAGUUCAUCACUUGUAACCAAUCUCCGUCUCGCUACUCCGAUUGGUACUUGUAAGGUUGCUAGUAGUGUUGAUUACUCUUUGUAGUAGAUGCUAGUUGGAUUACUUGGUGGAAGAGUUUAUGUUCAGAUCCUUGAUGUUACUCAUACCUCUCUGGUCAUGAAUAUGAUUAUGCUUUGUGAGACGGUACUUUUGUUCCUGAGGACAUGGGAUAAGUCAUGCUAAUAGUAGUCAUGUGAAUUCGGUAUUCGUUCGGUAAUUUGAUAAGUUGUAUGUUGUUUUCCUCUAGUGGUGUUAUGUGAACGUCGACUACAUAACACUUCACCAUUAUUUGGGCCUAGAGGAAGGCAUUGGGAAGUAGUAAGUAGAUGAUGGGUUGCUAGAGUGAUAGAAGCUUAAACCCUAGUUUAUGUGUUGUUUCGUAAGGGGCUGAUUUGGAUCCACUAGUUUAAUGCUAUGGUUAGACUUUGUCUUAAUUCUUCUUUCGUAGUUGCGGAUUCUUGCGAGAGGGGUUAAUCAUAAGUGGGAUGCUUGUCCAAGGAAGGGCAGUACCCAAGCGCUGGUCCACCCACAUAUCAAACUGUCAAAGUAACGAACGUGAAUCAUAUGAACAUGAUGAAACUAGCAUGACAGAAAUUCCCGUGUGUCCUCGGAGCGUUUUUCCUCCUAUAAGACAUUGUCCAGGCUUGUCCAUUGCUACAAAAGGGAUUGGGACACUUUGCUGCACCGUUGCUACUUUUGUUACUUGUUGCUUGCUAUGAAUCGUCUCACCACACAAUCACUUGUUACCGACAAUUUCAGUGCAUGUAGAUUUUACCUUGCUGAAAACCACUUGUCAGAUCCUUUUGCUCCUCGUUGGGUUCGACACUCUUACUUAUCGAAAGGACUAAGAUUGAUCCCUUAUACUUGUGGGUCAUCAAUGCUUCAGAAGAAAGAGAGUUAGUAGCACAAGCAUCAUCAUUAACAACAAGAGGAGAAGGCAACUUGGCAAGCUCUUUAGCAUAAGAAGAUUUAAGUUGGGCAUGAGACUCAGUGAGUUCGAUGAGCGAACUCUUAAUAUCACUUGAGCAAUUUUUGAGGUGCUCGUAGUCCUCAAGGAGUUUAGCAUGAGCAACUUCAAGAUUAUCAUUUUUAGUUCUAAAAUCAUUAGCCACCUCGAGGGCUCAAUCAUGGGAUUCCUUUAAUCUAGAUAAUUAUAGAGAAAAGGUCUCCUCAAGAGAUUCCUUGGUGGUUUGUUCAUUUUCAAGAGCUUGGGAUAGCUCCUCUAUCUCAUCAGCGUAAUCAUGCUCAUGACCUUCCAUUGUCUCAAUGUUGGCCUCAUGCUCCUCGAGAUGAGCUUCCAACUCCUCAAUAUAUUUCUUGCCCUGAGUAGCAAUAGACAUGAUUUCCAUGAAGUUGGAACAAGCAAGUUUAUUCUUAUAAAGAGAUUUGAAAAUCAUUUCACCCUUAAAUUUUAAGGAUGCAAUAUUAUCACUCUCUUCAUCAUUAUGGGGGGGGUCAAGAGAUAUAUUGGGAUUCAAGGUAGGAGGUACCUUUGAAGCCUUAGCCAUAAAGAAAAAGUGAGAAACAAUAGAUGAUGAUGUAGGAUCCCUUGAAGCAUCAUUCAAGGCCACAUCUUGUUCCAUGGAGUGAUGGAUUUCCUCUACAUUGUUAGCAGCACAACUCGAGGAAAUAUAUACAUUUUUAUCAUGGCAACAAGAUAUAGAAACCAUAUCAUCAUGAGAUUUUGUAAAGCAGUUUUUACAUGAUAUGCAAGGACUAUCAACAUAAGCAUGUAAAACAUUUAGAGUGCUCGAAGUGUUAACACCCAAAGAUGAAGCAUUGCAAUAAUAUAGUGAUGAAUGAUCAUCAACAAUAAGCCCACUAUUAUCAUUGCAAUGAUAACCACUACUCACCAUAUCAUUACCUUGUGGCAAGCCACAUGUAGGUGAAGUAGAUGAAGUUGAGAAGACUACACGACAAGAGGUGGAAGGAGAACAAUCAUUCCCACAAAUCUUGAACACACCAUAUUUAUCUUGAAGCUUUGUCCAUAUCUCAUGAGCAUCCCGGAAUGGCAUGAGUUGAAAUAUAACUACAUUGCUCAAAGCAUCAAAAACAACAUUAGAAGCUUGAGCAUUAAGAUAAGAGUUUUUCUCAUCCUCUAAAAAUAUAUUUUGAGAAUCCUUUGAAGGAGAAAAACCCAUAUCUACAAUUCGCUCUAAAUUUGGGUCCAUGACCCUAAAAAUAUUAAGCAUGUGAAUUACCCAAACAUCAAAAGUUGUGCCCUCGAAACUAAGAGUGUCAGAGAAUCCUAAACCCCUAGUAGACAUCCUUACUCUCUAGGUGGUUAAACCUAAUAAUCAGAGACCUAGAUCUAAUACCAAUUGAAAGGACGUGGAUGUCGCCUAGAGGGGGGGGGGGGUAAAUAGGCGCUUUAAAAUAAUUACGGUUUAGGCUUGAAUAAAACUAACGUUUAAUUUGUCAAGCACAAAACCUAAAACAACUAGGCUCACCUAUGUGCACCAACAACUUAUGCUAAGCAAGAUAAAAAACUAAGUGGUAGCAAUAUAUAUGACAAGAAACAAUAUGGCUAUCACAAAGUAAAGUGCAUAAGUAAAGGGUUCAGAUAAGAUAUAACCGAGGCACGCGGAGACGAUGAUGUCUCCCGAAGUUCACACCCUUACGGAUGCUAAUCUUCGUUUGGAGCGGUGUGGAGGCACAAUGCUCCCCAAUAUGCCACUAAGGCCACUGUAAUCUCCUCACACCCUCGCACAAUGCAAGAUGCCGGGAUUCUACUAAGGGCCCCUUGAGGGUGGUCACGAAACCCGUACAAACAAGAUUGGGGCAAUCUCCACAACUUAAUUGGAGGCUCCCAACAACACCACGAAGCUUCACCACAAUGGCAUAUGGCUUCGAGGUGACCACAAAUGCUCAGGAAAAUCUCCACAACUUAAUUGGAGAUCCCGACGCUUGCCUGGAGCUUUACACCACAAUGAUUGAGCUCCGAGGCACCACCAAGCUUCUAGGGGUACCGAGUACCCAAGGGUAAUAAGCUUCUCAACUUCUCACUUCCACGUAUCACCAUGGAGAACUCAAACCGAUGCAACUAAUGCAAUGGCAAGAACACACGAAGUGGUCGAGUCCCUCACACUAAAAUCCCUCCACAACAACAAAAGCUAUGGAGAAAUAUGAGAGGAAGAACAAGGAGCUCACAAAGAACUCCAAGAUCAAGAUCCAAGGGGUUCCCCUCACAUAGAGGAGAAAGUGAUUGGUGGAGAUGUGGAUCUAGAUCUCCUCUCUCUUUUCCCUCAAGAACUAGCAAGAAUAAUUGGAGGGAUUAAGAGUUAGCACACUCUAAGAGGGUCAACAAUGGGGGAAGAACACGAGCUCAACGGAUGGAUUAGGUCCAAUGGGGAAGACCUCCUUUAUAUAGUGGGGUAAAGAAUCCAAUUGUUACCCCCACUCACAGCCCGACCGGAGCGGUACUACCGCUUCUAGGAGCGGUACUGCCGCUGCCAGAACAUCCGAGGGAGCGGUACUACUGCCCGGGAGCGGUAGUAAAAAAUUACUACCCCUCAAGGAGCGGUACUACCGUUGGCACCAGGAGCGGUACUACCACUGGAUACUGAAACUGCCAUAACUUUCGCAUACGAACUCCGAAUCGAGCAAACUCAAGCUUGUUGAAUUCACGACGACAAGAGCUAUCCAACAGUUAUAAAUAUGCAUGGAUUUGCUUAUAUUUAUAUCCGUGAAUCUUUCGAGUUGUCCAAUAUUAUGCAUGGACAGCCCGUGUAUGUGUAGAUUGGGUUCGUUUUCCCAUAUGCUUUGUUCCGGAUCCGAUGCAUAAUUUCGUCAGUGCCUCCCUGUUGUUCUCUGGAUACACAUCCUCUUUGUUUAUUGCGGAGAUGUGUAUCAGGAGAACAGUGGGGAGGUGCUACCAAAAUUUUGCGUUGGAUCCGGAGCAGAGCAUGGGAAAACGAACCCAAUCUACACAUACUCGGGUGGGAUUAGGACCUAUCUUUACCUAUUAGCGUGUAGGUUUCAUGGACGUAAUAAAAAUGGCGAACUUGAUUAACUGAAGAAUAUAUAUGCUAAAUUAUAUCUAAAUAUAUUUCUUGUGUCUUUAGUAGAUAGGCAAGAUGACUGAUCGUGUGUGGAUGUAUACCAGUCACCCUAGUCAGAAAGAGAUGACGAAAGAAUGGUUUCUAAAAACCAAGGAAUUUGUGAAAGCCUCAUUUACAAAUGGCCAGGAAAGGAACUAUUGCCCCUAUCAUGGAUGCGACAACUAUAAAAAGACGACAGAGGCUGUAAUGAUUAAACACCUGCAAAGGAGGGGUUUUAAGCCUAAUUGUACGGUGUGGAUAUUUCAUGGUGAGUCUAUACAACGCACCAGAGCUGAGGUGGUCCGUCGUCGCACCGACGAGCAUGGUACCGGGAUCGAAGACAUGCUGCAAGACUUUGAUGAUGCUCGGGAUUCGGAAUAUGAGAUGGAGGAAUCUGCAAAGGCCUUCUAUGAAAUGUCGGAGUCUUCAAAACAUCCUCUCCAUGAGCACACUGAGCUUUGUCAGCUGGAUGCAAUUGAACAAGUAAUGGCUCUGAAGGCUCAGUUCAACUUGGGAAGAGAAUGCUACGACGCGAUGAUGACUGAAACUGCCAUAACUUUCGCAUACGAACUCUGAAUCGAGAAAACUCAAGCUUGUUGAAUUCAUGACGACAAGAGCUAUCCAACAACGUUAUGGACAAUGCUUACCAUACCAUGGAUCACUUGAUCGUUAUCGGUACAUCUUAUACGCUUUGUGUGUUGAUCAUCUUGAUUUACUCUCUGCUUAGUGUUGAUCAAUUACCUUGUGUCUUUAUGACCAAUCUUUGGAUAAUACUUUGAAUACCACCUUGGUCAUCAUAUAAACUCCUUGAAACCAAUAGAUGGACUUCAAGAAGUGCCUAUGGAUAAAUCCUUCGAAUAUAACUUAAGGCAACCAUUUGUCCAUAGGGAUUGUAAUCAAUUACCAAAACCACAUAUGGAGAAAUAUGCUCUAACAACAGUGUUGCGGUACACGAAUCUCGCGCAGAUGUUAUCUCAUUGAUUGGUUCACGUGAUGAGGCGCAAGCUGUUAUAAUCCCAGUCUUGGCUGGUCAGGUAGCGGUUGGUCAUCACGGGGUUGUGCCCUCCGUUCCCGCAUAGGUGUAGGUAGCUAGGGAAGCUACCGGCUCCUUCCCUCCUAGUCGUGUCCCGUCCUGAGAGCUUAAGGGGAUUUCUCCUUAGGAAUCGCAUCAUCUAAAUGAAGUAUAUUUUCUCGAACAUAUGUGGUUGUGGCCACGCUGGGCAUAGGACCCUCCUAAAAUAUUAUAUCUCUCGGGAACACAUAGACAAUGUUACCCUAGAGAAACAAUCAAAGAUGGACUUCUCUUUCUGAGACCUUCUUGCGACUGACCCCCUUCAACGUUUCUUCUGGAACUGGAUCCCCUCUUCGGGUCACGAAGGUGACCUCCACUUGGGGUGAAACAAUGAUAUUUGUGACAUCGUGCCCUAGGGCAUGGAGCAAUUUUUCAUUGUGACUACGAUUCGUUUGCGUUUGUCUGACCUUUCUUGGGCGAUGGCCUGUGUAUACGGGCCUGUAGGCCACUCUAGAUCUGUGGAUUUGUUUGGGAGAUCCAUUCGUUUGUAGCUAUGAAGCAAUCUUAUCUUAUUCCGGUGGUGCUAGGGAGAAACUUUAACCUUAUCCGUUCAAGAGCGGACAAGAACAAUGAUAAUAUUGAUAGGUUGCAUGUUAACAUGUUCAAUGUCGCGAUUACAACGGCUGCCUUGCGAGAGGUGGCGUAGUCGGGAGCGUGCUUUACCUGGACCAACAAGCAACUGGUUCUGGUACGAAGUGUCUUGGAUAGAGUGUUCAUUACUUAGGAUUGGGAGCUCCUAUUUCCCAUGUGCUCCCUUCUAGCAGAGACACUCAUUGGGUCAGAUCAAAUCCCUUUGAUUUUAUCCACGGGGGAGGAUAGGAUCAAGCACCGCCCACUGUUCUAUUUUGAGACAGCUUGGUUUGAAGUUGAGGGUUUGUUCAUUUAGUCUCGUCUCAAUUGGACAUGGCGGUCUCCGCCAUCGGGUGCCAACGUGGACCCUUCGACACUUGGGUUGCUGCGGCUACGAACUCGCGGUCUUUUCUUCGCGGUUGGGGUGCCAAUCACGGUAGUUCCUCUAAGCUUGAAAGAGCAAGCCUUACGGAGGCCAUCGCUGCACUCGACUCCCAAGCUGAUGCCCGACCUUUCUCCAAAGCCGAAUGUGCAACUAGAUAUGAUCUUGAAAAUCAGUUGUUAGCUAUCCUCAGAGAGCAAGAGGAGUGCUGGCGUCGUAGGGGUGUUGUCAAGUGGGUCACUAAGGGCGACACAAAUACAAGAUAUUUUCAUGCAUAUGCCAAUGGACAUAAAAGCAAGUGCUCCAUACCGCGCCUACAGUCAGAACAAGAACUCCUCCUUAGUCAGAACGCCAUUGCUGCCCAUGCUUAUGACUUCCUUAUUGGCCUUCUGGGGAUGGCCAAUGAAAAGCAGGUUUUCCUUCGUAAUGAUUUGUGGGAUCAAUCACAACGGGUGUCAACGCAGGAGAAUGACUCGCUUGCCCUAUCAUUUCUCCACGAGGAGAUUGACAAGGCUCUCUGGUCCAUCAAGGUCGAUACGGCCCCGUCCUAGACGGUUCGCUAGUUUUGUUCAUCAUAUCUCCUAACUUGUCCCUGUAGGAGAAACAACGAUGAACAUAAAUGGGGUAGCGGGAAGUUCUUCCGCACCAAACGAGGUCUUAGGCAAGGGGAUCCGGUCUCACCCCUUCUCUUCAACUUUUGGCUGAUGCCCUCAUGGCCAUGCUCUAGUGGGCAAGGGCAGACGACCGCAUCAAGGGAGUUGUGGCUGACCUUAUCCAUGGAGGGGUCAUGCAGCUUCAAUACGCGGAUGAUACAAUGUUGCUGUUUGAGCCUGACAACACCAGCAUUGCCAUGCUCAAGUUUCUACUCCUCAGUUUUGAGAUCCUCUCUGGCCUCAAAAUCAACUUUCAUAAAAGCAAGGCCAUUACCAUGGGGAUGGAACUAAAAUAUAGCCAUAGGGUGGCCAACCUUCUAAACUGUAAGCUUGGGAGCUUUCCUAUCAAGUACUUGGGUCUUCCCAUCUCUAGUACGAAUCUAUCGAUACUUGAAUGGGAGCCUUUGUAUGGCAAAGUUGCUAAUAGGAUGAGCCCUUGGUGUGGGUGCUUCUUGUGCGCCCCGGCCUAGCUCGUCCUUACCAACGCGAGCCUCUCAUCUCUCCCACUCUUAUCAAUGGGAAUGUUCUUGCUAAGCUAGACUUUCCGAGAUCUCGGUUCUUCUGGGAGGGGGUCGGAAACAAAUGUAAAUACCACUUAGCCAAAUGGGCGGCCAUGUGUUGCCCUAUGAAAUUAGGCAGCCUCGGCAUCCUUAACUCCAAACUCAUGAUUGUAGCGCUCCUUACAAAGUGGAUCUAUAGGAUCUCUCAAAACGAGCAGGGGCUCUGGGCGGAUCUCCUUCGUGCCAAAUAUUUCUCGGACGGGAACUUAUUUCGCUCUAGAGUCAAAGGUUCGCCCUUCUGGAAUGGGAUCCAGGCGGUACAUUCGGCCUUUGCGCUAGGGGCUAGCUUUGCGGUGCACAAUUGUGAAAGUACCCGCUUCUGGUUGUACUGUUGGCUGGGGCUAACACCUCUUCGGAUGAGCCACGAAGGCAUGUAUAGGCUAGCCUCCGAGACUGGGCUAACCGUGGCUGAGGCCUUCCGCUUCUCGCCUCCUGCGUUCACUUUAAGUGGGCCCUCCCCCUACAAAAGCGGCCAACUCGGGGGACCUCCGCAAUCAUCUUGCCCUCGCCUCUCUCGAUCAAGCGCCGGACUCCAUAUCUAGGAGCCUGACCACCUCCGGUUUGUUCUCUAUUAAAUCCUUAUAUGAAGCUCUUUCGAAGGGUUCGGCCGUUGACAUCGCCACUGGUCUAUAGAAGACUUGGAUUCAGGGUUUAGGAUUUUUGGGUUUAGAGUUAGGACCCUAAACCCUAAUUCUAAACCCUAAACCCUAAACCCUGAAGAUUAAAAUCUUCCUGUGGCAAAUGUUUCGAAAUCGCCUUCCCACUUCUGACAACAUGGCCAAGCAGAAGGGCCCUUGUGAUGGGACAUGUUCCCUUUGUUCGAUAGUCGAAGAUGCUAACCACGUAUUCUCUCGGUGCGUGCUAGCCAGAUUUGCGUGGAGUGCCAUGCAGAGUGCCUUUGGGCUUAACUGGAAUCCCUCCUCCAUGACUGACCUCCUUACUAUUCUCCGUGCUCAAGGCAGAACCUUUGCUAGGAGCGCGUGGUGAAGCGUACGUAGGGGCAUUGUUAUGGAGUAUUUGGAGUAUUCGUAACAAAUUUACUAUCGAACACCGCUUUCCGUCUUACCUAGCUGACAUGAUAUUCAAUGCUCAUCUUUUUCUCGAGUCCUCGAAGCCGUCGAGGAAACGACGUGAUGACAACAACAUGCUUCAACUCUUGAAGAAGAUCAAGAAUAUCCACAGCCGUGCGUGAUAGCCGGCUCUGCUAUAACUUUUUGUGCUUUUGAGCCUGUGUGCUCUUUAUUUGUCCUGCUAGGCUUGUGCGUCACGUCUUUUUUUGCUCUAUCUUAUGUAUGUGAACUAUGUGUGAGUUACCAAAAAAGGGUUCCCCCCGCUUUGUAUACAAAGCAACCAACCGGUAUAGCCAACGAUAGGUGCUGGGGCAAGCAUCACAAUCAUGCCCAAAAGAAAGACAAAAGAUAAAUAAGUGAAAAAAUGUGAGCAACACCGGAUCAAAAAAAGGUGUAGUUUAUCGCCACUAUUGCACCCACCGAAUAAUUCCAGCACACUUCAGUGCCAUCGGAUUGUUGUGUGCCAAGCAACACUUUCAAGAAGGACUGCGACGACAAUGAUGUUGCUGCUCGGACAAGUCCUAGGAUUUCUCUCGGCACACGGAGGGUAGCAGGGGAGAGGUACAUCAGACUCCCUUCACAAAGGGAGGGGCGCCCGCAGGCGUCACUGCAUCGGUGUCAGCCAGAUCCGAUAGAGAUUUCUCCCGACCCCUCGCACCCACCGCCCGGGACCAAUCCUUAGCUCUACCAUGCCAACCACCCACCAACAUGCGCCGCCACAGUCAUGUGGACACCAUCAUCAUCUCCCCACAACAAACGCAGCGAGCCCAGCUAGACUAAGACACAUCCAACGUAGACAGGGAUCGGUAGUACCACAACCGCGUGGAAGGGGACAACCUCCACCGACACAUGCUAUAGCAGACCGGACACAUGCUUAGGGGCAUGCUGUAGCCCCUGCCCAGCUGGGCCCAGAUGGGGCAUGUUAAGCCCCCGUCGCCGCAUGAUACGUCUCCAACGUAUCUAUAAUUUUUGAUGGUUUCAUGCUAUUAUCUUGUCAAACUUUGGACGUUUUGUAUGCCUUUUAUAUAUUUUUGGGACUAACUUAUUAACUUAGUGCCAAGUGCCAGUUCCUGUUUUUUCCGUGUUUUUGACCACUUUCAGAGGAGGAAUUUAAACUGAGUCCAAACGGAACGAAACUUCCAAAAAGAUUUUUUCUGAAACAGAAGAAGAUCGGGGAACCUGAGAAUCAGGGCCGGGGGCCACCAGGGACCCCACAAGCCGCCUAGCCGUGGCCAGGGGGGCCCGCACCUCCUAGUCUUGUGGGAUCCCGGGGCCACCUCUGCCCUAGGUCUUCCGCCUAUAUAUUCCCUAAAAUCCCAAAAAAUCAAGAGAUUAUCGAAAGUACUUUUCCGCCGCCGCAAGCUUCUAUCUCCGCAAGAUCCCAUCUGGGGCACGUUCUGGUGCCCUGCAGGAGGGGGGAUUCAGAUACGGAGGGCUUCUUCAUCAACACCAUGACCUCUCCGAUGAUGCGUGAGUAGUUCACGACAGACCUACGGGUCCAUAGCUAGUAGCUAGAUGGCUUCUUCUCUCUCUUAGAUCUUCAAUAGAAAGUUCUCCAUGAUCUUCAUGGAGAUCUAUCCGAUGUAAUCUUCUUUUGCGGUGUGUUUGUCGAGAUCCGAUGAAUUGUGGAUUUAUGAUCAGAUUAUCUAUGAAUCUUAUUUGAGUUUCUUCUGAUCUCUCUUAUGCAUGAUUUCAUAUCCUUGUAAUUCUCUUCGAGUUGUGGGUUUUGUUUGGCCAACUAGAUCUAUGAUUCUUGCAAUGGGAGAAGUGCUUGGUUUUGGGUUCAUACCGUGCGGUGAGCUCACCCAGUGACAAAAGGGGUAGCGAGGUACGCAUCGUGUUCUUGCCAUCAAGGGUAAAAAGAUGGGGUUUUCAUCAUUGGUUUGAGUAUCCCUCUACAUCAUGUCAUCUUGCUUAAAGCGUUACUCUAUUCGUCAUGAACUCAAUACACUAGAUGCAUGCUGCAUAGCGGUCGAUGUGUGGAGUAAUAGUAGUAUAUGCAGAAAGUAUCGGUCUACUUGUCUCAGACGUGAUGCCUAUAUGUAUGAUCAUUGCCUUAGAUAUCGUCAUGACUUUGCGCGGUUCUAUCAAUUGCUCGACAGUAAUUUGUUCACCCACUGUAAUAUUUGCUAUUUUUAGAGAAGCCUCUAGUGAAAACUAUGGCCUCUGGUCUACUUCACCUCAUAUUUUCAGCCUUACACUUUUUCUUUGUUGCACUUUCUGCCUUCAGAUCUCACUUUGCAAUCAAACUUGAAGGGAUCGACAACCCCUUUAUAGUGUUGGGUGCAAGCUCUUUUGUGUUUGUGCAGGUACUCUGGACUUCACGAGAUUCUCCUACUGGAUUGAUACCUUGGUUCUCAAACUGAGGGAAAUACUUACUACUCUUGUGCUGCAUUGCCCUUUCCUCUUCAAGGGAAAAACCAACACAAGCUCAAGAGACUACAGAAGAUUUCUGUUGCCAUAGCAGAAGAAUUUCUGGCGCCGUUGCUGGGGAGAAUCAAGUCAAGAACUCAUCCAAGUAAGUGUUGCAAACUCAUCUCUUGCAUUUACCUUUUUUGCCUCUCGUUUUCCCCUCCCCUACUUCUGAAAAACAAAAAUUUACAAAAAAAUAUUUUCCUUUUUUGUUCGCCCUUUUUUCUCGCUUGAUCUUUGUUCGCUUGUGUGCUUGCUUGCUUGCUUGCCGAAGUCACCAUGACUGAAAACACCAAACUUUGUGACUUCUCGAAUACUAAUAAUAAUGAUUUUAUUAGUACUCCGAUUGCUCCCGCCACUAGUGCAGAGUCAUAUGAAAUCAAUGCCGCUUUGCUGAAUCUUUUAUGAAAGAGAAAUUCUCCGGCCUUCCUAGUGAAGAUGCCGCUUCCCAUCUUAAUACCUUCAUUGAGCUUUGCGAUAUGCAAAAUAAGAAAGAUGUGAUACUGAUGUGAUUAAAUUGAAGAUUUUUCCUUUCUCGUUGCGAGAUCGAGCAAAAACUUGGUUUUCGUCUUUGCGCAAAAAUAGUAUUGAUUCUUGGGAUAAGUGCAAAUAUGCUUAUAUAUCCAUGUAUUUUCCGCCGGCUAAGAUUAUCUCUCUCCGUAAUGAUAUCAUGAAUUUUAAGCAACUUGAUCAUGAACAUGUUGCACAAUCUUGGGAGAGAAUGAAAUUGAUGAUUAGAAAUUGUCCCACUCAUGGCUUGAGUCUUUGGAUGAUUAUACAAAUCUUCUACGCUGGCUUGAAUUUCGCUUCUAGAAAUAUCUUGGACUCCGCCUCAGGUGGAACAUUCAUGGAAAUCACGUUAGGAGAAGCCACAAAAAUCCUAGACAAUAUCAUGAUGAACUACUCUCAGUGGCACACUGAAAGGUCACCUACUAGUAAGAAGGUACACGCUAAGAUGGAUGAGUUAAUGAAUUUGGUUGCUAGUAGAAGUGCUCCUUUAGAUCCUAACGAUAUGCCCUUGUCUUCCUUGAUUGAGAGUAGCAACGCUAGCUUGGACGUUAAUUUUGUUGGUAGGAAUAAUUUUGGCAACAACAAUGCUUUUAGAGCAAACUAUGUUCCUAGGCCUUUUCCUAGUAACUCCUCUAAUAACUUCGGCAACUCCUACAACAAUACUCAUGGAAAUUACAAUAGAUUAUCCUCUGAUCUAGAGAGCAAUAUCAAAGAGUUUAUCAACUCGCAAAAGAUUUUCAAUGCGUCCAUAGAGGAAAAACUACUCAAAAUUGAUGAUUUGGCUAAGAGCGUUGAUAGAAUGUCUAGUGAUAUUUAUGCUUUGAAAUUUAUAUGUGCUCCUCCCAAGAUCAAUAUGGAUGAAACUUUGAAAGCUAUGCGUGUUUCCAUGAGUGAGAGCAAAGAAAGAACCGCCCAAAUUCAUGCUAGACAUGAAUGGCUUAAAAAGGCAUGUUCUUGUGAUAAGAAUCACGAAGAUCUUAAAGUGCUUGGUGUGACUCCCAUUGAAUCUUUGUUUUUGUCUCAAACCUAAUGAUGAUGGGGCUGGAUAUGAAUCCACCUUGGUUGAAAAACGCCCCAAUGAUUCGUAGUCCAUCUAUCUUGAUGCUAAAAGCAUUGAAAGUGGAGUAGAAGAUAUUAAAACUUUGAGUAGUAAUGAAAUUACUACCUUGGAUUUCAAGGAAUUCAAUUAUGAUAGUUGCUCCUUGAUUGAGUGCAUUUCCUUGAUGCAAUCCAUGCUAAACUCUCCACAGGCUUAUAGCCAAAACAAAGCCUUUACCGAUCAUAUCGUCGAAGCUAUGAUAAAAUCUCUUGAAGAGAAACUUGAAUUGGAAGCCUCUAUCCCUAGAAAGCUUCAUGAUGAGUGGGAACCUACUAUCAAAAUCAAAAUAAAAAACUAUGAAUGCAAUGCUUUGUAUGAUUUGGGUGCUAGUGUUUCCGCGAUUCCAAAGUCUUUAUGUGAUGUUCUAGGUUUUAAUGAGAUUGAGGAGUGUUCUCUUAAUUUGCAUCUUGCGGAUUCUACUAUCAAGAAACCCAUGGGAAGGAUAAAUGAUGUUAUUAUUAUUGCAAAUAGGAACUAUGUACCCAUGGAUUUCAUUGUGCUUGACAUUGAUUGCAAUCCUACAUGCCCUAUUAUUCUUGGUAGACCUUUCCUAAGGACUAUCGGUGCUAUCAUCGAUAUGAAGGAAGGGAAUAUUAGAUUUCAAUUUCCUUUAAAUAAGGAAAUGGAGCACUUUCCUAGAAAGAAAAUAAGAUUGCCUUAUGAAUCCAUGAUGAGGGCUACUUAUGGUUUGAGCACCAAAGACGACGAUACGUAAUUCCAUCACCUUAUGCCUAGCUAAGGGCGUUAAACAAUAGCGCUUGUUGGGAGGCAACCCAAUGAAUUUAUUUCUUUUUCUUUCUGUUUUUUGCGUCCACAGUAUCAUAAUACUGUCAUGAUUGUGUCUUCUGUGUUUAUUUUUGUGUUUGAGCCAAGCAAAACCUUUAUGACUAGUCUUCGUGAUGGUUGUUUGAUCUUGUUGGAAAAAGACAGAAACUUUUCGCUCACGAGAUGAUUUUUCAUUUUUAUUCAGAAAGAGAUUUUGAGUUGAUUCUUUUUGCUUAUGUUUUAUAUGCCUAUUUCCCAGGUAGUCGUAAUUUUUCAGAAUUUUUGAGGUACCAGAAGUAUACGAGGUAUACAGAUUGCUACAGACUGAUCUGUUUUUGACACAUUCUGUUUUUGUUGAGUUGGUUGCUUGUUUUGAUGAAACUAUGGAUAGUAUCGGGGGGUACUAGCCAUGUAAAAGUGAGAAUGCAGUAAUCUAACACAAAUAUAAAUAGAAAUCAAGAUUGCUACAGUACCUAGAGAGGUGGUAGUUUGUUUUCUUGUGCUAAUGUUAUCACGAGUUUCUGUUUAAGUUUUGUGUUGUGAAGUUUUCAAGUUUUGGGUGAUGUUCUCAUGGACAAAGAGAUAAGGAUUGGAAAGAUAUCAAGCUUGGGGAUGCCCAAGGCAUCCCAAGCCAAAUUCAAGGACACCAAAAAGCCUAAGCUUGGGGAUGCCCCGGGAAGGCAUCCCCUCUUUCGUCUUCAAUCUAUCGGUAACAUUACUUGGAGCUAUAUUUUUAUUCACCACAUGAUAUGUGUUUUGCUUGGAGCAUCUUGUAUCCUAGGAGUCUUUUCUUUUUGUUGUGUAACAAUCAUCCUUGCUGCACACCUUUUGAGAGAGACAUGCACUCAUCGUGAUUUUGCUAGAAUGCUCAUAGUGCUUCACUUAUAUCUUUUGAGCUAGAUAAUUUUGCUCUAUGUGCUUCACUUAGAUCUUUUAGAGCACGGCGGUGCGUGACUUGGUAGUUGGUUUAUGCUAUGAAAGUAGUCCCAAAGGUGAUAGGUACCCAAAGAGGAUACAAAAACCUCCAUCUUCAUGUGCAUUGAGUAGAAAGAGAAGUCUUAUUCCUCUCAAUUAGUUUUGAGACGUGGAUUUAGUAAUAUUAAGAGAUAUGUUAGUAGGGUGUUGUGAAUCUAGAAAUACUUGUGUUGAAGUUAGUGAUUCCCGUAACAUGCACAUAUGGUGAACCGCUAUGUUAGGAAGUCGGAGCAUAAUUGAUCUAUUAAUUGUCAUCCUUUGUGUUGAGGUCGGGAUCGAGCGAUGGUUAACACCUACCAACCAUUCCCCUAGGAGUAUGCGUUUAGCACUUUGUUUUGAUUACUAAUAAAAAACUUCCGCAACAAGUAUGUGAGUUCUUCAUGACUAAUGUGAGUCCAUGGUAUAGAUGCACUUUCACCUUCCACCAUUGCUAGCCUCUCUAGUGCCGCGCAAUUUUUGCCGGUACACAAACCCACCUUAUGCCUUCCUCAAAACAGCCACCAUACCUACCUACUAUGGCAUUUUCAUGACCAUUCCGAGAUAUAUUCCCAUGCAACUCCCUCCGUUCCGUCUCAUGACUUGUGCCGUCACUCUCAUAUUGCCAUUGCAUGAUCGUAAGAUAGCUAGCGAGAUGUUUCAACGUCAUACGCCAAGCUAGAUCGUUGCACAUCCCGGUACACUGGCGGAGGCAUUUCCUAUAGAGUCAUCAUCGUCCUAAGCUUUGAGCUGUGAGUAAAUAAAAGUGUGAUGAUUAUCAUUAUUAGAGCAUUGUCCCAUGUGAGGAAAUAAAAAAAAGAGGCCAAAGAUCCCAAAUAAAAAAAAGAGAAAAAAGAGAGGCCCAAGAGCCCAAAUAAAAAAAAGAGAGAAAAAGAGAGAAGGGACAAUGCUACUAUCUUUUUCCACACUUGUGCUUCAUAAUAGCACCAUGUUCUUCAUGAUUGAGAGCCUCUCGUUUUGUCACCACCAUAUGCUAGUGGGAAUCUUCAUUAUAUAACUUGGCUUGUAUAUUCCAAUGAUGGGCUUCCUCAAAAUUGCCCUAGGUCUUCGUGAGCAAGCAAGUUGGAUGCACACUCACUAGUUCUCCUUUUGAGCUUUCACAUACUUAUAGCUCUAGUGCAUCCUUUGUAUGGCAAUCCCUACUCAUUCACAUUGAUAUCUAUUAAUGGGCAUCUCCAUAGCCCUUUGAUACGCCGAGUGUGACCAUCUCCUCCCUUUUUGUCUCACAACCACCACCACACUCUAUUCCACCUAUAGUGCUAUAUCCAUGGCUCACGCGUCAUAGUUGUAAAAGGUUUGAGAAAGUAAGAGUGCGAAAACAAUUACUUGGCCAAUACCGGGGUUGUGCAUGAUUUAAAUUAGUUGUGUGAGGAUGAUGGAGCAUAGCCACACUAUAUGAUUUUGUAGGGAUAACUUUCUUUGGCCUUUAUAUUUUGAAAGUUCAUGAUUACCCUGCUAGUUUGCUUGAAGUAUUAUUGUUUUCAUGUCAAUAGCAAACUAUUGUUUUAAAUCUUACGGAUCUGAACAUUCAUAUCACACGAAAGAAGGUGCAAAGGACAACUAUGCUAGGUAGUAUUCCACAUCAAAAAUUCAGUCUUUGUCACUUCCCUACUCGAGGACGAGCAGGAGUUAAGCUUGGGGAUGCUUGAUACGUCUCCGACGUAUCUAUAAGUUUUGAUGGUUUCAUGCUAUUAUCUUGUCAAACUUUGGAUGUUUUGUAUGCCUUUUAUAUAUUUUUUAGGACUAACUUAUUAACUCAGUGCCAAGUGCCAGUUCCUGUUUUUUCCGUAUUUUUGACCCCUUUCAGAGGAGAAUUUUAAACGGAGUCCAAACGGAACGAAACUUCCAAAAAGAUUUUUUCCGAAACACAAGAAGAUCGGGGAACCUGAGAAUCAGGGCACGGGGCCAUCAGGGACCCCACAAGCCCCCUAGCCACGGCCAGGGGGGCCCGCGCUUCCCAGGCUUGUGGGCUCCCUGGGCCACUUCUGCCCUAGGUCUUCCGCCUAUAUAUUCCCUAAAAUCCCAGAAAAAAUCAAGAGAUCAUCGAAAGUACUUUUCCGUCGCCGCAAGCUUCUGUCUCCGCAAGAUCGCAUCUGGGGCACGUUCUGGUGCCCAGCCGGAGGGGGAUUCGGAUACGGAGGGCUUCUUCAUCAACACCAUGACUUCUCCGGUGAUGCGUGAGUAGUUCACCACAGACCUACGGGUCCAUAGCUAGUAGCUAGAUGGCUUCUUCUCUCUCUUGGAUCUUUAAUACAAAGUUCUCCAUGAUCUUCAUGGAGAUCUAUCCGAUGUAAUCGUCUUUUGCGGUGUGUUUGUCGAGAUCCGAUGAAUUGUGGAUUUAUGAUUAGGUUAUCUAUGAAUCUUAUUUGAGUUUCUUCUGAACUCUCUUAGGCAUGAUUUCAUAUCCAUGUAAUUCUCUUCGAGUUGUGGGUUUUGUUUGGCCAACUAGAUCUAUGAUUCUUGCAAUGGGAGAAGUGCUUGGUUUUGGGUUCAUACCGUGCGGUGACCUCACCCAGUGACAGAAGGGGUAGCGAUGCACGCAUCGUGUUGUUGCCAUCAAGGGUAAAAAGAUGGGGUUUUCAUCAUUGGUUUGAGUUUAUCCCUCUACAUCAUGUCAUCUUGCUUAAAGUGUUACUCUGUUCGUCAUGAAUUCAAUACACUAGAUGCAUGCUGGAUAGCGGUCGAUGUGUGGAGUAAUAGUAGUAGAUGCAGAAAGUAUCGGUCUACUUGUCUCGGACGUGAUGCAUAUAUGCAUGAUCAUUGCCUUAGAUAUCGUCAUGACUUUGCGCGGUUCUAUCAAUUGCUCAACAGUAAUUUGUUCACCCACCGUAAUAUUUCCUAUUUUGAGAGAAGCCUCUAGUGAACACUAUGGCCCUCGGGUCUACUUCACAUCAUAUUUUCAGCCUUACACUUUUUCUUCGUUGCACUUUCCGCCUUCAGAUCUCACUUUGCAAUCAAACUUGAAGGGAUUGACAACCCCUUUAUAGCGUUGGGUGCAAGCUCUUUUGUGUUUGUGCAGGUACUCUGGACUUGACAAGAUUCUCCUACCGGAUUGAUACCUUGGUUCUCAAACUGAGGGAAAUACUUACUGCUCCUGUGCUGCAUCGCCAUUUCCUCUUCAAGGGAAAAACCAACGCAAGCUCAAGAGACGACAGAAGAUUUCCCUCGCUGUAGCAGAAGAAUUACUGACGCCGUUGCCGGGGAGGAUCAAGUCAAGAAAUCAUCCAAGUAAGUGUUGCAAACUCAUCUCUUGCAUUUACCUUUUUUGCCUCUCGUUUUCCUCUCCCCCACUUCUGAAAAACAAAAAUUUACAAAAAAAUAUUUUCCUUUUCGUUCGCCCUUUUUUCUCGCUUGUUGUUUGUUCUCUUGUGUGCUUGCUUGCUUGCCGAAGUCACCAUGACUGAAAACACCAAACUUUGUGACUUCUCGAAUACUAAUAAUAGUGACUUUAUUAGUACUCCGAUUGCUCCCGCCACUAGUGCGGAGUCAUACAAAAUCAAUGCCGCUUUGCUGAAUCUUGUUAUGAAAGAGCAAUUCUCCUCCCUUCCUAGUGAAGAUGCCGCAUCCCAUCUUAAUACCUUCACUGAGCUUUGCGAUAUGUAAAAUAAGAAAGAUGUGGAUAAUGAUGUUAUUAAAUUGAAGCCUUUUCCUUUCUCGUUGCGAGAUCGAGCAAAAACUUGGUUUUCGUCUUUGCCCAAAAAUAGUAUUGAUUCUUGGGAUAAGUGCAAAGAUGCUUAUAUAUCCAAGUAUUUUCCGCCUGCUAAGAUUAUCUCUCUCCGUAAUGAUAUCAUGAAUUUUAAGCAACUUGAUCAUGAACAUGUUGCACAAUCUUGGGAGAGAAUGAAAUUGAUGAUUAGAAAUUGUCCCGCUCAUGGCUUGAGUCUUUGGAUGAUUAUACAAAUCUUCUACGCUGGCUUGAAUUUCGCUUCUAGAAAUAUCUUGGACUACGCCUCAGGUGGAACGUUCAUGGAAAUCACGUUAGGAGAAGCCGGAUUCUCCUACUGGAUUGAUACCAUGGUUCUCAAACUGAGGGAAAUACUUACUGCUCCUGUGCUGCAUCGCCCUUUCCUCUUCAAGGGAAAAACCAACGCAAGCUCAUGAGACGACAGAAGAUUUCUAUCGCCGUAGCACCGCACUGCAGCAGACGCAACAUAGGAGCCGCCACCCCCAUUGCCCGUAUCGCGCCAGACUAGUCGGAGACGNNNNNNNNNNNNNNNNNNNNNNNNNNNNNNNNNNNNNNNNNNNNNNNNNNNNNNNNNNNNNNNNNNNNNNNNNNNNNNNNNNNNNNNNNNNNNNNNNNNNNNNNNNNNNNNNNNNNNNNNNNNNNNNNNNNNNNNNNNNNNNNNNNNNNNNNNNNNNNNNNNNNNNNNNNNNNNNNNNNNNNNNNNNNNNNNNNNNNNNNNNNNNNNNNNNNNNNNNNNNNNNNNNNNNNNNNNNNNNNNNNNNNNNNNNNNNNNNNNNNNNNNNNNNNNNNNNNNNNNNNNNNNNNNNNNNNNNNNNNNNNNNNNNNNNNNNNNNNNNNNNNNNNNNNNNNNNNNNNNNNNNNNNNNNNNNNNNNNNNNNNNNNNNNNNNNNNNNNNNNNNNNNNNNNNNNNNNNNNNNNNNNNNNNNNNNNNNNNNNNNNNNNNNNNNNNNNNNNNNNNNNNNNNNNNNNNNNNNNNNNNNNNNNNNNNNNNNNNNNNNNNNNNNNNNNNNNNNNNNNNNNNNNNNNNNNNNNNNNNNNNNNNNNNNNNNNNNNNNNNNNNNNNNNNNNNNNNNNNNNNNNNNNNNNNNNNNNNNNNNNNNNNNNNNNNNNNNNNNNNNNNNNNNNNNNNNNNNNNNNNNNNNNNNNNNNNNNNNNNNNNNNNNNNNNNNNNNNACGAAGGGGUAGGAAGCCGGCGGCUAGGGUUCACCCUCUCGGUCGCCCGCGGGGGCGACGUGAGAGGAGAGGGGGGCCUAUGUGUGAGUUGGAUGUUGCCUCUGUUUACUUUAUUAAUUUAAAACUAGAUGUUUUUUGCAUCUUCAUUAUAAAAAAAGUACAAGCAAUGGGUGCUAGAGAGGCAGAAAUAGGCAGUCAUUUCGUUGGAGAUAUAUCACUCACUCAUAGUAGGGGCCGACUGUGGUGCGGUAUAGUUCUUCUUGAGUGUCAAAGGUGUUCUUUGCGAUCAAUGCUUGUAAUUAAGUCUUUGUUCUCUUGAUAAAAAUGACAAGAAGCAUUGGCGUUGCUUGUUCUUAGAAAAAAACUUUUGAAAUUUCCAACAAUUGUGCACAGGCAGUUAAAGGCAUCUCUAAUAGCUUGCAAUUUACUUUUAUGUACUUCCUUUGGUCGGGUGCAUAGAGCGGGCUUCUAGGUGAGUAGGCAUAAGCAUGUCGUUUGUUCUGUUGGUGGCUGGUCAUCCGUGCAGGAUUAGCGUGGUAAGGGCAUUUUCAACAUUGACCCUUUAAUCAUGUGCAUAUGUUUGAACCACGUGAAAGUUUUACAACAUGGGUCUGUAUCAGUCCGUCGAGCGGUUUGAAUUGCGUUUUUUCCGCAAAUUGGAACCAAACGUAGAAAUUUUUGCGGAAAUUUAGACACUAGUUACGUUAAUCUCGUAGACACAUGGCCCAACCAAAUUGAAGGCGAAGCCCGAGCUUUUGUAGCAUCCAAAUUGUAUUCGCGCCAAAACCUCCCACACUAUUCUCCGACACCGCCGCUAUCCCACCCAACUCCCGCCCUUUCCCACUAUCUUAUUCCCUCCUGCCACCAAAGCAAAGAACUGGUAGAGGACCUACUGGAGAUCUAGGUCGUGUGAGAUGCAGGAGAAUCCAAGCAUUACCAUCCCCCAGAAAAUCCACAAGGUGACCCGCUAAAAUCGCCGCGUCAAAGCGAAUGCCGUAAAGGAGAAAAAUCUCAGGAAGUGGAAGUCCGCGAAGAGGGUGCUAGUGGCUUCCUUGGCCGUGGGAAUGCUGGUUUGUUGCUCAUUGACCGGAUAUGCAUAGCUUAGUUGACAAUGUUUUAUUUUGUAGUCUUAUCGUGCGUGUACGAUGUUCAAGAAGUUAGAGAAGAAAAAUUUCACUAUCAUGCAUUGUUGGUUGAAAUUGAAUGGGCAAUUGUAGCCAAGACCACCUUCCAAGCCACCGAGGAGAAAACGGUGACCCAACCGAUCCAACAAAAGAACCAUCCAAAAAGGUUAUAAUAGGAUUUCGCGAAAAGAAGUGCGAGGAGGAUAGGACGAAGCGAUAAGUUGCGACGAUGAAGAUGACAGAGAGGUCCGAGGACAGCUAGUCCAAGAAGGAGGAGGCACACGUCAAGCGCUCAGAAAUCAAGGAAGAAAAAAUGUGGAGAGUUUGAAACUGUUGAUGGAGGCGACCGAGAAGAAGCUAGCGCUAGAAGAGAAGAAGGUCAUGCUCGAGGAGAGGAAGGCUCUUCUCAAAGAAAAUAAGGUGAACAUCGCAUCCAAUGCGGAGAACGUCAAAUUGUUGACCUUGAAUUUGGAGUUUGUGGAUGCCAACGCAAGAUUAAUCGUGCAAGCCGUCCUUUACAAGAUAUUGCAGCGACAAAAAGAUGAGUUCAAGGCGGCAGACAAGAAGGAUGAAGCAGCGCAGAAGGAGGCGGAGGCUGCCUAAGCAACGUCGACACACCUUGAGUGCGGAGGCUCGGAUUACCGAUGUGACAUGGUAGGUUUUUUUGGCACACACUACCAGAUUGAUAUUAUUUUGUGAUCGGGCAUAUAAAAACUAGGCAUACUUGCUUUUUUUUUAGUUAUGAUCGGGCAUGUCAUAUAGUGAUCCGGCACUCGUCAUGAAUCAGACUUUAUUUGAAUUUUAAAUUAUCCUUUAUUAAGGAACAUAUAUAUAAUAGCACCGGAUUGCCGACUAGAGAAUUCAUGUCCGCAGGCGGGUCCUCUACUAUGAACAGAUGUUGCAACGCUCAAGAUGCCCUAAUCCAAAAGAUUUUCUAGCAGCUCUUAAUUUUAUUUCUUCUCUUUCCUUCAUACCAAAAUACUAUAAUUGGUUUAAAAAAACUAUAAUUAAAAAGAUAGACUAUCCAUGAUUGACGGCAAAAAUGCGUGGUCAGUACGCACCACACCUACUCUACAUUUAAAUACGGCAAAAGGUGAGUAAAGCAAAGACAUAGUGGGGCCACGAGAAUUGCCCAAUACCAAACCUCCGUUUAUAAGUUGCCGCCCCAGGCUACUGUAACUCCCGACGCCCUCCUCCAGUUGCAAAGCAUUGCCACAUACACAGAAAACAUUUCCCGGUCCAGAGUGGCAGAGAANGGCUGAACGGAGCAGCAGGGCUCUCUGGCCGACAACCUCCUGCGCACGCAUGCACGUUCGAUCGACGUAAAUUCUCAUUUUGUAUUUAUAUUUGAUUCCGCUAUCUUGGAAUAAUGUGGCAGUCUUGUUGGAACAAGUGUGAGGUGAUAUCGAUUGAUCUUGUUCACGAGAAACAUGGCAUCGAUAAUUGUGACCUUAGAGCAUCUACAGUCCAGGUACUCAUGAACGUCUAACUCGACCUCUCAAAUAUCGGUCGACUCAUCCGAUCAAUGAUCGAGCUUGUUUGUUUUAAGUUCUUAUUUGUCUGUUCGCGCAAUUACAAUCCUUAUUUCCCUAUUCACAUGCACGUUUAUAUGUGACUGGUGAACAUCGAAAGAAAAAGAAGAAAAGAAAAGGUGAUCUAUCGUGGGAUCGCGUCCUACAUGACAAACUCAUCAGACGGUUCCGCACACUUUCACAAGCACUUACAUACUUUUUAUAUUUAAGAUGAAUAUGAGGCUUUACGAACAGUCCGGACAUAUAGAUAUGAUAUGAGGGAUCCGGUUAAGUCAGUUUUUUUUAUUUCUUCUGUCCGGUUAUUGACCGGUCAUCUCGGUGGACGUUUGUAAAAUUUUUGAAAAGUCUGACUGCAGAUACUUUUAGUCCCGAUUUUUCAACUUAAGUACCGAUGGAACCAAAUGUGUACGACCCUUUUUUGUUUCAGAAGUCUCAGGACUUUUUUUUAGUCCCAACUAAAUUUUUUUUAGUCCUUACCCGUUUGUUUUUAUGGACUAAACAGGGACUAAAGGUCAUUAAAUGACAUGUAAAAAGACCAUGUUACCGCUAGUAAUGUAUACUAGAAGUUAUUAAAUGACAUGUUAAAAGUAGAGGCACGGUUGGCAAAAGUGUCAAAAAAGUCUCAAAAAGACCCUUCCGUAGGAACUUCUUCCUUUAAUGCCAAAUACCCUUUUUAGUCCUAAAAGUCUCUCCAGUUUGUUUCACAUGAAACUAAAAGAGACUUUUUUAGUCCCUACAUCAAAAAAGUCCUUUAAAACAAACACCCCCUACCUCUCCUUGACCUGAAAAAGAAUAAGAUGCGCAUCCCCAUUGCUUGGGUUUAGAACACUGCAAUUGAACAAAGUAGGUGGUUGAACGGCAGAAGAUUGUGUCGGCCAAAUCUUGAAGUAGGGACGCCCAGCUGAAUAACAAGUGCCAACUGACCAGAUUCCAACGAGUACUUCUGCCUACCCACGUCAUAAAUUGUCUGCUGCGUCAUUCACACAACUUUUCUAGCGCGUGACAAAUUCACCAGCAAGCACUUGCAAGAACAAACCCAAAUCCCCACAUGAAUUAGGUGAUCCUCUCGCCCCAUCAAUCGCUUUCCCACCAAUCCCUGUAUUUCUGGCUUGUUCGGUCACUUUACAGCGAUCAAACAACAUAAAAUAAAUCGAAUGGAAAGUAUAAAGAAGAACUAAUGCGAAUAUGUCAAAUGGUGCUCGAGCUUCAUGGAGCCCUUUAUUUGAAAGCUUCAAAAUUCAAAUUUUCAAGUUUUAAAAAUUCUGGAAAAAUUCUCAUAUACAUGGAUGUAUACUAUUUAUCUGCGAAGUUUCACCAUGAAAUACCUUUUAUGCAAGCUACAUAAAAUUGACAAAGUCACGUAUUUCUAGCAGAUUUACGAUUCGUUAUAAUAUUACAUAUUUUUGUUUGUUUGUAAGGCCUCAUAAAAACAUAAUUUGUGAAGAAAUUUCACAAACAUCUUGUAUAAAUCUAUAAUUACUUGCGUAUUUUUUUCAGUUUUUUGUAUAAUUAAAGAGUUGAUUUUUAGUGUUUGAACAUUUCAAGCUCCACGGAACCCGAGAGAAAAAAACCGGUUCUCUACUAAAAGCAUCUCUAUCCCUCCCCCCUAAAAUGUUUUAGUACCCUAAUUUUUUUGGGAUCGAUGGAUUAAGUUAUACUUAGCCCCCCAAAACCUAUACUCCCUUAAAAAAGUGCCCCCCCCAAAACACACCCUAUUAGCCUAGUUUAUUUUUGGAGAGAGGCAACUCUAAUUGAAUCUAGCUUUUGCUCUAACGUAAACCGGCCCACCCUCCGCGUGUGACGCCUCCCCACAGCCCCCGCCCUCCCCUCGUCAUAACAUGCAUGAUUCGACAAUUUCUUUUUUAAUUUUUUCGUCUCCCACACCCUCCCCCACCGUUCCCGGCCAUGACCAAAGCGACAAACACGCAGAAUAUCACUUACAGAGGUAAAACAUCAUAUGGAGGGAGAAUGUGUAAAAAAAGUCAUUGGUUGUAGUAAUUGCAGUUUAGACCAAGCCAUCGUGCUACUAGGAGAAGUAACCAGGGAACCAAUCUAGAGGAAGAAGUGCUCAAGCCGUGGCCCAUGGAGGACGAAUAUCCCUUUGCUUUCUCAACUACAUCCUUGCACAUCUAUAACACGCUCAGUGAGUCUCUAUCAAAUUACUUCUGCGGAUCAUUUAUCCUAGGGACUAGCUAGCUCAUGGAUAUCAUCUACCGGCGAGAAGUCCUUGAUGGCCACGUGGAAGGAAGAUGGAAGAAUAUGAAGAUAGAGAGAGUUUUUCAUGUGGGGUCCAUGUCAUAUUAAGUUAAGUUUAGGGGAGCUAAAAGCGUCAAAAGUCCAGUGCCUUAUAUAUUGGUGAUGAAAGGAUAGGGAGAUGUUUAGGAUACAAAAGUCUAAAGAAAGGGUUAGGUACAAAAAAGUUUAGUGCCUUAUAUUUGAUGCUUUCCAAAGAAAGAUGCCUCUUGACAAGGGGGUCCUAGUUAUCCAAACUGUACAAACCCGAAGACCGGAAGAUAAAAAAAACACAAGCAUAAUAGAGAAGAUAAAAGUGCUAUCAAAGUACAACCAAACAUUAUUAAACCAAGGAAAUAUGAACCCCAUCACACUAGUACACAAAUGCGCAUUAACAAUAGGUAAUAUACGUGAUUAUGUCAUCACGUGACAAAGCCGUCUCUAAUGAUCCAGAAGAGGCUUUUCUUUUAGCGGUUGAGCCGGUUGUAAUAGUGAAACCAUGUAGGUUAGAAAAAGCGCUAGGCUUAAGCAAGGCGACUGACCUUCGCCUAGAGCCUAGGUCAUUCUUAAACGCCCUAGGCGGACGUACAACUUAACUACCAGGUUGUAUUUUGGAAUAUUUGGAGGUUAUUCUUGAAAAUCCACAAUCCUUAUGUGCGACCAUGUUGAGAGCUAAAUACUUUCCAAAUGGCGAUUUAUUGAAUACAAAGCUAAAUAAGGGCUCCCCUUUUACAUGAUAUGUUGGACUUUCUUGCUUGGAGUUAUUCAAAGAAUCGAAGUUUUUUUGUGCGAUCAGCCUAUGCAGUGCAAUGAUAACAACAACACGGGAGGAAAAUAAGACAUAUGGAUGAGAUGGGAUGUAUAACUAGUAAUCAUAUUUGGAGCCAGAUUUGGAUGUUAUCCUGUCCCUCGAAGGUAAAAAAUUCAUCUAGCGAACAUUGAAUGUCACUCUUCCCUAUGGAGUUAAUCUGAUGAAUAGACACAUAAAAGUUACCCCAAGUUGUCCUGCUUGUCCCUUUGGAUUAGAAGAUAGGAAGCAUAUGUUAUUCCAAUGUUAGAAAGCUAGGGGUGUUUGGAGGAAUCUGGGACUAGAUUAGGUCAUUUAAAGAGCUUGCGAAGCUGAUUAUGUUGGGGAGGAGGUUCUUGAGUACUUACUUUUGAUGCUUGAACGGGAGCUCACUGUGUUGGGUCUUCCAAACGUAUGUGAGAUGAUUGUAGUUACAACUUAGUACUUAUGGUGGGAGAGGCAAAAAUUGGUACAUCAAGAGAAAAUCCAAGAUGCUAACCAAAUCUCUAUGGAUAUUCGUGCUAUUACGUUGAAUUUUGGGAGGGCUAUAUCUCCAAAGGCUACUAUGGUUAGAGGGGGUUGGGUACAACCUCCAAGGGGUUUUCCAAGACUUAACAUGGAUGCCUCCUUUGCUCACGACCUGUUGAGGGACAUGACGGGUGCUAUUUUGAGGGAUGAUAGAGGAAAAUUCAUUGCAGGGGAAAUUGGAGAAUUGAUUGGUGCACGGAUCUCCUCACGGCUCAAGUAUUUCCGCUUAGAUAUGGUCUAUCAAUUGCUUAACAGGUAGGGUGCAAUCAUUUACUGAUUAACUUAGAUAAUUUGGAAGUUAUAAAAUCAUGAAUAAUGGAGGACGGUCCGAGAGCACAGCGGCGGUGAUGUUUGACUAUUGUAUUUUUUUAGCUUGUGAUUUUCCCGUCACUAGAUUUGAGCACUAUAAUCGGGAAGCCAAUAAGGUUGUUAAUGAACUUGCUAAGUUAGGUAGAUUAUUUUCAUCUUUAAAUUAGUUUGAUGAGACAUUGAAUGAAAUUGUACCCCUCCUCAUAAACAAUGUACUUGUUAUUACGAAUGAAUAAAGAUAUGUGUUUUUUUUUCCAAAAAAGCAGAAAAAGAGAAGACUCACCCACCCCCUACUCAGACCUUCUUCCUCCCCCACGACCCCCACGUACCCACCACACCCCACACCGCCCCCUCCAACUACCUUCUACCCCAUGUCAGUGCCACAUCGCCACCUCCAACCGCACCUGUAACCCACCAGACACGCUGCUGAUGACAAGUUGAUAGAUAUACUUCUAGCCCCUCGUUGGUUACCCCAAGUGGAAGGUGGAGAUGUAGUCAGCAGCAAAUUUCCAUCACACAAAGACUGUAUCGUUUAUCGAACCAAUAGGACUCCUAGGAUCAACAAGUAUGUGUCUUCCACCUUGGCGCUAGCAGAAGACGUGGACCUGCACACACAACAAAUAACUUUGCUCCCAACGAGUACAGAGAGGUUGUCAAUCUCUCCGACCUUGUAGUUUCCAAAGGAUCAAAACACUAGCGGGAAGGUAAUAGUGAUUGCAACGGAAAAGUAAACGAAAGCGGUAAAUGAUGGAGGUGUAACAAUGAUGGUGAUAUGGACCGGAGUCACAUAAUAUUCACUAGUGACGUAUCUCUCCCAAAAGAUGAUAAACAACUAUGCUUGGGGUAAACAAAUCACAGUUGGGCAAUUGACAGAAUUAUGAUCGCACCGCAAUGCUAAUUAUGCUACUUGAUAGUUAGAGGUUCAAUAGUAAUGGGCAGUACGCCAAGACAAGUAGAUCGUUUAUUCAUCACAUCUACUUACUAAUCAUCCACCUUGAGAUAUUUAUCCAGAACAUCUCUCCGAUAUUAAGUUGCGAGCUCCACCCAAAGUGUAAACUCAAAGCAACAGACAAAUACAUUAACGAACUAUGCGUAAGGUAAACAAUCCUUGCAACCGUGGUCACAAGCACCGUUGUUUUCUCCCUGGUGGCAACAAGCACAUCCCCUAGUCUCAUGUUUCUGUCACUCAAGCUGGACAUCGAGGGGCUUGAACCCACAAUCAUGCAUAACGCUCCCUCUUGCAGUCAAAAUCUUCUACUUGGCCAAAGCAAUAAAUAGCGACGGAGAACAUGCAAGAAUCACUAAGGAACAUAAUAUAAAAGGAUAAUCAAAUAUAUAACUCAUAACAAUCUCAACAUAAUCUCAUAAUCCAUCGGAUCCCAACAAACCGAGCAUAGCAAUAGCAAGAGAAUUCCAUAGAUGCCUUGAUCAUGUAGGGCAGCUCACAAGGACUAAUAACUGCAGCACAAGAUUGGAGAGAAGACAUCACAUAGCUACUGGUCAUGGACUCAUGGUCCAAGGAGGACUACUCACGACACGUCCGGGAAGCGUCCAUGGCGGUGGAGAAGCUCCCGGAGGUCAAUCCUCCCUCCGGCAGGGUGCCGGGAAGAGGUCUCCUGACGCUCCUGAUCUCGGAAGCGCUGCGGCGGUGGAACGAUGGAGAAAUUCGUGAUUCCAGAAAGUCUGCGAGGGUUUCCUCUAGGGACUCUAAAUAUAGGCCAAAGAAGGGCACUAGAGCAGGUGGGACCCACCCAGGAAACCUCCUGGCGCGGCCUAGGGCCUGGCCGCGCGAGCAGGCCACCUGUGAGGCCCCUGGCCCCCUCUGGCCCUCCUUCGGUGAUCGGGAAGGUUCUGUUUCGCUGAUUUUUUAUAUAUUUUUUCUGGAUUUUUUUGGGCUUCGGAAAAUUGGGUAAAAGCCCCUGCAAAAUAGACAUCAGCACACAAAAACUGGCACUAGGUGCACCGAGUUAGUAGGUUAGUCUAAAUAUGUGUGAAAUGAUAUAAAAGUGUAGCAAAACAUAUAACAUUGUCACCCAAAAGAUCAUGGAACAAGCAGAAAUUAUAGAUACGUUCGGGACGUAUCAACAUCCCCAAGCUUAAUUUCUGCUCGUCCCCAAGUAGACAAAUGAUAACACAAUUAUUUCUGUGGUGACAUGCUAACACACAUAUAAGAACUUCAAGGUAAAGCAAGUGGGAUAUGCAAUUCAAGUAAAGACAAUAACAAGCAAGAGUCUAUAUCUAGUAUUGAAUUUAGCAAAGUAAGAAUAUAACGGUGCAAGAGCUCUCGCUGUCCGUGACUCGAAUGUCUCCAAAUGGUGUUUGCGUGCAAGAAGUGGGAGAUGGGUUGAGAUCAUAAAAUAUUUCUUAAUUGAGAACUCAAUCUACUAAACCUAACACUUAGUCUCCUUCGGAAUCUUAUUUUGACUCAUCCCUAGACCACUAGUGAGGCACAAAUCAAAAUGAUCCUCUCCCUUUCGACUUUGAGCACUCAUGCAAUGGAUGAGCGUAAGCAAGAUAUGUUGGCACUUUGGAUGGAAAGUAGAAUAUUGAUGGGGAAGGAAGACAAAAAGGUGUGAAAGUCUCACAUCAAUGAGGACAGCCAUAGGCGAGAGAAAGCCAAAUGAUAAAUAUGAUGUGAGGAGUAGGGAUUGCCAUGUAACGGAUGCACAUAUGAGCUAAGGUAAGCUCUCUAAUGGAACUAAUGGGGGUGCAUCCAACUUGUUUGCUCAUGAAGACCUAGAGCUCAUUUGAGGAGGCUCAUCAUUGGAAUAUGAAAACCAAGUUCUAUAGUGUAAGGGUCCCCACAUAGUUAUGCAUGAAUUAUAAUCUCUAUGUAGUACCAAUAUAGCAAUGGAGUACGAGUGUGGAUCUUUCAAAGGGAAUAGUAGUGCUACCCCUUCUCUCUUUUUAUNNNNNNNNNNNNNNNNNNNNNNNNNNNNNNNNNNNNUUAUUUUUUUGUGGCAUCUUUGGCUCUUUCUUUUUAUCUCUCAUUUGUCCUCUUUUGGGUCUUCUGUUUUGUACACUUUGGGAUCUUUUCCUCACUUAAGGGCAAAACUCUAUGUUUUACAUGAAAAAAAGAAAAAUCAUCACACUUUAUAAGAAGUACUCAAACAUAAAGACAAGUGAAAACUAUCAUGAUGUAUGCAAAUGUAUGCCUCUGCAUGUGUAGCAGGAUAUGCAAUGAUACUAGCACGUCAUGUAGCAAUAAUUUGGGCAAGGACCAACUAUCAUGCGGCUCUACGAUCAAGCAAAAGCAUGUAUGACAUGAAGAUCAAGUCAUGAGAUGGUGGAUGUUGCAUGGCAAUGUAUCUCGAAAAGGCUAUGGAAAUGCCUUAGUAGGUAGGUACGGUGGCUGUUUUGAGGAAAGAUAUAAUGAGGCUUAUGUGUGACAGAGCGUAUCAUGUCAUGGGUUUGGAUGCACCGGUGAAGUUUGCACCAACUCUCAAUGUGAGAAAGGGCAAUGAACGGUACCGAAGAGGCUAGCAAAAUAUGGAGGGUGGAAGUGCCAACAAUCGAAUACUGACAUUAGUCUGAAGAACUCAUACACUCAUUAUCGGUAACUCUCUAUCUAGUUAGGAGGUUCACAAAGAGACAAGUACCCCGAGGAGGAGUGUUUGGGGGUUUGGUUAUCCUUGCGCAUCCUCGACUCAUGGUAACGUGAGGGUACUCUAUAUAUUCCAACCCCUCCAGAGGUUAGCAAUCAAUUUAGUAGCUAGAGUUCUCAACUAAUUUUAGUUUUUGAAAAACACACGGAUUUCCCAAAAUAUGAUACCUAUCACUAAUAGGCUCAAGCUCUUGGCAUCAAUAGUCCGAACAUUACCCAAAUCAAUACCUCAAAACUAUUGCAAGUUACUACUAUACUUAAAUAGCAAUCUCAGUUACCUACUUAUGCAAGACACAGAACUCAGUGCAACAAGCCAAAUCUCUAAACAAGAUAAGCAUGAUAACUCAAGAGAAUUCCAAAAUCAACCUAAAUAAUAGAUCUUAAAAAGAUAAGCAUGAAAACCAAGAGCUAAGCAAGACAGUAGCUACGGAAAGAUGAAGAACACACAAAAAGAUAAGCAUGAAAACCUAUGUUGUGUUGUAGAGUGGAAUGGAGCGUGUUUCUCUCCCAAACAAGGUAGGCUAGGUUCCGACUUGUUAUGGACAGCAAGGAAAACUAAAACAAACUAAAAAGCAAAUAGCGGGACGCUCCAAGCAUAGCACAUAUCAUAUGAAGUGAUAAAAAUAUAGCAUGGAGAUAGAUGAACUGAUGAUUGUCGAUAGAGAAGGGGAUGCACGGGGGGCAUCCCCAAGCUUAGAUGCUUGAGUCUCCUUGAAUAUUUAUUGGGGUGCAUGGGGGCAUCCCCAAGCUUGAGCGCUCGACACUCCUGUAUCUUCUUUCAUGAUCUCUCCCAUCGCAUAGUUGAAAACUCCCUUCAUACGAAACUCAUCAUAAGCCGAUCAGAGUGGUUAGUACCCUUAAUAAAAUAAUUCAAUACCUGCUGGAAAGAAAACAAUUCAUGAAAAGCUACUGCUUCUCUUGAUUGCCAAAAUAUAAUUUCAAAUAAAAAGCGAGCUUAGGAUUUGCAAAACAAUGGAAACACAAAACAUGGCAGAAUCUAUGAAAAACAGAACAACAGGUAGUAAAUAAUUUAUUCGGGACACUUCUGCAACUCAAAUAUAAAAAAUCAGAACACAUGCCAGAAAUACAAUUAUAUAGAGCAUGCUGUCAAACAAAUUCAGAUCAAAAAGUUUAUCUCGUGAUUUUUGGCGAUUUUUUCCGUGAAGCAGACAAAAUCUGUUUCUCGAGAGCAUGUCACAGUUUUUGAACUUUCUUGCAAUCGGAGGCUAUAACUUGGCACAAAGCUUAAAAUAAAGAUACAAUGAUGUUGCUACAGUAGUAACACACAUCAAGACCAUUAAAACAGAAAGUAAAAACAAAUUGGGUUGCCUCCCAACAAGCGCUUUCUUUUAUGCCUUUGUGCUAGGCAUAAUGCAAGAAGGAGGAUCAAGAUUCUCCGAGGUCAUCGGAAUUAUAAAAACCUUCAAACGCAUACCAAAUUAGUUCAUCCUUAUUUUUCCUAGGGAACGGGUACGUACCUUUCGCUUUCUCACGUAAGCGUAUGUGUCCCUUACCUAUAUCAGUGAAGCUCUCAUGGCUCGGAGGAAGUCCCUUCCAAGAACUAUGUUCCCUUUGUUGGGCUCCAUGAUGAAGAAAUCAACUGUUGCAUUCCUUUUAUAGAAUGUAACCUGGACAUCUUUUACCUUUCCCUGGAUUUCAGAAAUAUCACCAUUAGCAUGUUCAUGAUGAGACAAAAAAAUUCCAUGUCUAACCAUAGAGAAUCAUAAACAAUGUUUGGCAUAGUAGAAACCAUGGAUCCAUCAUCACAAUAAGCAAGGAAGUCUUUGUUAGAGAUGCUAAUUCUAACAAAAGGUUCCCAAUCAUCAUCUAUUUUCAAAAUCUGCUCCUUAUUAACCAUGGGUUUCUCUCUUUCUCUUAAGUGUAGAGCAUCUAUUUUCCCUUCAAUAGUAGCAAGUCUAUCUAUAAUAGUGUCAUAACCAUGAUUAAAAACAAGAUUAUUAGAUAGACCAUGUAUAAUAUCAAGAGCUCUUGCCUCAUCACCUCUAAGAAAUCUCCUUUAGCUAUAAUAUCAAGAGAGUGUUUGCACCAUAUAAAGAGACCAUGAUAAAAAAUUCUAAGCACAAUUUUGAUAGGUAUCGAAGGCAUAAUUCUUUUGUGUGCUUCAGAAAUUCUAUCCCAUGCUUCCUUCAUAUUUUCUCCAUCCCUUUGAUGGAAAUCUAGGACCUCAGAUUCCUUCCAAGAUUCAAACCUUAACAUGCUUGACAACUAAAAGCAAAGUAACUAACUUUUUUUGUGGUUUUUGGUAUAAGACUCUAAAGCAAAAACUAAGAAGCAAACUAACAAGACAAAAAAGCAAAGGUAAAAGAUGGCAUGCAACUCCCCUAUCUUGAAGAAUGGAGUCCCCGGCAACGGCGCCAGAAAUUCGCUUGAUCACGAGUUGAUAUAUAUACUUCUCGCCCCUCGUUGGUUACCCUAAGUGGAAGGUGGAGAUGUAGUCAGUAGCAAAUUUCCCUCACACAGAGACUGUAAGGUUUAUCGAACCAGUAGGACUCCUAGGAUCAACAAGUAGGUAUCUUCAAACCUGGCGCUAGCAGAAGACGUGGACCUGCACACACAACAAAUAACUUUGCUUCCAACGAGUACAGAGAGGUUAAUCUCUCCGGCCUUGUAGUUUGCAAAGGAUCAAAACACAAGCGGAAAGCUAAUGGUGAUUGCAAUGGAAAAGUAAACGGAAGCAGUAAAUGAUGGAGGUGUAACAAUGAUGGUGAUAUGGACCCGAGUCACAUGAUGUUCACUAGUGAUGUCUCUUUCCUAAAAGACGAUAAACAACUAUGCUUGGGUAAACAAAUCACAGUUGGGCAAAUGACAAAAUUAUGAUCGCACCGCAAUCCUAAUUAUGCUACUUGAUAGUUAGAGGUUCAAUAGUAUUGGGCAGUACGCCAAGACAAGUAGACCGUUUAUUCAUCAACAUCUACUUACUAAUCAUCCGCACCUUGAGAUAUCUAUCCAGAACAUCUCUCCGGUAUUAAGUUGCGAGCCCCACCCAAAGUGUAAACUCAAAGCAACGGACAACUGCAUUAAUGAACUAUGCGUAAGGUAAACAAUCCUUGCAACCGUGGUCACAAGCACCGUUGUUUUCUCCCUGGCGGCAACAAGCACAUCCCCUAGUCUCAUGUUUCUGUCACUCAAGCUAGACAUCGAGGGGCCCGAACCCACAAUCAUGCAUAACGCUCCCUCUUGGAGUCAAAAUCUACUACUUGGCCAAAGUAAUAAAUAGCAACAGAGAACAUGCAAGAAUGACUAAGGAACAUAAUAUAAAAGGAUAAUCAAAUAUAUAACUCAUAACAAUCUGGACAUAAUCUCAUAAUCCAUCGGAUCCCAACAAACCGAGCAUAGAAAUAGCAAGAGAAUUACAUAGAUGCCUUGAUCAUGUAGGGCAGCUCACGAGGACUAACCAUUGAUGCACAAGAAUGGAGAGAAGACAUCACAUAGCUACUGGUCAUGGACUCAUGGUCCAAGGAGGACUACACAUGGCAUGUCCGGGAAGCGUCCAUGGCGGUGGAGAAGCUCCCAGAGGUCAAUCCUCCCUCCGGUAGGGUGCUGGGAAGAGGUCAAUCCUCCCUGCGGCGGCGGAACGAUGAAGAUAUUUGCGAUUCCAGAAAGUCUGCGAGGGUUUCCUCUCGAGACUCUAAAUAUGGGCCAUAGGAGGGCACCGGAGGAGGUGGGACCCACCUAGGUGACCUCCUGGCGCGACCUAGGGCCUGGCCAUGCAAGCAGGCCGCCUGGGAGUCCCUUGGCCCCCCUCUGGCCCUCCUUCGGUGAUCAGGAAGCUUCUGUUUCGCUGAUUUUUUAUAUAUUUUUUCUGGAUUUUUUCGGGCUUCGGAAAAUUGGGUAAAAGCCAGUGCAAAAUAGACAUCAGCAGACAAAAACUGGCACUGGGUGCACUGUGUUAGUAGGUUAGUCCAAAUAUGUGAAAAUGGUAUAAAAGUGUAGAAAAACAUAUAACAAUGUCACCAAAAAGAUCAUGGAACAAGCAUAAAUUAUAGAUAUGUUUGGGACGUAUCAGCUGCCCACUACCGUGGCCUCCUACCGCCACUUUGAUGAUGAUGACACCACCGUAUGCCCUGGAUCUAUGCUACCACGCAUCCACUGGCUGGAUCCACACCACCACACCUCCAUUUGGCGUGGAUCUGCGCCGCCGUGCCUCCGUGGCUGCCAGAACAGGGCAUGUGUGCCCCACUGCAACAUAGUCUAUCCCCCGAAGUUGGGGGCGUGCGUGAUGGCUGCCGGCUGCAGCAGCGUGCCUAGUCGGCCUCACCCAUGGUCUCCUCGUUUCUAAUCGAGGUGACCCCAUGGAAUAUCCAUGUAUCACUAUGGGGACCCCGACUCAAAAGUCAUGAUCACCGAAUGUAUGUGCAUAGUGAUCCCAUAGAUCAAUGCUCACUGAACACACAGAAACUGAAUAACAAGAGUCUUACAUCCAUUACAUACCAUUUUAUUUAAAUAUGGCCUCCAUGGUCGAGUCUUCAUAUAUUGCAGUGGAAAAAUAUUCAUCGAUAGCGUGAACCCAUGCCAUCCGUCUUAACCCUAGAUGCAUUUUGACUAGGAAGCAUCCUAGCUCGCACGUACAUCACCAAGGUAAUCUUCAUCAUAUUCUAUUCUCGCAUUCCUAGUCAGUGAAAUAACCACUCGCGAGACAAUGAGUACUUUGAAUGUACUCGCAAAAACCCUUGUUGUGGAACAAGGCAAUAACAAUGCAUGAUAUAGCACUAAGUAGGUAAUUUGCAGAAAGCUAAUUUUGAGUGCAAUGUCAUGAUCAAUCAGCUUGUAAAAGCAUGCAUCAACAGGUAAAUGAUGUCCAUACGAACAGGUUACAUAUAUCAAUAUCAUCUGAGGGUCGAACAUCCCAUGUUCACCCAUCAUGCCACGUCGUCUGACUUAGCUCAUGAAUCUUACUGCCAUCUUUCUCACACAACCAUCUUUUCACACACGCACACUUGGUUUAUGUGAAAACAACUGUCAUCCCACUAUCUUGACCGUGCACACGGCUAUUCAAAUAGUUUCACAUUCUGUAGAGGUUGUGCGUUGUACCCACAAGACUCGGGGAACUUCCAUGUCAUCCACGACUCACGGUAUAUUACAUACCCGAGGUGAGCACAAGAACAAUGCAUUUUUCCUAGCGACACUAAACAAAGAGUCCACUUGAUUGGUACACAACCCUCAUGAUGUACAUCAUACGAGCCUCACUCUAGAUAAUACCAUCCAUGAAGGGACCAAUGGUGUUCCCGGUGUGUGUAAAAAUAGCCCAUGGAUGCCCUACCACGCAUGACCCCGUCUCGAGAGGCUGACUCUAUUCGGGAAUGUAGCAUGGGAAACAAAAAAAAUUCCUACACACACGAAGACCUAUCAUGGUGAUGAUCAUCUACGAGAGGGGAGAGUGAAUCUAGAUACCCUUGUAGAUCGCUAAGUGGAAGCGUUAAUAAACGCGUUUGAUGUAGUGGUACGUCUUCAUGAUCCGUCCCACGAUCCGUCCCGAUCUAGUGCUGAACAGACGACACCUCCGUGUUCCGCACACGUACAGCUCGAUGACGAUCUCCACCUUCUUGAUCCAGCAAGAGGGGGUGGAGAGGUAGAUGAGUUCUCCAGCACGGUGGCGUGGUGGUGAUGGUAGUGUUGCUAUUCCAGCACGGCUUCGCCUAAGCACCGCUGAAACUAGAUGAGAAACAGAUCUAGAGAGAGAGGGUGACACGUGGCUGUUUUCUGUUGUGUCUAAAACCCUCAAAACCCUCAAAACCCUAGGGCAGCCUUCUCUUCCCUUGCACAAGGGAGAUAGGAGGAGUCCUACUCCAAUCCUAUUUGGAGUAGGAUUCCUCCUUCCCACUUGGAAACUCUUUCCACCUUAUUUUUUCCCUUCUCAAACCUUAUGGGCCUUAGUGGGAACUUAUUCCAGCCCACUAGGGGCUGGUUUAUCUCUUCCCACAUCCCAUGAGGCACCUUGGGGCGUGACACCCUCCCGAUGGUCGCCGGCACCCCUCCCGGCACUCCCGGUACACUGUCGAUGAGCCCGAAACUUUUCCGGUGACCAAAACAGGACUUCCUAUAUAUCAAUCUUUACCUACGGACCAUUCCGGAACUCCUCGUGACGCCCGGGAUCUCAUCCGGAACUCCAAACAACCUUCGGUCAUGAACACCUAUAACUCAACUAUACCGAAACGUCACUGAACCUUAAGUGUGCAGACCUUGCGGGUUCGAGAACUAUGCAGACAUGACCCGAGACACUCUCCGGUCGAUAACCAAUAGCGGGACCUGGAUGUCCAUAUAGGCUCCCACAUAUUCUACGAAGAUCUCUAUCGGUUGAACCUCUAUGUCAAGGAUUCAGUUAAUCCCGUAUGUUGUUCCCUUUGUCCUUUGGUAUGUUACUUGCCCGAGAUUCGAUCGUCGGUAUCUCUAUACCUAGUUCAAUCUCGUUACCGACAAGUCUCUUUACUCGUUCUGUAAUACAAGAUCCCGUAACUAACUCCUUAGUUACAUUGCUUGCAAGGCUUGUUGUGAGGUUCUAUUACCGAGUGGGCCCCGAGAUACCUCUCCGUCACACGAAGUGACAAAUCCCAGUCUUGAUCCAUGCCAAACCAACAAACACCUUCGGAGAUACCAGUAGAGCACCUUUAUAGUCACCCAAUUACGUUGCGACGUUUGACACACACAAGGUAUUCAUCCGGUGUCCGGGAGUUGCAUGAUCUCAUGGUCAUAGGAACAGAUAUAUUGACAUGUAGAAAACAGUAGCAAUAAACUGACACGAUCAUAUGCUACAUUUAUAGUUUGGGUCUUGUCCAUCACAUAAUUCCCCCAAUGACGUGAUCCUGUUAUCAAGUGACAACACUUGCCUAUGGCCAGGAAACCUUUACCAUCUUUGAUCAACGAGCUAGUCAACUAGAGGCUCACUGGGGACAAUGUGUUGUCUAUGUAUCAAGACAUGUAUUUGAGUUUCCAAUCAAUACAAUUCUAGCAUGGAUAAUAAAUGAUUAUUAUGAACAAGGAACUAUAAUAAUAACCAAUUUAUUAUUACCUCUAGGGCAUAUUUCCAACAGUCUCCCACUUGCACUAGAGUCAAUAAUCUAGUUUACAUCACUAUGUGAUUGUAAUGAACCUAGUACCCAUACAGUUCCGUGUGUGCUUUACAAAUCUUUAUGUCAAUGGGUUCACAUCACUAUGUGAUUGUAAUAAUCUAGUUCCGUAUGAUCACUAUGGGGUUUGAUCAUAUCUUGCUUGUGAGAGAGGUUUUAGUCAAUGGGUCUGAACCUUUCAGAUCCGUGUGUGCUUUACAAAUAUUUAUGUCAUCCUAUAGAUGCUGCUACCACGCACCAUUUGGAACUAUUCCAAAUGACUGCUCCACUAUACGAACCCGGUUUACUACUCAUAGUUAUUCAGAUUAGUGUCAAACUUGCAUUGAUGUAACCCUUUAUGACAAACUCCUUAAUCACCUCCAUAAUCGAGAAAAAUUCCUUAGUCCACUAGUUACUAAGGAUAACUUUGACCGUUGUUCAGUGAUUCAAUCCUGGAUCACUCUUUGUACCCAUUGACUGACUCAUGGCAAGGCACACAUCAGGUGCGGUACACAACAUGGCAUAUUUUAGAGCCUAUGGCUAAGGCAUAGGGGACGACCUUCAUCCUUUCUCUUUCUUCUACCGUGGUCGGGCUUUGAGUCUUACUGAAAUUCACACCUUUCAACACAACCAAGAACUCCUUCUUUCUUGAUCUAUUUUGAACUCCUUCAAAAACUUGUCAAGGCAUGCAUUUCAUUGAAAGUUCUAUUAAGCGUUUUGAUCUAUCUCUAUAAAUCUUGAUGCUCAACGUUCAAGUAGCUCUAUCCAGGUUUUCCUUUGAAAACUCCUUUCAAACAACCCUUUAUGCUUUACAGAAAUUCUACAUUACUUUCGAUCAACAAUAUGUCAACCACAUAUACUUAUGAGAAAUUCUAUAGUGCUUCCUGAUACGUCUCCAACGUAUCUAUAAUUUUUGAUGGUUCCAUGCUAUUAUCUUGUCAAACUUUGGAUGUUUUGUAUGCCUUUUAUAUCUUUUUUGGGACUAACUUAUUAACUCAGUGCCAAGUGCCAGUUCCUGUUUUUUCCAUGUUUUUGACCCUUUUCAGAGGAGAAUAUUAAACGGAGUCCAAACGGAAUAGAACUUCCGAAAAGAUUUUUUCCGGAACAGAAGAUACGCAGGGGGUGUGAGAACCAAGGUAGAGGCCACCAAGGGAGGCCACAAGCCCCCUAGGCGCGGCCAGGGGGCAUGCCUAGCAGGCUUGUGCCCCCCCUGUGGCUCGUCUGCCCUACCUCUUCCGCCUAUAAAUUCCCAAAAAAGCCAAAACUACGCGAGAGAUCCACGAAAAUACUUUUCCGCCGCCGCAAGCUUCUGUCUCCGCAAGAUCCCAUCUGGGGCACGUUCUGGUGCCCUGCUAGAGGGGGGAUUAAGAUACGGAGGGCUUCUUCAUCAACACCAUGGACUCUUCAAUGAUGCGUGAGUAGUUCACCAUAGACCUUCGGGUCCGUAGCUAGUAGCUAGAUGUGUUGGGGAUGUGACUUGUGGAUGACCCGCCCUGAGUGGGCCGGGUUAUCCAAUGAGCGAUUCAUCCAGAUAUUUAGUUGGGCCUUGUGUGGGCCGAAUCAAAGUCAUACGAAGAGUAAGGCUCUUGGCGGGUCUCCUAGCUUCGGAAGAUGGCGACUUAGAGACCACAGUGGUCACGAGUUGUAGGAAGGAAGGAAUCCUUGUAAACCCUAGGGAGACGACCUGUAUAUAAAGGCGAGGUCCCGGGGGACAGAGAGAGGUUAGAAAUCAUCGAGUGCUAGGAUUCGGCGAGUUACGCCUUCCUUGUAAUCGAAUCCACAUUAAUACACAGAAAAGCAGGACUUAGGUUGUUACCUCUUCUCGAGGGGCCGAACCUGGGUAAAUCGCCGCGUCUCUCCCGCUUAACCCCUUUGAAUCGCCACCAAGGUGUGAUGGUUCCAGUGUCAAGUCCUUUCACGAGGACAUCUGCCGUGAAAAAACCACGACAGUUGGCGCCCACCGUGGGGCCAGCGCACGGUGGAGUUGAGUUUUCAAAGGGAGCCCUACCAGGGUUUGUGAGCUACACGACGACGCUCAUGACUCAGAACCGCCGUGGGAUAAAGUACAUCGACAACCAGCAAUGGGGCCCUGAAGCGAAUUCAAUUGAAUCUGGCUAUAGGGUUCCCUUCGGCAAGAUCAACAUCUCAUCGGCAUGAUCGGAUCACCCGUUCCUGAGCCGGACAUCUCCACCGACAUCGUCGAGCUGGCCAGGUACGUUCGCCCAGUCGUAACACGAGAGCUAAUUUGCCCGGUCUUUGUGGGAUUCACGCAGGGAUCGGACGAGCUAGAACACUUGGCGACUCAGGAAGUUACCCCGGUCAACUCUGACGACGAGUCAUCCAUGGGCGACUCAGAUUCCAUCCGGUCUCUUCAUGGGGAUGGACUCGGAGGCUUGUCACUAGCCAUGGAUCCGGAAGUCCUUGACCGAACCCGCCGCCAGAUCGCCAUCUACAUGGCGGGGGCGACUCAGCCCACACAAAACCCUACUGGAGGCGGUGGGACCGGCGAGACGUCCAGGAGUCCAGCCGCAGUCCUGGUGGAUUUAGCGACGGAAAUCACGAGACUAAUGGCGACCCCCCUCACGUAGAGAACCAAGAGGAGGUAAACACAGAAUUAGCAAAGCUCAGAGAAGCGGUGGCGAAGGCUCACCACGAUGCUGAGAUGGAAUCCGCCAGGAUCGAGACUCGACAAGCCCAAAUUGCGGCCGAAAGGAUGCGCUUAAACACUGACAACUGGCGGCUUGAGAGACAGCAACGCGCGUCCGACGCCGUCCAUCAGCGAAGGCACCAGGAUCGCCUGCCCCAUGACCUCAAUCCGACUCGUCUGUUCGACACUCUCUGAACCCCCGGGAUGGGAGCCGCCCCGGCAGGAGGACCGGGUCGCCCACCAAACCCGCCGGUUCAGCCGAUUGAGGGUCAAAUUCCUCGUUUCCGGACCCCUCAAGGCCACUUCUCCAACCCGGUGGGUAACAUGCUUGCCGCAACUCGCCACCUGGAGUCCCUUCCAAUUCACGGCAACACCCCAGCUGAGAUUGAAGCGAGGAACGCCAUUGAGAUGUUGAAAACAGCGGUGGUUCAAAACGCCCAGUUCUCGCAUAGCCUCGAGAGGUUACACUCCACCCCUCAGGCAAGCUAUACCAGGAGCAGGCCGGAGGACCAGCCUGCCGUAAACAGUGGGCCGCGACACUUCCCGCAGGACAACCCGCCCGAGCGGAACCCGCCGGGCCGAGAUUUCCCGAAUAUCCAAGAUGCCCCGGCCCCUCUCGCACGGGGCGGAGGGCGAGUUGGGGUACCAUGCUUAUCCCCGGCCCUUCGGAACGAAAGGAUGCCCAAAGACUUUAAGGGACCAAGGAAAGUGCCUAAUUAUACACCAGACCUCGAACCAACGUCAUGGAUCGAGGGUUACGAGAUUGCCAUGGACAUGCUCGACGUAAACGAGGCGGUUUGCGCCCGAUACUUCACGAUGAUGCUUGAGGGAUCGGCACGCACCUGGUUGAAAUAUUUGCCUCCCAAUUCCAUCCAGUCCUGGGCCGACUUAAAAGAGUGUUUCAUCAAAAAUUUCCGGGGAACCUGCCAACGUACAAUGACGAUUGUCGAUCUACAACACUGUGUUCAGCGCCAGGAUGAAUCGGCCUACCAUUGGUCACGACGGGUGGCAGAAAUUAUUCAUUCGUCAGAUGGUAUUACGGCGGCUCAAGCUGUGCUCAUCCUCGAGCACAAUUGUCAUUACGAGCCCUUAGUACAGAAGUUGGGGCGACUCAAACGGAAGGUCCAAGACAUGGGCGAAGUAAUGGACACCCUCACUAGGUAUGCCGAGGAAGAUGAUACUAAGGAUCCCGAUGAGGAUGGUAAGGUUAACUCGCCCAAAAAGGGUGAGUCGUCCAAAAAUCAUACCCGUUUCCCGGGGCGCAACCGUCACAAUCAGGGGACCAAUGGCAAGCAUAGACCGCAGGAGGAGCCCUCGGACUUAGUCGCCAACACCAAUGUUAAUGAUGGCAAAAAGAAGAACCGAGGCUUCAGUGGGACAAGGCCGCGUAACUAUGAAGAGUUACUCAAGGGCCCUUGCCCGCACCACGCCACGGCUGACGGCCCAGCGAUUCAUUCUUGGGAAAACUGUUUUGUGAUGCGAGAAUUUCGGGCGGAGGCGAUCAAGAAGAGCCAAAACGAAGAUCCAAACCGGCGCCAGGACCAACUUGCCGCGCCCAAUCAAAGGCAGAACCCCUUCGGCGGCUUUCCCGAACAGGGGGCUCAGGGAGGCCCGCAACCAGGCGGCGGCCAGUACCCGAUGCACCACCAGCGGCGGUACAACCCGCCGGGAGUUUUCCAGCAGCCGCCCCCACAGGGGGCUCCACAGGACCAGGAUGACAAUGGGGGCUUCCGCAGCAAUCCCAAACAGCUAAGUAAUGGGCAGUACCACGUUUUCACCACUAAUGCUUGCAGGCGUGAUAAAAAGGUAAGUCACCGGGCGUACAGUGUAACUGAGCCAGCGAUUCCCAGAUGUAACAUCCCAAUUUUCCUAAUUGGGAAUGUUUUACAUUGUAGCUAAGCAUCUAUGCAUAAGUGAUUGAAAUAAAUUUAGCUCGUGAAUUUCUUUCGUCUUUUGUUUUGCAUUUCCAUUUUUCCUCGCAGGAGAAGAGCCCGGAGAAAAUACUCUCUUGCACGCAAGAGAGAGAGCGGAGGAAAAUGACCCUCCAAAGUGCGGGCAAAUUUCUCAAAUGUUGGAGCCAAGAAAACCCAAAGAUUGUUUGCAAAAAGAAAUAAAGCCAAUUUGGGAAUUUCUGAAAAAAAACAUUUUUUUUAAGUUUUUAUUUUUUUCUUUGGAAAAAUGUUAUUCGGGUAGAAGAUAUUUUUCUGAUUUUUUUGGGUACAUAAUACCCUAUAUUAAUAUUUUGAUUUAUUUCCUUUUUAUUAGCUUUUGAUUUUCUGUCUCGGAAAAAGUUAGAAAUAGGAAGGUAUUUUUUUUUCUUUAGAACCGCCCCCGAGCGCCAUAUAAGGCNNNNNNNNNNNNNNNNNNNNNNNNNNNNNNNNNNNNNNNNNNNNNNNNNNNNNNNNNNNNNNNNNNNNNNNNNNNNNNNNNNNNNNNNNNNNNNNNNNNNNNNNNNNNNNNNNNNNNNNNNNNNNNNNNNNNNNNNNNNNNNNNNNNNNNNNNNNNNNNNNNNNNNNNNNNNNNNNNNNNNNNNNNNNNNNNNNNNNNNNNNNNNNNNNNNNNNNNNNNNNNNNNNNNNNNNNCCUUAGAUCUUAGUGGAUGGUUUAGAUUAGAUCUAGGAAUACCUCUUCGGUCUAUAUUAGAAAACCAGCGGGUUUUAUUUUCACUUAUCUUUUAACCAGCGAAUUUUGCUUAGCCUCGGCCGUUUGCCCAAAGCAUUGCAACAAACGCCCUCCGUAGCCAAUAGCAACCUGCCACGUGUACCCUCCUUUUAGUACUAGUUAGCUCUAUAUUUUUCUGUCUAUUUUGCAAAAACAGAAAAGUUUCUGUUUUGUUUUGGCCACAACUUUUUAUUCCGAAGUCCAAUGACAUUGAUUCUUUUUCCAGUAGCUCACAAAUUUCCUGUAGUUGUUAAAAACAUAUAAUGUGUCUAUGGUUGAAAUUUUCAAAUAUAAGUUAGAUCAGAUUUAGUUUAAACCUUGUUUUGCCUAUUCCAGGAGUUUAAAAUAGCUUUUAAUUUGAUUCCUUUUGGUACUGAUCACUAGUGAUCUUAUGUAUCAGUGGUAAAAAUUUCAGAUUUGUUUGAGUAUUUUAGCUCACUGUUUCAUGUGAAACAAUUUCUGUUUCACCUCUUUUAGGAUUUCGGCUAAUUCCUUUUCUACUUUUGUUUUAAAAUAUUUUAUUUAUUAUUUCAGAAACAUAAUUAUGUUUUGUUUAUGUUAGUCAACAGUAGUUUUGCAACAAGUUUUUAUUUUAUCUUUAUUUGUUUUCAUGAAAACAAUUCUAGUCCCGUAGUAACGUGCAAUUGUUUUCAUCCCUCUUUCUAAUCCCGUUUGGGAAUACGUUCAAAAGGUUUUGUGAAAAACACUUUAUUUUAUCUUAGUUCCUUGUUAUUAUUUUCUGUUAGACAAAAACUAUUUAGUGUUUGACGUUGUAGAAGACUCCCUAGCCUUAUUUGAAGUUUCUUUCGGAUUCCUAUUCGCUCUCUCUUUUGUUUUGAUUGUUAGAAUGAUUGCUAGUAUGAGUGCUUAUAUGAAUGAUAUGUUUGUUAUAUAGAUUUCAUCGGACAGUGACGAGUAGUCUAUCAAGUUAUUUUCUCGAGAAAUUCUUCUUCGUCAACAUCACCAGGCAAGUCACUUUGAUCAUACUAUCACCUAUGUUUUAAUGCAUCGUAGAUCUACCAUCCUAUGCCCAAUUGCAUGCUCCUUAGGUACUUGGAAAUUUUAGUUGUAGUAUCAUGUGGUAGGCACACAACAACCCUGAUUCUUGGCCCGGGACGACAAAGUUCAUAUUGCUAUGCUUGAGUAGACGGGAUUUCGCUUGAGUGCAUAACACGAGUGAUGCGAGGUUGAUUAAAUAAUCAAGACCGGUUAAGACAAGAUUUUCAAGACCUGGGACGCAAUGCAACACUGGGUGAAGGACGGUCGAUCGGCUCCCUGGAGAACCCAGUGGAUGCCCGGGAUGCUGGGGACGGCCAUGACAUCCCGCGGAAAGCUUCACCCAGGCUCAAAGAGACGGACGGAUAUUUUCAAGACCCAAGGCUUACCUGCACAGCCACAAGUCAUUAUGGGCUCUGGCUUGGUUGGACAACGCGGCAACUCUGGACAGGCGGUGCUAGCAGAUGUAGAAGAACGGUAGGAAUGGAUGGGCACCGACAAGGAUUCAGAGGGACCCGUUGAAAGACCAUGUUUUGAUCAUCCGGUCUUCAAACACCCUUAAGUGCGAGGACAUACUCGGAGGCGAUCAAAUCUUGUGGGGAACGUGUGCAAAACUCUGCAGAGUACUCAAACCUAAUCGAUUAGCCAUGUCCACGGUCAUGGACAACUUGAGCCGAAGGAACUGAAGUUAUCUGGAUUUCUCAACCCCAUUAUAUAUAUUUGAUGAGGGUAAUAUUGAUAACUCGGGUACGAGAAUUGGUUGGCGGAACCAUCUCGUUAACAACCAACCUUGUAGUAAUAUUUUGCUUUUUAGCCUCUCUUGAUGUAGGAGAAAACUUGUUUUACGCUAAAAACUUAUAGCCCCCACCUUCCAUAUAUGCAUAUAGUAUAGAUGAUUACUUUUCACCCCUCUCUUAUGUGACUUGCCGGCAUAUUCAAUAUGCUGACCUACACGGCUGCAACGUCUUAUGUUGCAGAUAUUUUUCUUCGACGAGUAAGAGUACGAUUCAGGGUUACGGUCUACACUCAACUUGCCGUUGGUGUUUAUUGGGACUCCACUCCCUUGACCGCUUCCGCUGAGAUAAUUAAGGUAUAUAUCAGUUUUACGCUAUUUACAUGUGAUUGCACGUUGAUAUAUACAUUGAUGUACUGUGUGUGCCAGCAUACUGAUCGAGGGAUGGCACAGAAACACAGAGGCUUGACUCGUCUUGAGUCGGGUCGCUACACCAGAUAUCUCCACUGGUCCGAGCAGACCAUAACAUGGAGCAGGGAGGAUCACCCGCCAAGAAUAGAUAACCCGGGCGACCUGACAUUAGUCGUGGCUCCCCAAGUGGGGGGUUACACACUAUCAAAGGUAUUAAUGGAUGGUGGUAGCAGCAUCAAUAUCCUAUACUUCGACACCUUCCAGAGGAUGAAUCUAUUGGAAAAAGACUUGAUGCCUUCGACCACGGUUUUCCACGGAAUUGUCCCGGGCAAGUCGGCUUAUCCCAUAGGCCGGGUCAGGCUCUCAGUAGCGUUUGGAACUGCGUAGAAUUACAGGUCGGAGUCUCUUAUCUUCGAGGUGGUCAAGGUGAAAAGCCCAUACCAUGCGCUGUUCGGGCGACCGGCUUACGCCCGCUUCAUGGCUCGCCCGUGUUACGUCUACCUCAAGCUCAAAAUGCCCGGUCCUAAAGGACCCAUCACGGUUGAUGGAGAUAGAAGGAUCGCGAAGGAAUGUGAAGAAGGGGACGCGGCUUAUGCGGAAGUCGCCUGUGCGGCGGAAGAGCUCAAACAUCAUCGGGCCAAUGUUGACCCGGCUGACAUGUCACCACUCAAGAAGCCGACUACAGAUUCUGAGUCGCCCCUCAAGUUCAAACCAACGGAUGACACUAAGAUAAUCGAUUUCGUUCCUGGCAAUUCAUCCAAGAAGUUCACCAUUGGGACGGGUCUGGACCCCAAAUAGGAAAGCGCGCUCAUCGAAUUCAUCCGUGAGAAUCGGGACAUCUUCGCAUGGAAACCUUCUGACAUGCCUGGUGUACCGAGAGAAUUCGCUGAGCACCAUCUUAACGUUGACCCAAAAUGCAAACCUAUCCAGCAGUACCUUCGCAGAUUCAACGAGGAACGACGCAAGGCGAUUGGAGAAGAAGUCGCCCGUCUUUUAGCCGCCGGGUUCAUCGUGGAAGUUUUUCACCCCAAAUGGCUGGCCAACCCAGUGUUAGUACUCAAGAAGAAUGGCACUUUCUGUAUGUGCAUUGACUAUACAGACCUCAAGAGAGCUUGUCCCAAAGAUCCUUUCGCUCUUCCCCGCAUCGAUCAGAUCAUUGACUCGGUGGCGGGAUGCGAACGAUUGUGUUUUCUGGACGCCUAUUCAGGAUAUCACCAGAUCAAGAUGGCCAUGGAAGAUCAGGAGAAGACGGCCUUCAUAACCCCCUUCGGGGACUUUUGCUAUGUGUCCAUGCCUUUCGGACUCAAAAGCGCGGGGGCGACUUAGCAACGCUGUAUCCAGAAUUGUCUUCAUAACCAAAUUGGUUGCAACGUCCAUGCCUAUGUCGACGAUAUUGUGGUCAAGACCCGCCAGGAGGAGACACUAUUUUAAGACCUUAAGGAGACUUUUGAUAAUUUACGGAUAUAUCAGAUGAAGUUAAAUCCUACCAAGUGCGUUUUUGGUGUACCUGCAGGAAAAUUGUUGGGUUUCUUGGUAUCGGAGCGCGGUAUCGAGGCUAACCCGGACAAGAUUGAAGCAGUUACCUCUCUCGAAAAGCCGACGAAUGUUAAUCAAGUUCAACGACUUGCAGGUCGCAUUGCGGCUUUAAGUCGUUUUGUGAGUCGCCUAGGGGAAAAGGCGAUUCCUCUUUAUCAAUUAUUAAGGAAGUAUGAUCGAUUCGUGUGGACAAAUGAGGCAGACCAGACACUUGAGGGUCCUGGCAGCCCCGACUGAAAAGGAGCCUAUGAUUCUGUAUAUCGCGGAGAAUUCCAAGGCAGUAAGUGUGGCUGUGCUCGUUGAAAGAAAGGAGGGGGGGGGGGACCCAGUACAAUGCCCAGUAUAUUUUAUCAGCGAGGUGUUAACCCUUUCCAAACAGCGAUACCCGCAUUGGCAAAAACUGGUCUAUGGGGUGUUUAUGGCGAGUCGAAAACUUAAGCAUUACUUCCAGGAGCACCCCGAUCACAGUGGUAAGUUCUGCUCCCCUUGGUGACAUUAUCCAGAAUCGGGAGGCAACAGGGCGAAUCGCCAAAUGGGCGAUAGAGCUUGGGUCUCAUCACAUACAGUAUACUGUUGGGGAACGUCGCAUGGGAAACAAAAAUUUUCCUACGCGCACGAAGACCUAUCAUGGUGAUGUCCAUCUACGAGAGGGGAUGAGUGAUCUACGUACCCUUGUAGAUCGAACAGCAGAAGCGUUAGAGAACGCGGUUGAUGUAGUGGAACGUCCUCACGUCCCUCGAUCCGCCCCGCGAACAAUCCCGCGAUCAGUCCCACGAUCUAGUACCGAACGGACGGCACCUCCGCGUUCAGCACACGUACAGCUCGACGAUGAUCUCGGCCUUCUUGAUCCAGCAAGAGAGACGGAGAGGUAGAAGAGUUCUCUGGCAGCGUGACGGUGCUCCGGAGGUUGGUGAUGAUCUUGUCUCAGCAGGGCUCCGCCCGAGCUCCGCAGAAACGCGAUCUAGAGGAAAAACUAUCGAGGUAUGUGGUCGGGCAGCCGUGAGAAAGUUGUCUCAAAUCUGCCCUAAAAGCCCCAUAUAUAUAGGAGGAGGGAGGGGGACCUUGCCUUGGGGUCCAAGGGACUCCCAAGGGGUCGGCCGAGCCAAGGGGGGGAGGACUCCCCCCCCAAACCGAGUUGGACUUGGUUUGGUGGGAGGAGUCCCCCUCCCUUCCCACUUCUUCCCUCUUUUUUUUUUCUUUUCCUUUGAUUUUUCUUCUCUUGGCGCAUAGGCCCCUUUGGGGAUGUCCCACCAGCCCACUAAGGGCUGGUGUGUCUCCCCAGAGCCUAUGGGCUUCCCCGGGGUGGGUUGCCCCCCCGGUGAACUCCCGGAACCCAUUCGUCAUUCCCGGUACAUUCCCGGUAACUCCGGAAACCUUCCGGUAAUCAAAUGAGGUCAUCCUAUAUAUCAAUCUUCGUUUCCGGACCAUUCCGGAAACCCUCGUGACGUCCGUGAUCUCAUCCGGGACUGCGAACAACAUUCGGUAACCAACCAUAUAACUCAAAUACGCAUAAAACAACGUCGAACCUUAAGUGUGCAGACCCUGCGGGUUCGAGAACUAUGUAGACAUGACCCGAGAGACUCCUCGGUCAAUAUCCAAUAGCGGGACCUGGAUGCCCAUAUUGGAUCCUACAUAUUCUACGAAGAUCUUAUCGUUUGAACCUCAGUGCCAAGGAUUCGUAUAAUCCCGUAUGUCAUUCCCUUUGUCCUUCGGUAUGUUACUUGCCCGAGAUUCGAUCGUCGGUAUCCGCAUACCUAUUUCAAUCCCGUUUAUCGGCAAGUCUCUUUACUCAUUCCGUAAUACAAGAUCCCGCAACUUACACUAAGUUACAUUGCUUGCAAGGCUUGUGUGUGAUGUUGUAUUACCGAGUGGGCCCCGAGAUACCUCUCCGUCAUACGGAGUGACUAAUCCUAGUCUUGAUCCAUACUAACUCAACUAACACCUUCGGAGAUACCUGUAGAGCAUCUUUAUAGUCACCCAGUUACGUUGCGACGUUUGAUACACACAAAGCAUUGCUCCGGUGUCAGUGAGUUAUAUGAUCUCAUGGUCAUAGGAAUAAAUACUUGACACGCAGAAAACAGUAGCAACAAAAUGACACGAUCAACAUGCUACGUCUAUUAGUUUGGGUCUAGUCCAUCACGUGAUUCUCCUAAUGACGUGAUCCAGUUAUCAAGCAACAACACCUUGUUCAUAAUCAGAAGACACUGACUAUCAUCGAUCAACUGGCUAGCCAACUAGAGGCAUGCUAGGGACGUUGUUUUGUCUAUGUAUCCACACAUGUAAAUGAGUCUUCAUUCAAUACAAUUAUAGCAUGGAUAAUAAACUAUUAUCUUGAUACAUGAAUUAUAAUAAUAACUAUACAUUUAUUAUUGCCUCUAGGGCAUAAUUCCAACAUAUACUCCCCGCAUAGCUAUCAAAUCCCAGGCACUGGUUGAUUUCGUUAACGACUGGACCGAGCUACAGGUUCCGGAAGACCGGCCUAAUCUUACCUACUGGACUAUUUACUUUGAUGGAUCCUUCUAUANNNNNNNNNNNNNNNNNNNNNNNNNNNNNNNNNNNNNNNNNNNNNNNNNNNNNNNNNNNNNNNNNNNNNNNNNNNNNNNNNNNNNNNNNNNNNNNNNNNNGAAUUGUACCGUGAAGUGAAAUAACAUCCCAAGAAGCGAUAAAUAUCAACAUGAAAACAUGAUGCAAAAUGGACGUAUCAACUCCCCCAAGCUUAGACCUCGCUUGUCCUCAAGCGAAAGCCUAGCUCAAUAAAUAUGUCCACAUGUUUAGGGAGAGAGGUGUCGACAAAAGAAGAUACGAACAUGCAUGCAUCAUGAUCAUGAUGAGAACAGCAAUACCAACAUAUAAUCUCUCAUGCUAAAGUGGUAAUUCCUUCACAAAGUAAAGCAUGGAUCAAGAACUUUACCGAGAAGUAACAACCAAUAGCCUUUAGUCAUUAAAGCAAUUGCAAUUUAUCACAACAUCAGAAAGAGUCAAAUAAGAGCUUGUAAAGCAAAUCCACAUACUCAAUCAUUCUUUCGUUCUCUACAAUUGCUACAACUCACGUGGUACUCAUGAGAUCAAAGUUUCAGUUGGACACAAAGAAAGAUAGGGGCUUACAGUUGUGCCUCCCAACUGCUUACCUCAAGGGUAAUGUCAACAAUAAUAAAUCAUGAAUACUUACCUCCAAGUUGACAUAUGAAUAUAGAUCUUUCCCAAGCAUAUGACGCUAGCCAAGAUAAAGGCGAAAUAAGGAAUUGGUGAAGAUCACCAUGACUCUUUCAAGGACAAAAAGUAAAGGUACAAGAUAGGCCUUCGCAGAGGGAAGCAGAGUUUGUCGUGCACUUUUGAGGUUUGGAUGCGUGUCCUCUUAGUGCGGAGGAACGUCACUUUAUAUUGCCUCCUGUGAUAAAGAACUUUAUUAUGCAGUCUGUCGCUUUUAUGUCUUCCUCAUCACAGAUUCGUACAAAUCUUAUUUUCCACACACUAAUAGAUCAUACAUAUUAGAGAGCAAUUUUUAUUGCUUGCACCGAUGACAACUUACUUGAGGGAUCUUAUUCAAUCCAUAGGUAGGUAUGGUGGACACUCAUGGCAAAACUGGUUUGAAGGUUUAUGGAUGCACAAGUAAUAUCUCUACUUAGUGCGGGAGUUUUGGCUAAAGUGAGGUGGAAGCAAUCGUCACAUGCUAAGGGAUAUCUAAUCAUAUAACAUUGUUCGGAACCAAGAAAACACAAUUCAUUAUGGUGUCUUCAUUGUCCAACAUCUACUUCUAGGCAUGCAAUAGUUUAGUGAGUGUUCACAAUCAUAGAUGGUGUCAGAGAUGAUAUAUUCAUAUGUGAACCUCUCCUUCUUUAUCACUUACUAUUAAUUGCAACCAUGACCAAGGUCUACGUUUGCCUACCCUCAACAAGUUUCAAUCCUCAUUCUUUUUAUAUGUGAAGCCAUCACUUCGCAUAAGAUCAUUACAUGAUCUUUCAUGAUUUUGUUCUAUUCUCAUUCGUUUGAUCAUGGCAAGAGGCAAAGCCCUUCGCGAGCUCGAAUACAUCGGGGGUGACACAAAGCAAAACUCAAGACUAAAACACUAAGACUUUUAAAUCUACUAGAGAAAUAGAAAACUGAAAAGGAAAACUAAAACAAAAGUAAAGGCAAAAGAUGUGAUGGUGAUACGAUACUGGGGCAACUCCCCCAAGCUUGGCACAAGCCAAGGGGAUUGCCCAUACCAAUGCUCAGUUGUCUUCCUUUGGUGGUGAUGGUGGAGUUGUUGCAACAUGAGUUUAAUCCUCCGUCUUCCAAGGCAUAGGUGCUCCAUCAUGGAAAGAUGAACGAGUCUUCGGAAUCCUCAAAUCUGCAGCCAACCGUAUUGAUUUAAAUCUAUACUCAUACUCAUAGUUUUGGUUCUGCAGGUCAUAGAUCUUGGCCUGGAGUUGAUCAAUCCUGUCAUAGAGCCUGGAGAGGUGCGUCCCAAUGUCAUAGGCAUCAAUCAUGUGCUUGUUGGUGAACUCCGUGAUCAUCAUGUGGUUGGCGUUGAGUCCACGCUCCACCAUCCAUCGGCACUUGAAGACUUGUUGCUCCAUUGCUUCGAGCCUCGUCUCCAAGAUUCCGGUCUUCUUAGGCCCAUGAACAUCACGGAUGUGCAACAUCCCCUCACGCAUCUCGAUAGAUUGAGGGUGUUGCAGCACUCCCGUGAGGUAGGGAUUGAUGACCUUCUCGAAGAUCUUGUCCUUCGGAGCUUUUGGGGAAGUCAUAGCGAUCUAGAUCUGCAACAGAAACAUGCUCGAAACAAAAAACAGAGGAAAUCUAUGUGAUGCAGGGGUCACACCAAACGGGAGUAUAUAUAAUGAUUUUUUCCAGACUAGAAGGAGUACUCCGCACGAAAACGGUGUCCGGGAGGCGCACGAGGUGGCCACAAGCCCUCAUGGCACGGCCAGGGGGUGGGCCCGCGCCGUGCAGGCUUGUCGCCUCCUCGCGCACUUUCUGGACUACUUCCAAUUUUUGUAUUUUUUUCAAAUAUUCCAAAAUGGAGAAAAUUUCCUACUGGAAAAGUUUUGGACUCUGUUUUCUUACCGAAUCACAUACCUCUUCGUUUUCGGAGUCUGAAACAGGCUGAUAAAUACCCCUUAGGUAUUCUUUCGGAGUUAUGGUAUUGAUAAUAUUGCUUUCAACAUUUAUGGGAGUACCUGAGAUACAAUGCUUGAUUCUCUGCCCAUUUACCACUCUCGGACAAUUACCUUCCGUGUUGUUGAUCUUGAUAGGACCGGAACGAUAUACUUCCUCAACAACAUAGGGACCUUCCCAUUUAGAGAGAAGCUUUCCUGCAAAGAAUCUUAAACGAGAGUUAUAUAGCAAGACAUAAUCACCUACAUUGAACUCACGCUUUCGUAUCCUCUUAUCGUGCCACCUCUUAACCUUUUCUUUGAACAACUUGGCAUUCUCAUAUGCCUGAGUUCUCCAUGCAUCAAGCAAGCUAAUGUCAAGUAACCUCUUCUCAUCGGAAAGUUUGAAAUCAAAGUUGAGCUAUUUGAUUGCCCAAUAAGCUUUAUGCUCUAGCUCAAGAGGUAAAUGACAUGCUUUACCGUACACCAUUUUGUACAGAGACAUGCCCAUGGGAUUCUUAUAGGCAGUUCUAUAAGCCCAUAGUGCAUCAUCGAGCUUCUUAGACCAAUUCUUUCUAGACCUGUUGACAGUCUAUUGCAGAAUCAGUUUAAUCUCUCCAUUACUUACCUCUACUUGACCACUGGACUGAGGGUGAUAGAGAGACACAAUUCUAUGGUUGACAUUGUACUUAGCAAGUGUUUUACAGAAAGCACCAUGAAUGAAGUGUGAACCAUCGUCGGUCAUUAGAUAUAUAGGGACUCCAAAUCUAGGGAAGAUAACUUCUUUCAGCAUCCUGAUAGAGGUGUUGUGAUCAACACUACUAGUGGGGAUAACUUCUACCCACUUAGUGACGUAAUCAACAGCAACUAGGAUAUGAGUAUACCCGUUGGAUUUUGGAAAAGGUCCCAUAUAAUCAAAGCCCCAGACAUCAACUGGUUCAAUGUCAAGUGAAUAGUUCAUAGGCAUUUCCCGACGUUUGCUAAUAUUACCUAUUCUUUGACAUUCGUCACAAGACAAGACAAACUUACGGGUAUCCUUGAAGAGAGUGGGCCAAUGGAAACCUGAUUGCAAUACCUUGUGUGCAGUUCCAUCUCCCGCAUGGUGUCCUCCGUAGGCCUCGGAGUGACACUUUUGUAGGAUCUGCCCCUGUUCAUGUUCAGGUACACAAUGUCUAAUAACACCAUCUACUCCUUCCUUAUAAAGGUGAGGAUGAUCCCAAAAGUAAUGUCUCAAGUCAAAGAAGAAUUUCUUCUUUUGCUGUUACGUGAAACUAGGUGGUAUGUAUUUGUCAACGAUAUAGUUUGCAUAAUCAGCAUACCACGGUGCACUACGUGAAGCAUUGAUGACAUUCAGUUGCUCAUCGGGAAAGCUAUCAUCAAUAGGUUGUGGGUCGUCAAGAACAUUCUCCAACCUAGACAAGUUAUCUGCUACUGGGUUAUGAGCACCCUUUCUGUCGACAACGUGCCAAUCAAAUUCUUUUAGCAAGACAACCCAUCUGAUAAGUCUAGGUUUAGCGUCUUUCUACUCCAUAAGGUACUUAAUAGCAGCAUGAUCAGCGUGAAUAGUGACUUUGGAAUCAACUAUGUAAGACCUAAACUUUUCACAUGCAAACACGACUGCUAAAAACUCCUUCUCUGUAGUAGCAUAGUUUCUCUAGGCACUGUCUAGAGUUUUACUAGCGUAGUGAAUAACAUUCAACUUCUUAUCAACUCUUUGCCCUAGAACAGCACCAACAGCAUAAUCACUAGCGUCACACAUGAUCUCAAAAGGUAAGUUCCAAUCAGGUGCAUGAAUAAUAGGUGCAGUUAUCAAAGCCCUCUUAAGUAUUUCGAAGGCUUCCUCACAAUCAUCGUCAAAAACAAAAGGAAUAUCCUUUUGUAAGAGAUUGGUAAGAGGCCUAGAAAUCUUAGAGAAGUCUUUGAUGAACCUUCUAUAGAAACUAGCAUGACCAAGGAAACUUCUUAUACCUUUGAUAUCUGUGGGGUAUGGCAUUUUCUCGAUUGCAUCAACCUUAGCCUUAUCGACUUCAAUACCACUUUCAGAAAUUUUAUGUCCUAAGACGAUGCCUUCGUUAAGUAUAAACUGACAUUUCUCCCAAUUCAAGACAAGAUUGGUGGCUUUACAUCUCUGCAAGACUCGAUCAAGGUUGUUGAGGCAAUCAUCAAAGGAAGACCCGUAAACGGAGAAGUCAUCCAUGAAAAUCUCAAUAAUCUUUUCACAUAAGUCAGAGAAUAUAGCCAUCAUACAUCUUUGAAAGGUGGCAGGUGCAUUACAUAAGCCAAAAGACAUACGUCUAUAAGCAAAGGUACCGAAAGGGCAGGUGAAAGUGGUUUUCUCCUGAUCAGAUUGUGCAACUGGUAUUUGGGAGUAACCAGAAUAACCGUCUAGAAAGCAGAAGUGUGUAUGUUUAGACAGCCUUUCUAGCAUUUGGUCGAUAAAAGGCAAAGGGUAAUGAUCUUUCCUAGUGGAUUUAUUCAAUUUCCUAAAAUCGAUCACCAUCCUAUAGCCAGUAAUAAUCCUCUGUGGGAUCAAUUCAUCCUUAUCAUUAGGGACAACGGUAAUGCCUCCCUUCAUAGGGACGCAAUGCACCGGACUCACCCAAUCGCUAUGAGCAACAGGAUAGAUAAUACCCGCUUCCAAGAGCUUUAGUAUUUCUUUUAUUACUACUUCUUUCAUCUUAGGAUUCAAUCUCCUUUGAUGAUCAGUAACUGGUUUGAAAUCAGGAUCAAUUUUGAUCUUGUGCUGGCAUAGAGUGGGACUAAUGCCCUUAAGAUCAUCAAGAGUAUAUCCAAUAGCAGCACGGUGCUUCCUCAGAGUUUUUAGUAACUUAUUUUCUUCAUGCUCCGAGAGGCUAGCACUAAUAAUGACAGGACAUAUCUCUUUUUCAUCAACAUAGGCAUACUUAAGAGUAUCAGGCAAUUGUUUAAGCUCGAACACAGGAUCACCCUUUGGUGGGGGUGGAUCCCCAAGCAGUUCAACAGGCAAGUUGUUCUUAAGAAUAGGAUAUUGUUCUAAGACAACUCUAUCUAUCUCAUCCGUUUCAUCCAUAUGCAUAUCAUUUUCGUGCUCAAGCAAGUAUUGCUCUAAGGGAUCUGUAGGAGGCACGACAAUAGAAGCUAAGGCAAUAGUUUCAUCCUUACUAGGCAAAUCCUUUUCAUGAGGUUGUCUACCAAACUUGGAGAAAUUGAACUCGUGUGACACUCCUUCAAAGCCAAAAGUGACAGUUUGCUUCUCACAAUCAAUAUGAGAAUUGACUGUAUUGAGAAAAUGUCUACCAAAUAUGAUGGGACAAAAGCUAUCUUGUGCGGUAGCAAGAACGAGAAAAUCAGCAGGAUACUUCAUUUUACCACACAAGACUUCAACAUCCCUAACAAUUCCCACAAGGCAGAUAGUAUCUCUAUUGGCAAGCUGAAUAGUGACAUGAAUAGGCUCUAUCUCAACAUGUGCAAUCUCGUCUUUGAUUACAUCAUAUAAGGAUUGAGGUAUUGCACUAACACUAGCACCCACGUCACAUAAAACCAUGGUAACAAUGAUCUCCUAUCUUAACAGAAACCACAGGCAUGCCAACAACAGGCCUAUGUUUGUCUCUAGCAAUUCUAGCAGCAUCUUCACAGAAGUGAAUAUUAUGUCCCUCAACAUCGUCGGACAGAAGAUCUUUGAUAAUAGCAAUGCUAGGUUCAACUCUAAUUUGCUCAGGGGUUGUAGGUGUUCUAAUAUAGCCUCUACGUAUCAUAGUUGACGCUUUAGAAUGAUCCUUUAUCCUAACAGGGAAAGGUGGUUUCUCAAUGUAAGCACUAAGAACAACAGGAUCAUUAUAGACAAUGACUUUCUCUACAACUGGAGUGGGUUUAACUACAUUGACUUCUAAAGGAGGAUGAUAUUUAAACCACUUCUCUUUGGGGAGAUCAAUAUGAGCAGCAAAGGAUUCACACAAUGAAGCUACUAUCUCAGAGUCAAGUCCAUACUUAGAGCUAAGUCACAAAAAGUAUUUGUCUCAACAAAGGAUUUAACGCAAUCAAACGUGAAAUUCAUACCUGACUCCUUACCUUCUUCAAGCUCCCAAUCUUCAAAGUUUCGUUUAAUUCUCUCCAAUAAAUUCCAUUUGAAGUCGAUAUAUCUCUUCAUAAAAGAACCGGUACAAGAAGUGUCAAGCAUGGUGCGGUCAUCAUGAGAAAGCCGAGCAUAGAAGUUCUGAAUGAUAAUUUCUCUCGAGAUCUCAUGAUUGGCGCAUGAAUAUAACAUUGAUUUAAGCCUCCCCCAAGCUUGAGUGAUGCUUUCUCUGUCACGAUUCCAAAAAUUAUAAAUAUAAUUCCGAUCACAAUGUACUAAAUGCAUAGGAUAAAACUUUUGAUGAAAUUCCAAUUUCAACCGAUUGUAGUCCCAUGAUCCAGUAUCAUCACACAGCCUAUACCAUGUCAACGCCUUAUCCUUCAAAGAUAAAGGAAAGAGCUUCUUCUUGACCUAAUCCUCGGGCACACCUGCAAGCUUAAAUAAACCACAAACUUCAUCUACAUAGAUCAGAUGCAAGUCUGGAUGUGAUGUUCCAUCUCCUAUAAAAGGACUAGCCAGCAGUUUCUCAAGCAUACCCGAAGGAAAUUCAAAGCAAAUAUUUUUAGUAGGUGCAGCGGGUUGAGGAGAAACUCUUUGUGCUUCCGUUCGAGGUGAAGAUACCCCGAACAAGCCCCUCAAAGGAUUAGUAUCCAUAGUGACAAGUGACAAUAAAUUUCAGCACACUAUAUGAAUGUUUCCUUACCAAGUUCCACUUACCAAAGGCGCUUCACUCCCCGGAAACAGUGCAAGAAAAGAGUCUUGAUGACCCACAAGUAUAGGGGAUCAAUCGUAGUCCUUUCGAUAAGUAAGAAUGUCGAACCCAACAAGGAGCAGAAGGAUGUGACAAGUGGUUUUCAGCAAGGUAAAAUCAGCACACCCUGAAAUUGCCGGUAACAAGUGAUUGUGUGGUGAGAGAUUCGUAGCAAGCAACAAGUAACAAAAGUAGCAACGGUGCAGCAAAGUGGCCCAAUCCCUUUUGUGGCAAGGGACAAGCCUGGAAAAAGUCUUAUAGGAGGAAAAACGCUCCCGAGGACACACGGGAAUUUCUGUCAUGCUAGUUUCAUCAUGUUCAUAUGAUUCGCGUUCGUUACUUUGAUAGUUUGAUAUGUGGGUGGACCAGCGCUUGGGUACUGCCCUUACUUGGACAAGCAUCCCACUUAUGAUUAACCUCUCUCGCAAGUAUCCGCAACUACGAAAGAAGAAUUAAGACAAAGUCUAACCAUAGCAUUAAACUAGUGGAUCCAAAUCAGCCCCUUACGAAGCAACACAUAAACUAGGGUUUAAGCUUCUGUCACGCUAGCAAGCCAUCAUCUACUUACUACUUCCCAAUGCCUUCCUCUAGGCCCAAAUAAUGGUGAAGUGUUAUGUAGUCGACAUUCACAUAACACCACCAGAGGAAAAACAACAUGCAAGAUAUCAAAUUACCGAAUGAAUACCAAAUUCACAUGACUACUAUUAGCAUGACUUAUCCCAUGUCCUCAGGAACAAAAGUAACUACUCACAAAGCAUAAUCAUAUUCAUGACCAGAGAGGUAAUGAGUAACAUCAAGGAUCUGAACAUAAACUCUUCCACCAAGUAAUCCAACUAGCAUCAACUACAAAGAGUAAUCAACACUACGAGCAACCUUACAAGUACCAAUCGGAGUCGCAAGACAGAGAUUGGUUAGAAGUGAUGAAUUAGGGUUUGGAGAUGAGAUGGUGCUGAUGAAGAUGUUCAUGGUGACCAGUCCCCUCCAAUGAGAGGAGUGUUGGUGAUGACGAUGGCGACGAUUUCCACCUCCGGGAGGGAAGUUUCCCCGGCAGGAUCGUCCUGCCGGAGCUCUAGAUUAGUUCUGCUAAAGUUCCGCCUCGUGGCGGCAGCGAAUCCAUGAAAAAGCUCCUCUCCGAUUUUUUUUCCAGACGAAACCCUUCAUAUAGCAGAAGAGGGGGGCAAGUGGGCCAGCAGGCUGCCCACAAGNNNNNNNNNNNNNNNNNNNNNNNNNNNNNNNNNNNNNNNNNNNNNNNNNNNNNNNNNNNNNNNNNNNNNNNNNNNNNNNNNNNNNNNNNNNNNNNNNNNNUCUAUGCUAGGCUGAAACUUCUGUCACCCGUGCCCUCCAAUACAUAGUCCUAUCAACAUACUACUAACCAUAUGGUGUGAUCCACGCGCGCGCUCAUAUGAUGGGCACCAAAGGACAGCAACAUAACCACAAGCAAAUUAAACCAAUCAUAGCAAUUCAUCAGUCACCGAUAGGACACCGAAAAUCUACUCAGACAUCAUAGGAUGGCAACACAUCAUUGGAUAAUAAUAUGAAGCAUAAAGCACCAUGUUCAAGUAGAGGGUACAACGGGAUGCGGGAGAGUGGACCGCCGAAUAUAGAUGAGGGAAGGUGAUGGAGGUGUUGGUGAAGAUGACGGAGGUGUUGGUGUAGAUCGCCGUCACACAAUGAUGUCCCGGGCGGCGUUUCGGCGCCACCGGGAGAGAGGGGGAGAGAUCCCCCUUCUUCUUCUUCUUCCUUGACCUCCUCCCAAGAUGGGAGAAGGGUUUCCCCUCUGGUCCAUGGUCUCCAUGGCGGCGGAGGGGCGAGAGCCCUCCGAGAUUGGAUCUCUCUCUCUGUGUCCUUCUGUUUCUGCGCUCCCAGAUUUUGCGUUUCACCAUUUUUUAAAUUCCCGGAGAUCCGUAUCUCCGAUUGGGAUGAAAUUUUAAUACGAUUUUCUUCCGGAUAUUAUCUUUCUUGCAACGAAAGAAGGGCCCCAACCGCCUUAGGGAUUGGUCACAAGCUUGCCAGCCGCGGCCUAGGGGUUGGGUCGCGCCUCCUGGGCUUGUGACCUCCUCGGGCAUCGUUUCGCGCAGAUUCUUCUUUCCAAGAAUCAUAAAUAUUCCAAAAAAAUCCCCGUAGGUUUUUUAUUGCGUUUGGACUUCGUUUGGUAUGGAUAAUCUGCGAAACAAAAAAACAUGCAACGGACAGUAACUCGCACUGGAUCAAUAUGUUAGUCCCAAAAAUAGUAUAAAAAGUUGCCAAAAGUAUAUGUAAGUUGUAGAAUAUUGGCAUGAAACAAUAAAAAUUUAUAGAUAUGACGGAGACGUAUCACACUGCUCACGACAGUGCACGACUAUCUCCAUUACGAAUAUGUCGUGGGGGAGGUGGUCCUCGGAUUUUGUCCAUGCGUCAGGUGCAUGGAUGCCAUAACGUAUCGCCAGCUAGAUAGAGAUCCCGGGUCUUCGAAAACCGUGUUCAUGGGACAUCGAAGGUGGCUUCGCGACGAUGACGCAUGGAGAAAACCCAAGGAUCUGUUCGAUGGUGAAACCGAACCCCGAAGACCCCUACGUAUGAGGAGCGGCGAGGAAAUAGAUGAGUUGUAGAAAAAUUGGAAAGAGUGCCCACCGCCGGGAAAGAAGCGAAAGGCGCGAGAGCCGCUGCUGAAGGUAUGGAAAAUGAGGUCUGUUUUCGUGGACUUGCUGUACUGGAAGAUCCUCCGUGUGCCUCCCAGCCUUGAUGUCAUGCAUAUCACGAAGAACGUGUGCGAGAGUCUGCUUGGUACCCUCCUCGACAUGCCAGAGAGGACCAAAGAUGGGCCGAAAGCAAGGGCAGACUUGCAAUCAAUGGGCAUCAGGGAGGAGCUUCACGCAAAACGCUCUAAUGAUGAUGAUGAGGCGAAGGACAUGGAAAGUCGUCGCAAAGGCAAAAAGGCCAAGAAGAUCGAAUAUGACUGCCCUCCCGCGUGCUUCACUCUAAGUCAGAAGGAGAUCGAUGAGUUUUUCACCUGCCUCGUAGGAGUAAAACUUCCUUACAAUUACGCGAGGAAGAUAAGCAGAUACCUAGACUCAGCGAAGAAGAAGUUCAGCGGGAUGAAGUCUCACGACUGUCACGUGCUGAUGACACAGAUACUUCCAGUUGCAAUACAUGGGAUCAUGGACGCGCACGUCCAUGAAACGCUAUUUGGCCUUUGCAACUUUUUCGGCGUCAUCUCUCGGAAGUCGGUUGGCAUGAGGCAACUCAGAAGGCUACAUGAAGAGAUCGUGGUGAUACUAUGCGAGCUUGAGAUGUACUUCCCGCCCGCAUUCUUCGAUGUUAUGGUGCAUCUGCUUGUCAUGUCCAAGAUGCGACCCUAUCAUCAAUUGGGCACGGGGCCUCAUGAGGGAUAGAAGCGCAUCUCGUCGUGUUGCAAGAAUGGAUAUCGUUACAAGUACAUGUACUGAAAAGAAGAGAUAUAUAAUAGAAUUGGCUUAAACUCGCCACAAGCUACAUCAGAAUCACAUCAGUACAUUACGAAAUCAUCAAGAGUAAGAGCAGGGUCCGGCUACGGAUGAAGAAAACCAAAAAAAAGAACGACGCCCAUCAUUGCUAUCACAGGCUGCCGGCCUGGAACCCAUCCUAGAUCGAUGAAGAAGAAGAAGCAACUCCAAAUGAACAAUCAACGCGCUCGCGUCGAGUAACCUUUACCUGUACCUGCAACUGGUGUUGUAGUAAUCUGUGAGCCACAGGGGACUCAGCAAUCUCAUUUCCGAAGGUAUCAAGACUAGUAAAGCUUAUUAGGUGAGGCAUGGUUAAGUGGUGAGGUUGCAGCAGCGGCUAAGCAUAUAUUUGGUGGCUAACUUACGAGUACAAGAAAUAAGAGGGGGGAUGAUCUACGCAUAGCGGACGUGACUACUGAUGAUCAAAUAAAUGAUCCUGAACAGCUACCUACGUCAGACAUAACCCCACCGUGUCCUCGAUCGGAGAGGGAACUCACGAAAGAGACAGUCACGGUUACGCACAUAGUUGGCAAGUUUUAAUUAAGUUAACUUCAAGUUAUCUAGAACCAGUGUUAAACAAAGUUUCCACGUUUCCACAUAACCGCGGGCACGGCUUUCCGAAAAGAUUUAACCCUGCAGGGGUGCUCCCACUAGUCCAUCACAAAAGGUCACGGGCCGCAAAGUAAUCCUCAAUCACGAAGCUCGCGAUCUCGUCGGAUUCCCUAGUGGAAAACCUCAACUAUGAGAUUAUCCGGAGCAUCACCGGAAUCCCGAUGCACAAGAUAUCUCGUCAAAGGUAAAACUAAUCCAGCAAGGCCGCCCGACGUGUCGACGAUCCCGAUAGGAGUCGCGUACCUCGUUCUUAGGACAUGACGGAUGAGCUAGACGUCAGGAUCGCUAAACCUCCGGGUGACCAGAGGGGCGCCGGACAUCGCUCAGGUGGGGCCAACACUCAUGAGGAGCACUGGCCCGGGGGUUGAUUAAAUUAUCCUCGGGGUCUGGAAAGUCGCUAUGCAAUUUUAUUAGGUGUUUAGGCAAAUGUAGUACCAAAGUUGGUCCUUGCCAGACCAGCUUUAAUCUAAAACGAAUUAUCAACGGGGUCCCCAUAACAACCCCGAUCGUGUUAGGAGUGCUCGUUUACGGAACAUAACACCGGUAGCCGAAACUAAGGGGGCAAAGGUGGAACAAAACACCAGGCUAGAAAGGCCGAGCCUUCCGCCUUUUACCAAGUAUAUAGGUGCAUUAAAUUAAAUAGCAUUUAAAUAUGGUGAUAUAACAAGGAACCCAUGUUAUCACAUGGAAGCAACUGCACCUGCAACUAGCAACGCUAUCACAAGGUGAAGCAAGCAAUAACAUAGCCAAUCAGUGGUUUGCUAGGUUGAAGAGGUUGAAGUUUUCAUGGCAUUGUUGAGAGGCUGAUAUUUAACAGGUGGUAGGCAACGAGACAUAAUCGAUAGAAGCAAAAAAACUAGCAUGGCAAUGAUAGUAAUGGUAUCUGGGGAAAUGGUCAUCUUGCCUGAGAUCCGGCUUGGAAGAAGAAUGCCUCCGUGAAGCAGACGAACGGACGUAGUCGAACGGGUUCUCACAAUCCGACACGCUUGCGGAACUCUAUCGAAACGAAGCAAACCGGAAACACAAAUCAACACACGAUAUACACCACACGAUGCACAACACAUAUGAUGCAUGAGCAGCUGAACACAUGUAAGUCGCGGCAUGACAAUUCACACAAUCAAACACUACACAUUAAGUGAAGUUCAAUAUGCAACGAGUUGCAUAUUAACGAAACUCCACGUUAAUUAUUUAGUUCUAUCCCGAUUAAAUGCACGGCAAUAUUAAAUGUGGUUAAACAUGGCAAGAGGUGAAGCGUAAGUAAUCUACCUAUCUAGGCAUUUUAAAUGAGGUCGGAAAUGACAUAUAGCACCUCCGAGACGACCUCACAUGUUAAUUUACAAUUAUGUCCAGAUCUAAGCUAACACAUUUAAUUAGUUGUUAAACAGCAAAACAAAUUGGUUCACAUGAUUCUACGCGUCGUUACAAGAAAUUUACACAUAGAGAACAUCUCCAACGGAGCUACGGAUCAAAAGUUACAAGCACCGCAAGAUAUGAUGGCAUGAAUGCAAUAUGUGUGCAACGACGGCUAUGAGCACUUCAAAACAUAUAACCAGCAAGAGAAAAUGAAACUACACGAGAUUCUAAGCAAGUUUCAUGUAGGACACAAUCAAAUUGGAGCUACGGUUCAAAAGAUACGAGCAAAACAAGAAAACACUACAAUCUGCCAAAAUCAGCCACAUAACAUUUUCUACGCCCCACAACUACGGGCUACACAAGUCCGAUAAACGCAAGCAAGACAUGGCACGAAAGAGGGCAAGAAGCACUACAACAAACAACUAACAACAACUAGCAUGGCAUCGUGGAUCACUAGGAAAAGAAGUCACAAGAUGGCUUCUCACACACUAUUUCAGACGUAGUGAAAAUAACACCUCAUGAAAGUGCAGUUUUCGAUCUGAAGGCAUAUUGACAGCAGCAAAACCAUAAGCUACAGGUCCGCAAAUGACAUGAAAAUUCACAGCAUGCUAUAGAAACACAAGGGCUACAACUAACUCCAUUGCACCAACCUCAAAAGAGCUACAGAUCACAAGAUAGAAGCAAAACAAAACGACAACAAAAUAUAAUAGAUUCCAGACUGAGAAAUAUUUCAGCACCUCCAAAUCAGCACUAUUUCUAGCAACUUGAGAGCAAUCAAACCACACCUAAACAUUCAUUUCUAUUGCAACCAAAAAUACCAGGGGCUAGACUAAACACCCAAGAACAACUCUCUAGUUGACAACUCCUUCAAACGAAGCACGUAAUAAAUCCUACGAAAAAGACAAGAGGGCACCAUGGCAAAAUAUCGCACGAACUAUCUUACUCAAAAGCUAAAACUAAUUGCACAGAAAAAUCCACCCCAAAAACAUAUAAAAUAUGUGGGGUUGGGCAACAAAAAUAAUGCCACACGAAAAUGCGAAAUAAUAACCUAGACACGGAAAAAUAAACUAGCGCAAUUCCCUACAUGCAAAAAUACAAACGAUUGCUCUAAAAUUCAUGAAAAAAUGGUUCCUAAAACAUGGGCAUUUUAUCUAAGGCAUACGGGCUAUCUAGACACGCACGAAAAAUAAUACGGGACGCAAACAUAAUAGGACAUCACGUACAUCUAUGCAUUAGGCACGCUAAACUACAACAAAUAAAUAUGCAAUUUGCAAAUUCGGAUUCUACGCGUAAAACUACACGAUUUUCAUAUAUUGCUCGCUGCGAUCCGAUAUACGGAAUAAAAGAUACACGCGUUUGAAAAUCUAACAUUACCCUGAAAUUAAUAAAUCGCAGAAAUCCUAAAAUUAACAACGGGCCGAAACAACAGUGAGCGCAACAAACUAUCCUACGCCUUGAGCGUUUUAUAGCGACUAGGAGGGGGAGCUGCUCACCUCGUGGGCUCGGCCCAUGAGGCAGGCCUGGCCGCGGCAGUUGGAGGAGGAGGCGACCCACGUGGGAGGCCAGCCUGGCGCGGGCUUCGGGAAGAGGCAGGCCAGCACCUGGCCUGGGCCGAAACCAGCGAGGCAGCUGGCCCCAGGCGCUCGGGCGGCCCACGCGAGGGUCAGCGCUCGCGAGCGAGGCGUCGCGACCUCAUCCUCCUAAUGGGAGGCCUUGCGACGGCGGCUGCUGGCACCCGGGCGAAGCGGUAGAGGAGCUCCGGGCAACGAAGGCGGCAGAUCCGGCCGGAUCUCGUGGGAUCCGGGCCUGACGGCGGCGGGGCGAGCAGGGAACGUCGCGGCACUUCGGGCACUGGAGCCGACGCGGCGGCGGAGGACGGCCCACGGCAAGAGGCGGCCAUGGCCGGCNGAGGUUGCGGGAGGAGGCUAGGGUUUCAGGGUAAGUGGGCGCGCUUCCCGAUGCAGGGGGCUGCUGUCCAAAAAUACUAGUAGGAGGGUCUAUAUAUAGAGAAGAGGGGGCUAGGUUUACCGGAAUUCCGUUCCGGAUCCAACCGUGCGGUCGGAUUCGGAUGAUUCCGCACGCGGGAAUGGGCGAGUGGCUGUGUAGAGUGGAUAUCCGGAGACGAGAGGGAGAACGGGCGGUGCGGCAACGAAUUUUAAAACACUGACAAACGUCCGACGAAUAAUUGAAGACGGUGCCGCUACGGUCAACCGUUCGGGUACCACAGGGACUCCGAUUGCGACGAAACUUGACAGGCGGCCUACCUAUAUUAAAAUAAUACCGCACGUCAAAUCUCACCCCAGUCAGAGAAAGUUUUACACACACUUUUAAAACCAAAAUUCGAACGAUGCCGCGGGUGCGUGCGUGUGCGGUCGGACUCAGAACAGACAACGACGAGAACCGGCAACUAACAACGGAUGCAAGUUUUGAAAACUGGCGGCAACGGGGUGCCGAUGCAAUGCUUAUGAUGCGGAUGAUGCGAUGAUGAUCCAACUAAAGAAAAUAGACACACGACGAAAACGGAAAGAAAGGGGAAUCUUCUGGAACGUCGGCAUCGGGCUGUCACACUGCUGGUCCAUAUCGUGGAGGAUAUCAUCCAACUCGGGCCGACGUUCCUGCACAACAUGAUGCCGUUCGACAGGAUGAAUGGUGUCAUCAAAGGAUACAUUCGCAACAGGGCACGUCCAGAUGGAAGCAUAGCCCAGGGCUUUCUGACCGAAGAGUGCAUCACCUUCUGCACGAAUUAUCUAGGCAUCGAGAACCCUGUUGGUCUGCCCGUCAACACGCACCUCGGCAGGCUCGCUGGAUGGGGUCAACGCGAGGGUCGCCGCGAAAUGCAUGUCAACUUCAAUGGUCGACUCGCCGACUUUGAAAGAGCAAACCUAGUCAUGCUACAGCACAUAGACGUGGUCGAUCCUUGGGUGGUAGAGCACAAAUCCUUUAUUGAGAAGACGUACAAUGACCGAGGCCAACAGAGGACGGACAGAGAUAUAAUCAAAGAGCACAACCCAUAUUUCACGCGUUGGUUCAAGGACAAGCUUCCGUCGUACCCUUUACAUGAGGAUUCUUCCACGAAAGAAAAACUCAUAUUCGCCUUGUCACAGGGAGCCGAGCACAACCUGAUGACCUAUGAGGCGUACGAUAUCAACGGCUACACAUUCUACACCGAGGAAAAGGACAUGAAGAGCGAUUACCAGAACUCUGGGGUAACAAUGGAAUCCUACACCGGUAAUGACAAGGACAGAUACUACGGAAGGAUCAAGGAGAUCUGGGAGCUGAGCUACGCUGGAGAGAAGGUUCUGAUGUUCCGUGUCAGAUGGGCCAAGAGCAUCCUAAAAGAAGACCGGUAUUUCACUACCAUGGUUAUACACGAACCCAAAUCAAAGACCGCGGGCGAAACGUCACCGAGAAAAUGAGCCAUGAGUACUGGCUUGCCAAGUGGACCAAUGCUUCUUCAUUACCGACCCGUGAAAGCCCAGUCGUGUUGUCGUGAGGAGAGGCAAAAGGAACAUCAUCGGAAUGGAUGGAGUCGCCCAUGAGCAAGACUUCGACAAGUACGGCGACCCGAAGAUGGAAGAUGAUGACGACGAUGACGUAGCACACACCACAAGAAGAAGCAGGACCACCCUACCUAAAGGACGUCCAUUCAAGAGAAGAAUUCAAGGGGUUCCGGGGCUAAAUUAUUCAACCGUGAGAAAGAAGGGCAAGAAGAUCAUUGUGAAAAGAUAGUUAAGAUCGAAUCACGACAUGUCGGCCGCGUGUGUGUGUCAGUGGCAACCUCAGUAUUUGAUGACUGUUAUUUCAUGUCACUUGAUUUCAACCAUGUCAUGUAAUUCUAAAUCUUUGCACAAUGUGAUAUCACCUCAUAACAUGUUUUUUUGUAAGUGUCUCUCUCCGCGAGCUUUAUGGAUGGGUUAGGUGUAAAAAUGCUUUCCUCGGGCUACUCAUAAAACACAUUAGCUCGUUUGGCUAAACAAGUGGAAAUGAGUGAUUGGCUCUUUUCAUUAAGUAGCCAUACGAAUGAGUGAUUUUUUGUAGUCCUCAAAGAUCCAACCAAAUCCAUACAAAGGAUGCUACUACGUAGAUCAACAUUCGAAUGUGGACCAAACCUACAAAUAUAUAGAAGAAUAUGUCCCAAAGGACAUAGUUCUUGGUCGUACAUAGUUCUUAGUAAGAAAAUAGAUGAACUAAAGACAAAGUAUACUAGAUAGGCGGCGAAAUUAUUACAUGCAUGCAACUAAAAAAAAGUUAGUAAUGGCGCACCAGGGGAAGGUGCGCCAUUGCUAUCACCAUACUUAUGGCGCACCACUAGAAGGUGCGCCAUUGCUAUCACCUUACUUAUGGCGCACCACUAGAAGGUGCGCCAUUGCUAUCACCUUACUUAUGACGCACCACUAGAAGGUGCGCCAUUGCUAUCACCUUACUUAUGGUGCACCCCUAAAUGGUGCGCCAUUGCUAACCCUCCCCAACUAUACCAAUUCAUUCCCACCUCCCCUCACUCUCCCCACAGCGCCCGUCGUUUCUCCCCACCCCUCCUCCUCCUCCACGGGGACUACGCCGCCGGUGACUCCCUCCUCCUCCACGAGGACUGCGCUACCGGUGACUCCCUCCUCCUCCUCCACGGGGACUACGCUACCGGUGACGCCCUCCUCCUCCUCCACGGGGACUGCGCCGCUGGGGACUCCCUCCUCCUCCUCCAUGGGGACUGCGUUGCCGGGGACUCCCUCCUCCUCCUCCACGGGGACUGAGCCGCCGGGGACUCCCUCCUCCCCCUCCACGGGGACUGCACCGUCGGGGACUCCCUCCUCCCCCUCCGCCUCCGCCGCUAGCUGUUGAGGUCCUCCUCUUUGAGGUAUUUAUCCCUCUUCCCGCUCUUCUACUUGUUCUUCUGGGCGCAAGGUUCGAUCUCGAUCUGUAAUUGGAAGCUAAUUUCGACUCUGGUGCAAGUGGAUAUAUCUAACAACGCUUAUAAUUGAGAUUCUUUUUUCUUUUUUGACCAGAUAGUCACUAUGAAUUUGUCAUGUCCAUGUGCAGAGCCUCUUGGUUGAGUAGUCCUAGGAUAUUGAACCACCGCCAGUAAAUUUUCUUUGCAUAUUUUGUAAAAUUUCCCAAGACUUUUGUAUAUAAAAGUGCACACAAAUUCUAUAUGUCAAUUUAGUCUUGAUGAUGCUCUGCAUGCCUCAUUUGGAGUUCAAUAAUUCAACCAAUCCAAAUAGGUAAACAUUUUGCACAAAUAUUCUGAACCAAGUAGUACUAGUCUUCAUUUUUAGCUUGAAAGAAAAUACUUGCGCACUCGAAUAUUGUUCGGCCAGAGCCUGCGAUAUGCUCACGAUACCAUGCAUCAUCCUUAUUGAAAAGGACGAUCUUAUGAUUGCGAAUGAAAAGGGGGGGGGGGGGGGGACUUGAAAACCUUGGGGUUGGGGACUAUUAACAUGACUAACAUGCAGAAAUGCCUCUUGAUGAAGUAGUGGUGGGAAAUGUGCCAACACAGUUGUUAUGGGUCAUUGGGUUCAAUUGCUCACGGCAAAAUACUUUCCUCGUGGAGAACACUUAUUCUCAGCCCCUCAUAAUAACCCUCAGUUUUGGAUAUAUCUCUUUAAGUUUCAAGGUGAUUUUGAGUGUGUUCUUCUACGCUUUCCACAUUUUUGCAUGCACUACGUACCUCAUUUCUUCUUACAAUUUGGAUGAUUGAUCUAGUAGUUCAUUACUAGUAUUACAGAAGUAUCAUGCGAGAGCUUUCUGGUGUGUGGCACCUGAGCCAACGAUGAUUGGUGAAGGAGUCCCCGUCUUCACACCACUAUGCAAUUGCUGGCAUAUAAAUAAGUCCAACGUUUACUUCAUGUGACAUCAUGUUCUUAUUAUGCACUGCUUGAAAACAUAGCUUAUUUGUUUUUAAUUCUCAUAUAAAUAAGUCCAAAAUAAAAGUAAUGAAAGAGCCAAAGUAUCUUCGUAUCGAAGUAAAACAUGAAAGUACAACUUGUAGCAUUGAGAAGGUCAUCAAGUUCUUAUUAUGCACUCCUUAUCGCUUAAGUUGGGAUAGUAGAGCUGCUUGUGCCAGCAUUAACUGACAAUCUGAAGGUUACCCCUUUCUCCUGAAACUUAGAUUAAUUUCCGUUUCAGUUGAGAAUUGGGCAUUCCUAGGUCAAGAAAAUUAGCAAAGGUCAUGCCCAAUUUUCUUGACCUAGAAGGUGCCCGAUUGUCAACCGAAACAAAAUCUUUAUCCUUUCUUGAAAACAGAGCUUAUUUCUUUUUAAUUCUUAUGUUUAUUUUUUAUGUGAGUGAAAUGGGUCCAAAAUGAUCUUAUUCAAACCCUUGAUUGCUUCCAUGAUUUUUCUGCCCAUUUGUUCUUGGAGUAAUUCUUCAUAUAGUUGUCUCUAUUCAAGUUGAUUGUAUAUUUCCAAGUUUUUUCUUAAAGCUAGCACCAAAGUUUUUUCUUAAAGCUAGCACCAAGCCUCUAUUCAAUCAGACAAAGGGUCUCGACCAGAUGGAUUCAAUGGAACUAUUACAAGAUAUGUGGUUAUUUUCAUGUAGGGUCAUUGAUCUUAUAUGUAUUAAUGUUUCCACAAUUACUUGGAUACCAAAUAAUAACUCCCUUAAAACCCCUAUUGACUACAUGAAUAUUUAUUUGCCUAGCUAUUAUUUAGAUUUGCUGGAAAUAUUGUUUGAUGGAAUGAUGGUGAUCUCCAAUUCAGAACAUUCUUCGGUUAGUCCGCAUUAAUCAAUAUGAGUUUAUUAUAUCCAACACCCUAUAAGAGUAUUUGCACCAUUGUAAGAGUUAUGGAAAAGAAUGUCAUCCAAUAACUCUACAUCUAUUCUUCUCAGAUUUUAUUAAUUAUUAAUCAAUAUGAUUUUUCUGCCCAUUAAUCAAUAUGAUUUUUCUGCCCAUUAAUCAAUAUGAUUUAAGGAUAAAGUAAGAUUUUGCUCAAGCCUAUAUAACCCCUUGUUGAUAUGCACGGUUAUGCAUACACAAAUUAAUACGCCUUUAUUUGAUUUUUCCCUGUCAGCCAUACCUCAUGUGUGCAGGGAACAUAGUUUAAUUUUAUUGGGGUUAUAUAUGUGUGAUUCUAGUACUUACUUAAUACGCCAUAGAUGAAAUAAGGAGCUACUCUAAAUCUAAGAAGAAUAGAUACUACCUUGAUCUCAUCCAAUAACUCUAAUCGCCUUUUUUCCUAUUUAGAGCGAACAUGGCCAACAACGAUGAGGCCGGCGGUUCGGGCAAGCCAUUCUGGGAGCUGUCCCAGGAGCUGGAGGAAGAACCUCACCGCUAUGAGGACACCGUGGAAGACACCGAUCCCGACUACACAACCCCUAGUGGCGUUGGGGAUGACACCACUGAUGGUGCCGCCGGGGAUUCCACCACUGAUGAUGGUAGCGAACGCACAAAUGGCAGCCAACCGAAGAAGCAACGGAAGGACUGGCGCCGAACGUGCUCGGCACCGCCUGGGAGGAAUUUACUGAAGUGUCCUCGAGUGGGCAUCCAACAGCGCCCAAAGAAUUAGUCGGUGGGUACGCGGGACAACUCGGGUGCAUUCUCCAAAGCACCGUCUCAAUCAACACCGAGAACCUAAGGCAUCAAAGCCGAGCGAAUUUGCGCAACCUCCUCUUCACGAAGCUGCACGAACGAUACAAGUUCCCCGCUGACGUCGGAAACACACGCCUCGCAGGGAAUAAAGUGAACAAUGCCACCCUCACGAAGAUGAGCACGACCCUGGCUACUUGGAGAGGCUCGGUGAAGAGAAGGAUUCUAAGAGGUGAUACUUAUGAGAAGAUCAAGGAGAGAAAUCCUUCGAUCAGCGAAGCUGACUACCUGGAGUUCAAGAUCAAGUGCGAGAGAAACGCAUCCGCGGAAUCAAGUGAGUGGGGGAAAGAUAUGCGGGACUUGAACUUAGGGGUCCACAAACUCGGUCCCGGCGGUUAUAGAGUGGCGGAACCUAAAUGGGACAAGGAGGACGUGGAGCGUGCCGAGCAAGGCCUACCGCCCCUCUUUGAUAAAUACCCUGAAAAGUAGACCAGGAACUAUGUCAGGGCCCGGUACAAGGUGGACCCGGUAACAAAGGAGCUUACCACGGAUCCGAAGGUGAAGGAGCUUGAGUGUGUUCUUGUAAGGAAUACACCCCCGCAUAAUUAGCUCCAUAUGGUUGCAUUCUAAUUAGUGAAGCCAAAUUACUAAAUGGUUCACGUUCCUUCCGCACGAAACUGAAACAGUAGCGCGGGGUCUCCGAGCUCCCCGUCUGCCCCUUGGGACAACACUCUAAAUAGGGUGUUGAACUUAAUGAAACACAAGGAUAAGCUCAGUAAGCCGUCGUCAGCUAGUCGUGUGGCCGACGAAGGCUUGUCCACGAAAUGGUCGGCAUACUAUAAGGCUGGGCGAAAGGACAGAAAGACCAUCUCGGAAAGCUAGGAGCGCGAGGUUAAAGAACUCAAGGCACAAGUGGCGCGGAUUCCGGAGAUAGUCCAAGAGCAACUGUGAGACCAACUUGGAGCGACGAUCACCGCCAUUACGCCUUCCUUGCUUGAGGGGCUGCGGGGGUGGAUUGCAGGCUGCCAACAAGGGCCGCCCCCGAUUCCUAGCUUCACGGGCAGCAACUCGCACAACGCGUCGUCAUCAGUGUCUCUGGCGAAGGCGGCAUUGCAGGUGCCUCCGGUGUCGGUGCCGGUAGUGGAGCUUAAUGCACCCGUGUGUGGGAAGAAUACGUCAGCCGGCACCUCAGCAUCAAGCGGCCCCUCCGUCACUUGCACGCCCGCCGUUGGCGGUGCCUUGACAUUAGCCGAGCUCGACGCCAUAACGGUAACUAAGCCUCGGCCGAUGACUUCUUCUCCUUGCCUUUUUUACUGGGAAUCCCUGACGCCCUACAUGUUUUCGUAGGGCGUCGCCAACAUUUCAUGCAUUCUCCUGCACUUCGUGGACGGCGAGUUAAUCGAUGUCGCCAAUGCCAAAAUCGUUGAACCGGGCGACCGCAUGUUCCACGGUAAUGCGAUGCCACCCACCGUGUGUAGCGUCCAACCGGUUCGGGUGCUGCGGGGCUGCGAUGACUUGUUACCUUCGUAUCGACCCGCUGGGGCCGACGAAGAUGAUGUGAUGACCCUCAGCGUCUGCUUAAACUGGUCCAUGCUUUGGCCGAAGAGCCAGAUUUGUUUGGGGGCGGGGGACACCACCCCACAGACAACACCGCAGUCAUGUCGGCGCCAAGCCAUGGCAAGACCGCUGCAACGCUACCGCCGUCAGCUGAUCUGGACAUGCAUACGGCACAGGAUCCGGACGACGACAAUGAUACAAUUUCCAACGUCGAUAAGUACAUCAACGAACAUGGGUACGGUGACGAUGACGACUUGUUCUGGCCUCCUUCUCAAGAAACCAACCCUGCAAAAGACGAUGGAGAUCUAGAUGGUACCACGGAGAAUCCCAAUUUCAAUAGGCGUCGGCUGUUCAGUUCUCAGGAGACGCCUCCAGCUCCUGGCUUCACCGAGACUCAAAUAGCCGAGGUGCGAAAUAUUAUCAGCCCGAACACACUAAAGAAGGUGGUCUCUGAGCAGAACUCGAUCCCAUUACAGCAGAAGAAGCAUAAGGGACAGAAAAGAAAAACUAACAAAUCCCAAGUUUCACUUUAGCUAAAGGUUCUAAGUGCCAUUCUUGUGUGCACGCAAAGCGACCUCGCAAGCCUCACAACAUUGUGGAAGAGAGACACUUGGCGCCAUUACAACUCUACAUUCUGAUCUCUGUGAGAUGAAUGGUGUGUGGACUAAAGGUGGAAAGAAAUAUUUCAUGCUAUUGAUAGAUGAUUCCACUAGUUAUUGCUAUGUGUAUGUGUUAAAUACUAAACAUGAGGCUCUACACUACAUUAAAAUCUAUAAGGGGCGAAAGUUGUGAACCAACUUGAAAAGAAAAAUUAAUGAGUCCACAUAGAUCAUGGUGGAGAGUACUUCUCUAAUGAGUUUGAUUCUUUCUCUGCGAAACACAACAUUUCAUGAGAGGAUGCCUUCCUAUUCACCUAGUCAAACAGGGUUGUUGAGCGAAAAAACCGUACUCUAAUUGAUUUGGUUAAAGCCAUGUUAGAUACAUUGGGUUUAUCUAAGGCAUGAUGGAUGGAGGCUAUAUUCACUUCAUGUCAUUUCCUAAAUAAGGUUCCGACAAGAUAUAGUGAGGUCACUCUCUAUGAGAAGUUGUCUAAGAGAAGGACAUCACUCUCCUACUUACGUACUUGGGGUUGUUUUGCGUAAGUCAAUGUAUUGAUCCCUAAAAAGCAUAAGCUUGGACCAAAAACAGUGGUGCGUGUUAAUUUGGGCAAUGUGAUACGUCUCCAACGUAUCUAUAAUUUUAUAUUGUUCCAUGCUAAUAUAUUAUCUAUUUUGGAUGUUUUAUAUGCAUUUAUAUGUUGUUUUAUAUUAUUUUUGGGACUAACUUAUAAAUCUAGAGCCCAGUGCCAGUUUUUGUUUUUUUCCACAUUUUUGAAUAUUGCAGAUAAAGAAUAUUAAAUGGAGUCCAAACGGUAUAAAAUCUCCGGAAAGAUUUUUUCUGGACCAGAAGACACGCAAGAGGCUUGGAGUAGGAGGCAAGGAAGUUGCCGGGCGGCCACAAGCCUGCAGGGCACGCCCUGGGGGGUGGCCGUGCCCCUGGCUUGUGGGCACCUUUAGGUCUCCUAACCCUAAUUCUUGGCCUCUAAAUUCCCAAAUAUUCCCGUAUCGCCAAAGAGAGCCACAAAUUUUUUUUACGCCAUCGGGAGCCUCUCUUCCGGAGAGAUCCAAUCUGGGAGCCAUUUCCGGUAAUCUGUCGGAGAUGGAAUUGAUCACGGAGGGCAUCUACAUCACCUCCAUUUCCCCUCUGAUGAUGUGUGAGUAGUUCACCACAGACCUACGAGUCCAUAGCUAGUAGCUAGAUGGCUUCUUCUUGCUAUUUGAUCUUCAAUACCAUGUUUUUCAUGAUGUUCAUGAAGAUCUGUAAUACUCUUUUGCGGUGUGUUUGUGGAGAUCCGAUGAAUUGUGAGUUUAUGUUCAGAUUAUCCAUGAAUAUUAUUUGAGUCUCUUCUGAAUUCUUAUAUGCAUGAUUUCAUAUCUUUGCAAGUCUCUUCGAAUUAUUUGUUUGGUUUGGCCAACUAGAUUGGUAAUUCUUGCAAUGGAAGAAGUGCUUAGUUUUAGGUACAAUCUUGCGGUGUCCUCACCCAGUGACAUAGUAGGGGUAGCGAUGCACGUAUUGUAUUGUUGCCAUCAAGGAUAAAAAGAUGGGGUUUUCAUUAUAUUACUUGAGUUUAUCCCUGUACAUCAUGUCAUCUUACUUAAUGUGUUACUCUGUUCUUCAUGAACUUAAUACUCUAGAUGCAGGAAGGAGUCGGUCGAUGUGUGGAGUAAUAGUAGUACAUGCAGAAUCGUUUCGGUCUACUUGAUACAGACGUGAUGCCUAUAUGCAUAAUCAUUGCCUUGUAUAUCUUCAUAGUUAUUUCAUUUUCUAUCAAUUGAUCGACAGUAAUUUGUUAGCACAUCGUAUUAUUUUCCUACAUGAGAGAAGCCUCUAGUGAAACCUAUGGCCCCUCGGUCUAUUUUCCAUAAUAUAUUUUUCAGAUCUAUAAACCAAAAAUAUCAAAAAUACCUUGCUGCAAUUUAUUUACUUGUGUUUUACUUUCCGAUCUAUCACUAUUUUAUACCUAUCUCUAUCAGAUCUCAUCCUUGGGGGGGGGGGGGAUAACUCUGAAGGGAUUGAUAACCCCUUUAUAGCGUUGGGUGCAAGUGUUUGGUUAUUUGUGUACGUACUACUAUUGGAGCCUUGCUAGUUCCUCCUACUGGAUUGAUACCUUGGUUCUCAACAAACUGAGGGAAAUACUUAUCUACUUUGCUGCAUCACCAAUUCCUCUUCAAGGGAAAACCAACGCAAGCUUAAGAGGUAGCAAGAAGGAUUUGUGGCGCCGUUGCCGGGGACGAUACAUAACAAGAUCAUGCUUUCCAAGUACCCAUCACAAACUCAUCUCUUGCAUUUACUUUAUGUUCCAUUUGCCUCUCGUUUUCCUCUCCCUCACUUCUAUUUUUUUCCAGAAAAUACGAAAAAGAUUUUCCUUUUAUAUUCGCCCUUUUUCCGUUCAUCUUUUUGUUUGCUUGCUUGUGUGCUAGAUUGCUUGCUUUCUCACGAUGGCUCAAGAGAAUACCAAGUUAUGUGAUUAUUCCAGUACUAAUAAUAAUGAUUUUAUUAAUACUCUGAUUGCUCCCGCUACUAGUGCGGAAUCUUGUGAAAUUAGUGCUGCUUUGCUCAAUCUUGUUAUGAAAGAACAAUUUUCUGGCCUUCCUAGUGAAGAUGCCGCAUCCCAUCUAAAUACUUUCGUUGUGUUGUGUGAUAUGCAAAAGAUGAAAGAUGUGAAUAAUGAAAUUGUUAAAUUAAAGCUAUUUCCUUUCUCAUUACGAGGUCAUGCCAAAACUUGGUUUUCAUCUUUACCUAAAAAUAGUAUUGAUUCAUGGAAUAAUUGUAAAGAUGCUUUUAUUUCCAUGUAUUUUCCGCGUGCUAAGAUUAUCUCCCUUAGAAAUGAUAUAAUGAAUUUUAAGCAACUUGAUCAUGAACAUGUUCCACAAUCUUGGGAGAGGAUGAAAUUAAUGAUUAUGAAUUUCCCCACGCAUGGUUUGAGCUUAUGGAGGAUUAUACAAAAAAAUUUAUGAGGGAUUGAAAUUUCCUUCUAGAAAUCUUUUAGAUUCAGCUGCGGGUGGUACCUUUAUGGAAAUCACAUUAGGAUAAGCUACUAAACUCCUAGAUAAUAUUAUGGCAAAUUACUCUCAAUACAAGAGAUGCGCACCGAAAGAUCUCUUACUAGUAAAAGACUGCAUGCUAUGGAAGAAAUAAAUACUUUGAGUGGAAAUAUGGAUGAAUUAAUGAAAUUGUUUGCUAGUAAGAGUUCUCCUACUGAUCCCAAUGAUAUGCCUUUGUGUUCUUUGAUUGGAAGUAAUAAUGAAUCUAUGGAUGUGAAUUUUGUUGGUAGGAACAAUUUUGGCAAUAAUGCAUAUAGAGGUAAUUUCAAUCCUAGACCAUUUCCUAGUAAUUCCUCUAAUAACUAUGGUAAUUCCUAUAACAAUUCUUAUGAAAAUUAUAAUAAUAUGCCCUCUGAUCUUUAGAAUAAUAUUGAAGAAUUCAUUAGCUUUCAAAAAGGUUUCAAUGCUAUGAUUGAAGAAAAAUUGCUCAAGAUUGAUGAUUUGGCUAGGAACGUUGAUAGAAUUUCUCUUGAGAUUGAUUCUUUGAAAAUUAGAUCUAUUCCACCCAAGCAUGAUAUUAACGAGUCUUUAAAAGCUAUGACAAUUUCUAUUGAUGAGUGCAACGAAAGAACCGCUAGAAUACGUGCUAAGCGUGAAUGGCUUGAAAACGUGUUUCCUCGUGAUAAUAUUGAUGAAGAUCUAAAAGUGAUUGGUGUGACACCUAUUGAAUCUUUGUUUUCAGAAUAAAUCUUGAAAAAUAUGGGACUGGAGAUGAGUCAACUUUAGCUAAAAGGUGUCCCAAUGAUUCGGAGUUCAUAGAUCUUAGUGAUAAGAUUGGUAAAAGUGGGAUGCAAGAGGUCAAAACUUUAAAUAGCAAUGAGCCCACUCUUUCGGAUUUCAAGGAUUUUUAUUAUGAUAGUUUCUCUUUAAUUGAUUAUAUUUCCUUGUUGCAAUCUAUGUCCAAUUCUCCACAUGCUUAUAGUCAAAAUAAAUCCUUUACUAAACCUAUUGUGGGUGCCAUGAUGAAAUAUUUUGAAGAGAAACUUGAGUUGGAAGUCUCUAUGCCUAGAAAACUUCAUGAUGAGUGGGAACCUACCAAUAAGAUUAAAAUUAAAGAUUAUGGGUGCUAUGCUUUGUGUCACUUGGGUGCUAGUAUUUCCACAAUUCCAAAAACUUUAUGUGAUGUAUUAGGAUUCCGUGAAUUUGAUGAUUGUUCUCUAAAUUUGCAUCUAGCAGAUUCUACAAUUAAGAAACCUGGAGGAACGAUUAAUGAUGUUAUUAUUGUUGCUAAUAGGAAUUAUUUGCCCAUAGAUUUCAUUGUUCUUGAUAUAGAAAGCAAUCCUAGAGGUCCUAUUAUUCUUGGUAGACCCUUCCUUAGAACGAUUGGUGCAAUUAUUGGCAUGAAAGAAGGUAAUAUUCGAUUCCAAUUUCCAUUAAGGAAAAGCAUGCAGAACUUUCCUAGAAAGAAAAUAAGAUUACCUUAUGAAUCUAUUAUGGGAGCCACCUAUGAAUUGCAUACCAAAGAUGAUAAUACCUAGAUCUAUUGCAUUAUGCCAAGCUAGGGGCGUUAAAAAAUAGCGCUUGUUGGGUGGCAACUCAAUUUUAUUUGUUUUGCUUUUGGGGGGGGGGGGGGGGGUUUUUGAGUACUCACAUAUUAUUACCUCUGUAAUAAUUGUGCUUUCCUGUUUUAGUUAGUGUUUGAGCCAAGUAAAACCUUUGGGAUAGUCUACGGUGUUUGCAAGUUGAUUUUGCGGGAAAAACAGAAACUUUCUCUCUCAGUCCAGGAAUUUUAUAAAUUCAAUGGAACGUGAUUUUGAGAUGAAACUUAUACACAAUAUUGUCUUACAAAUUUCCCAGAUUUUCCUAAGUUUUCAUAAGUUUUGGAGUUAGAUAAGUAUUCUAAGUAAAUAGAUUGCUACAGACUGUUCUAUUUUUGACUGAUUUUGUUUUCCUAGUGUUGUUUGCUCAUUUGGAUGAAUCUAUGGGUUGUAUCGGGGCGUAUGGACCAUGGAAAAAUUGGAAUACAGUAAAUAUUACAUCAAUAUAAAUAAAGAAUGAUUUCACAACAGUACCUAAAGUGGUGAUUUAUUUUUCUUAUUCUAACGGAUCUCAUGAGUUUGCUUAUUUUUCUUGUUGUGAAAUUUUCAAGUUUUGGGUAAAGAUUUGAUGGAAUAUGGAAUAAAGAGUGGAAAAAUCCUAAGCUUGGGGAUGCCCAAGGAACCCCAAGUCAUAUUCAAGGAUACCAAAUAGCCUAAGCUUGGGCAUACCCCGGAAGGCAUCUCCUCUUUCGUCUUCAAUCCGUCGGUAAAUUUACUUGAGGAUAUAUUUGUAUUCACCACAUGAUAUGUGUUUUUCUUGGAUCGUCUUGUAUGGUAUGAGUCUUCACUUCUUAGUUUUCCACAAUCAUCCUUGCUUCACAAAUCUUUUGAGAGAGACACACACACUGAAUAAUGAAUUUAUUAGAAUACUCUUUAUGCUUCAAUUACAUCUUUUGAGCUAGGCAAUGAUGCUCUAGUACUUCACUUAUAUCUUUUAGAUCAUCGUGGUGUUGUGGACUUUUUAAACUCUCGUACCUCACUUAUAUUAUUUUGAGAGUUCCUUAAACAACAUGUUGAUACGUCCAAAAUUCACCACUAUUUUGUAUCAUAAUUUAUCUCUAUUCAUUGAUAUAUUUCACUUUAUGAUGAUGUACUUAUAGUGUUUUGGCUUAUUGUACACAGUUUCCAACUUUCCGGUGCCAAAACAGUAGACGCAGGAUUUAUCAGAGAAAAUAGCACGAAGAGUUGCAAUAUCAUAACAUCUCCAAUUAAGCUAAAAUUUUAAGGGAAGAAAUUUCCGAACGGGUCCUGAAGAUAGGCGAAAGAAGGGCCGGAGGGGGGCCAGAGGUCACCCAAGCGACCCGCUGGUGCGGACGCCCCUAGGUCGCGCCAGGAGGCCGCCUGAGUGACGGGCCCCACCCCGGCACUCUCCUUUGGCCUAUAUGUCCCUCUUGACCUAAAAAUUCUAGAGACAGCAGAGUUUUCGCGACUCCGCCUCCGCUCCGCGGCGGAAACCUAGAGAGAAGAAAAGACCUUUCUGGCGGGCAGAUUCCGCCAGGGAGAACUCCUCCCAGAAGGGGAGAUCAUCCUCAUCGUCAUCACCAUUGUCACGGGCAUCAUCGAUAUCAUCAUCGGGGGGGGCCAACACCAGCACCAUCUCCACCUUCAUCCCAUCUACUUCACCGUUGCAAUCGGAGUUGUACCUUGCACUAUUCAUCCCCUCUACUCUACCGGUGUUGAUUACUCUUUUUUGGUGAAUGCUAUUGAGUUUUGUUGGAGAAUUAUUGUUAUGACCAGAUUGUUAAUCAUAUUUUCAUCACCUCUGAUCAUGAUCUCUUUUAUGUCUUGUGAGUAGUUCCAUUAGUUCUUGAGGACAUGGGAAAAGUCUAGAUGCGAGUAGUCAUAUGAUAUUGAAGUAAUAUGUGUUGAUUGAUAUUUAAGUUAUGGUGUUAUUCUUAUAGUGGUGUUAUGUGAACGUCGACUACAUAACACUUCGCCUUUUUAAUGACCUAGGGGAAUGCAUCGUGUAUAAAGAAUGCUUAUGGUGGGUUGCCAGAGUGACAGAAACCUGAACCCCAGUUUGCAUAGUUUUGCAUGAGGGGGUAUUGGAUCCUAAAGCUUAUUGCUAUGGUUAGGAUUUGCGUUAAUUUCUCUCUUGUAUUUGCAGAUGCUUGCAGGAGGGAUUAAUCAUAGGAGUGUACUUGUCUUAGCCUAGACGAUGCACUAGUUAAGAUCCACCCACAUAACACUUAUCAAUACAAAACAUAGUACUAGACGGAAUAUGACGAAAGCACUUGACUAUCUCUCCCGUGUGUCCACAAGAACGCCUUAGUCUUUAUAAGUUUAGUCCCUCGGCUUAUCCUUUGUGUUCAAAAGGAUUAGGCCACUUGCUGCACCUUGGCACCAUUUACUUUACUUGCAUUUAUUUCCUUGUUGCUUAUACUAGAAAAUCCAUAAAAAGUUACCUUUGAGUACUUGCAGUUAUUCCUUGCUCAAGAUCACUUGUCAAUACCUUCUGCUCAUCGUUUGGUUCGACACACUUAUCGAAAAGGCUACGAUAGAUUCCCUACACUUGUGGGUCAUCAAGACCAUUUUCUCGCGACGUUGCCAGUGAGUGUAGAGCUAUUGGUAAGUGAAAUUGGUAAGGAAACCUUUACACUGUACGUGCUGUUUUUGUUUUACUGUUUCCACUUUUUGUCCCUAUGGACAACUCCUCUCUUGAUUUGUUUCUUGUGGGGAACCGCCCCAACGCUAUUUUGGUGGAUAUGCCUCCCUCAUCUACUGAAAUUUUGCCUUUUAAAAUACCAACUUCUAUUAUUGAUUGUGUUUUGGCUAAUCGAUAUGUAGGAGAUAGACAUUUAGGUGAACACUUGCUAUAUCUUUCACAACUAUGCUCCUUAUUUAAGCUCGCAGGUAUAUCGAUGGAUUUUGUUAUGAGAAAAUUCUUCUCUCUAUCAUUAAAAGAUAAGGCUUUGGAUUGGUAUAGGCUUCUUUAUGACUCUCAUUUACUAAAUUGGCAAGAUCUUAUGCCUCUCUUUUAUGCAAAGUUUUAUCCUCUUCAUGAAAUACAUCAAGACAAGAAAUAUAUUUAUGGGGGGUAUUUUGGUCUCGUGACGGAGAAAGCAUCGCUCAAGCUUGGGGGAGAUUGAAAUCCUUAAUGCUCAAAUGCCCCAAUCAUGAGCUCUCCCAAGAAAUUAUUCUCACAAAUUUUUAUGCAAGGCUUUCUCGACAAGAUAAAGAGAUGCUUGAUGCUUCCUCUAGUGGGGAAUUCUCCAAGAAAAGCACUGAAGCUAAGUGGGAUCUUAUUAAAAGGAUCCAUAUGAACACUGUAGACUGGGAAUUUGAUAAAGGUAUUGAACCCGUUAUAAAUUAUGAGCGUGAUUACAUUGAGAGCUAUGUGAAAACUGAUUACUUCAAUACCUUUUGUGCUAAGACUGGUCUUGAUUCCCAGCUUCUAAUUGUUUUUUGCAAAGACUUUGCCUCUCAUAUCGAUUCUUCUCAGAAGAAGGAGGAUCAACAUCAUAAACCUUUUAAGGAAUUACCUGUUGAUAUUAAUGUUGUUGACCCUAUCUUGCCUGAAGUUGAAUAUGAAAAGCCCCCUUUUCCCUCAAGGAUGAGGGAGCGUUCUUUUGUCAGAGGCAAACUGAAUAAAAGUGAAAGAACGACCGAUCAGCAUGAGGACUUGAUUAAAUUUGAUCCCCAAGUUGCAUUAGUCAAGGAUCUUGUUACUAGUAAUAUUGAGGAUUCCAAUAUAAAUUUUUGAGCUGUUUCCACUAACCUUGUUACACACAAGAAUAAAGGCCCAAUUUCAGGUACUCCAGUUGUAUCUGUUAAAAUAGGAGAUCAUAAUUAUUAUGGGCUAUGUGAUUUGGGAUCCAGCGCUAGUGCUAUUCCUUUUUUCGCUUUAUCAAGAGAUCAUGAAUGAGAUUCUACCAUGUGAAAUUGAAGAAGUUGAUGUUACUAUUCAUCUCGCGAACAAAGAAACUACCUCUCCAAUUGGAAUUGUGCAGAUGUUGAAGUUCUAUGUGGAAAGGUAAAAUAUCCUACCAACUUUCUAGUACUUGGUUCAGUACAAGAUAGUUUUUGCCCUAUUAUCUUUAGUAGGCCUUUCUCAAAACUUGUGGAGCUAUUAUAGAUUGCAGGAAAUGAAAAGUAUCUGUUGAAUUUAGUGGUGACCCAUAUGAAUUUUACUUUUCUAAAUUCUCGACGCAAACUCGUGGUACUGAUCUGCCUAGUAAUGAUAAAAUUAUUGAAGAUAUUGCUUCUCUUGCUAUACCUCCUAAUGAUCCUUUGCAGCAAUUUAUGGAAAACCACGAGAAUGAUAUGCAUAUGCAGGAAAGGAAUGAGCUAGAUGAUAUAUUCUCUCGACAACCUGCUAUCCUGAAGCACAACCUUCUGGUUGAACCUUUGGGAAUUUUAUCAAAACCGAAAGAAGACCCGGUGUUUGAUCUUAAACCUCUUCCCAGUAUGCUUAAGUAUGCUUAUUUAGAUGAAAAUAAAAUAUAUCUUGUUAUUAUCAAUUAUAACCUUUCAGGAUAUGACGAAGAGCGAUUAUUGGAAGUACCCUUCGUAAACACCGAGGUGCUAUUGGUUACACCCUUGAUGAUCUUAAGGGGAUUAGUCCAUCUAUUUGUCAGCAUACUAUCAAUCUUGAGCCUGAUGCUAAACUGGUUGUUGAUCAUCAAUGACGGUUAAACCCGAAGAUGGAUGUUGUGAGAACCGAAAUCCUCAAACUUCUAGCCGCAGGUAUUAUCUACGCUAUAGCUGAUAGUAAGUGGGUAAGUCCAGUACAUUGUGUUCCCAAGAAAGGAGGUACGACUGUGGUUCCUAAUGAUAAGAAUGAACUAAUACUUCAAAGAAUUAUUAUUGGAUAUAGAAUGUGUGGUGAUUACAGGAAGCUGAACAAGGCAACCAGGAAGGACCACUACCCGCUGCCGUUCAUCGAUCAAAUGCUUGAAAGGUUAUCCAAAAAUACUCAGUUUUGCUAUCUUGAUGGGUACUCUGGCUUCUCUCAAAUUCAUGGUAAUACUGCCGAUCAAGAGAAGACCACUUUUACUUGCCCCUUUGGUACUUAUGCUUAUAGACAUAUGCCUUUUGGUUUAUGCAAUGCUCCUGCUACUCUUCAAAGGUGUAUGUCCGCUAUCUUUCAUGGUUUUUGUGAGGAAAUUGUGGAGGUCUUCAUGGAUGAUUUCUCCGUCUAUGGAACCUCUUUUGACCAUUGACUCCACAACCUUAAUAAAGUUUUGCAGAGAUGUGAGGAGACGAACUUGGUACUUUUUUUUAAAGUUAGCAGGACAGUUUCUAAGAUUCAUUGCAGGAGAAGAAGACGAAGAUGGCUGAAAGUACUAAGUUUACUGAAGGAAAACCGGGCGAAAACCUGUACAGAACACACCAUCCACAACGCCUAGCUAAGCUAGGCUAAAAGCACACAGAGUCAUACAAUAAUGCCAAAAGGCCUAGCCAACACAACACAGACACAAAGGCACAUCGUUAAGGAGGUCGGUGUCAUCGUAAAUCACCAUCCGUGCUCACGGCCUGACGACUUCAACUUCACCCAAGAGACCAUUCUGUCGCGAUGAUCAUGACCGCCACAAGCAUGCUGGACGGCCCUCUUGACACGAGAGCGAGAAUACAUACCCGAUAAGGAGCGGGCAUAUGCCAGCUACCUCUUGAGCUUGCAUUGGUUAUUCCCUUGAAGAGGAAAGGGUGAUGUAGCACACUAGAAAUAAGUGUUUCCCUCGGUUUUAGAACCAAGGUAUCAAUCCAGUAGGAGUAUCAAGGCAAGUCUCCAAAGUACCUGCGCAAAAACAGCAAACUUGCACCCAACGCUACAAAGGGGUUGUCAAUCCCUUCACGGUUAACUGCAAGGUGAGAUCUAAAGGCGGAAAGUGCAACAAAGUAAAAGUGUAAGGCUGGAAAUAUGGUGUGAAGUAGACCCGGGGGCCAUAGUGUUCACUAGAGGCUUCUCUCAUGAUAGCAAAUAUUAUGGUGGGUGAACGAAUUACUGUCGAGCAAUUGAUAGAACCGCGCAAAGUCAUGACGAUAUCUAAGGCACUGAUCAUACAUAUAGGCAUCAUGUCCGAGACAAGUAGACCCUUACUUUCUGCAUCUACUACUAUUACUCCACCCAUCGACCGCUAUCCAGCAUGCAUCUAGUGUAUUGAGUUCAUAACAAACAGAGUAUCGCCUUAAGCAAGAUGACAUGAUGUAGAGGGGUAAAUUCAUGUAAUAGAUAUAACCCCCAUCUUUUUACCCUUGAUGGCAACAACAUGAUGCGUGCCUCGCUACCCCUUCUGUCACUGGGUGAGGUCACCGCACGGUAUGAACCCAAAACCAAGCACUUCUCCCGUUGCAAGAAUUAUAGAUCAAGUUGGCCAAACGAAACCCACAACUCGAAGAGAAUUACAAGGAUAAGAAAUCAUACAUAUAAGAGAUCAGAAGAAACUCAAAUAAGAUUCAUAGAUAAUCUGAUCAUAAAUCCACAAUUCAUCGGAUCUCAACAAACACACCGCAAAAGAGGAUUACAUCGGAUAGAUCUCCAUGAAGAUCAUGGAGAACUUUGUAUUGAAGAUCCAAGAGAGAGAAGAAGCCAUCUAGCUGCUAGAUAUGGACCCGAAGGUCUAUGGUGAACUACUCACGCAUCAUCGGAGAGGCAAUGGUGUUGAUGAAGAAGCCCUCCGUAUCCGAAUCCCCCUCCGGCAGGGCACUAGAAUGUGCCCCAGAUGGGAUCUUGCGGAGAGAGAAGCUUGCGGCGGCGGAAAAGUAUUUUCGUGGCUCCUUUCCGUGGUUUCAGAUUUUUCGGGGAUUUAUAGGCGGAAGAACUAGGGCAGGGGAGACACAUGGGGCCCACAAGCCUGCUAGGCCCGCCCCCCCUAGGCCGGGCCUGGGUGGCUUGUGACCUCCUCCGAGGUCCCCUGCCUUGGUUCUCAAGUCUCCCGUGUGUCUUCUGUUCCAGAAAAAAAAUCUUUUCGGAGGUUUUAUUCCGUUUGGACUCUGUUUGAUAUUCUCCUCUGAAAAAGGUCAAAAUCACGGAAAAAACAGGAACUGGCACUUGGCACUGAGUUAAUAGGUUAGUGCCAAAAAAGAUAUAAAAUAGCAUAUUCAUGCAUACAAAACAUCCAAAGAUGACAAGAUAAUAGCAUGGAAGCUUCAAAAAUUAUAGAUACGUAGGAGACGUAUCAAGCAUCCCCAAGCUUAACUUCUGCUCGUCCUCGAGUAGGGAAGUGACAAAGACUGAAUUUAUGAUGUGGAAUUCUACCUCACUUAUUUGUCCUUUGUAACUUCUUUCUUGUGGCAUGAAUGUUCAGAUCCGUGAGAUUCAAAACAAUAGUUUGCUAUUGACAUGAAAACAAUAAUACUUCAAGCAAACUAGCAAGGUAAUCAUGAACUUUUGAAAUAACAAGGCCAAAGAAAGUUAUCCCUACAAAAUCAUAUAAUAUGGCUAUGCUCCAUCAUCCCCACACAACGAAUUUAAAUCAUGCACAACCCCGGUAUUGGCCAAGUAAUUUUUUUUGCACUCUUACUUUCUCAAACCUUUUAAACUAUCACGCAAUACCUGAGCGUGAGCCAUGGAUAUAGCACUAUAGGUGGAAUAGAGUGUGGUGGAGGUUGUGAGGCAAAAAGAAGGAGAUGGUCACAUCGACUCGGCGUAUCAAAGGGCUAUGGAGAUGCCCAUCAAUAGAUAUCAAUGUGAAUGAUUAUGGAUUACCAUGCAACGAAUGCACGAGAGCGAUAAGUAUGUGAUAGCUCAAAAGAAGAACUAGUGGAUGUGCAUCAACUUGCUUGCUCACGAAGACCUAGGGAAAUUUUGAGGAAGCCCAUCAUUGGAAUAUACAAGCCAAGUUAUAUAACAAAAAUUCCCACUAGUAUAUGGAAGUGUCAAACCGAGAGACUCUCUAUCAUGAAGAACAUGGUGCUAUUUCGAAGCACAAGUGUGGAAAAAGAUAGUAGCAUUGCCCCUUCUCUCUGUUUCUCUCAUUUUUUUGUUUGGGCUCUUUGGCCUCUUUCCAUAUAUUUUUCUGUGGGCAACUUUGGACUCCUUUUUUUAUUUCCUCACAUGGGACAAUGCUCUAAUAAUGAUGAUCAUCACACUUUUAUUUACUCACAACUCAAUGCUUAGAACAAUGAUGACUCUAUAGGAAAUGCCUCCGGUAGUGUAUUGGGAUGUGCAACGAUAUAGCUUAGUGUAUGACGUUGAAUCAUCUCUCUAGCUAUCUUACGAUCAUGCAAUGGCAAUACGAAAGUUACGGCACAUGUCAUGAGACGGGACGGUGGGAGUUGCAUGGCAAUAUAUCUUGGAAUGGCUAUGAAAAUGCCAUAAUAGGUAGGUAUGGUGGUUGUUCUGAGGAAGGUAUAUGGUGGGUUUGUGCACCUGCAAAAGUUGCGCGGCACUAGAGAGGCUAGCAAUCGUGGAAGGUGAAAGUGCAUCUAUACCAUGAACUCACAUUAGUCAUGUAGAACUCAUAUACUUAUUGCGAAAGUUUUUAUUAGUAAUAGAAACGAAGUGCUAAAUGCAUACUCCUAGGGUAAGGGUUGGUAAGUGUUAAUCAUCACGCGAUCCCGACCACAACACAAAGGAUGACAAUCAAUAAAUCAAUUAUGCUCCGACUUCCUAACAUAGCGGUUCACCAUACGUGCAUGCUACGGGAAUCACUAACUUCAACACAAGUAUUUCUAGAUUCACAACACACUACUAACAUAACUCCAAUAUUACCAAAUCCAUGUCUCAAAACUAAUUGAGAUGGAUCAAACUUCUCUUCACUAAUCAAUGCACAUGAAUAUGGAAGUUUCAUUAUAUCCUCUUUGGACGCCUAUCAUCUUUAGGACUACUUUCAUAGCACAAGCCAACUACCAAGUUACUCAGAGAGAGCACUCUCAAAAAGAUAUAAGUGAAGAUCGAGAGUUCUUAUUUCUCCAGAAUAUGACACCGUCGUGCUCUAAAAAGAUCUAAGUGAAGCACUAGAGCAAAGUUAUCUAGCUCAGAAGAUAUAAGUGAAGCACAUGUGAGCUAAAUUGCCUAACUCAAAAGAUAUAAGCGAAGCUCAAUGAGUAUUCUAGCAAAUUCACGAUGAGUGCAUGUCUCUCUCAAAAGGUGUGCAGCUAGAUGAUUGUGACACAAAAAAAAGACUCCUAUAAUACACGAUGCUCCAAGCAAAACACAUAUCAUGUGGUGAAUAAAAAUAUAGCUCCAAGUAACGUUACCGAUGGAUUGAAGACGAAAGAGGGGAUGCCUUCCCGGGGCAUCCCCAAGCUUAGGCUUUUUGGUUUCCUUGAAUUUGGCUUGGUAUGCCUUGGGCAUCCCCAAGCUUGAGCUCUUUCCACUCUUUAUCCCAUUGUCCAUGAGAACAUCACCCAAAACUUGAAAACAUCACAACACAAAACUUAAACAGAAACUCGUAAUAUCAUUAGCACAAGAAAACAAACUACCACCUCUUUAGGUAUUGUAUAAAACUUGAUUUCUAUUUUUAUUGGUGUUAGAUUACUGUAUUCUCACUUUUCCAUGGCUAGUACCCCCGAUACUAUCCAUAGUUUCAUCAAAAUAAGCAAUCAACACAAACAAAACAGAAUCUGUCAAAAACAGACUAGUCUGUAGCAAUCUGUAUACUUCGUAUACUUCUGGUAUCUUAAAAUUCUGCACAAUUACGAAAAUUUGGGGAAUUUUCAUAUCAACCAGCAGCAAACAGAAUCAACUCAAAAGAUCUUUCUGGAUAAAAAUGAAAAAUAAUUUCGUGAGCGAAAAGUUUCUGUCUUUUUCAGCAAGAUCAAACAACCAUCACCAAAACUAGUCAUAAAGGUUUUACUUGGCACAAACACAAAAAGAAACACAAAAAACACAAUCAUAACAUAGUUAUGAUGGUGUGGACGCAACAAAACAGAAAGCAAAAAGCAAAGAUAAAUUCAUUGGGUUGCCUCCCAACAAGCGCUAUUGUUUAACGCCCUUAGCUAGGCAUAAGGCGAAAGAAUCACGUAUCGUCGUGUUUGGUGCUCAAACCAUAAGUAGCCCUCAUCAUGGAUUCAUAAGGCAAUCUUAUUUUGUUUAUAGGAAAAUGUUCCAUGCCCUUCUUUAAUGGAAAUUUAAAUCUAAUAUUCCCUUCCUUCAUAUCGAUGACAACACCAAUAGUCCUUAGGAAAGGUCUACCAAGAAUGAUAGGACACGUCGGAUUGCAAUCAAUAUGAAGAACAAUGAAAUCCACGGGUACAUAGUUCCUAUUUGCAAUAAUAAGAACAUCAUUGAUCCUUCCCAUAGGUUUCUUAACAGUAGAAUCCGCAAGAUGCAAAUUAAGAGAGCACUCAUCAAUCUCAUUGAAGCCUAGAACUUGAAAUAAGGACUUUGGAAUAGCGGAAACACUAGCACCCAAAUCACACAAAGCAUUGCAUUCAUAGUUUUUGAUCUUGAUUUUGAUAGUAGGUUCCCAUCAUCAUGAAGUUUUCUAGGAAUAGAAACUUCCAAUUCAAGUUUCUCUUCAAGAGAUUUCAUCAUAGCAUCAACGAUAUGAUUGGUAAAGGCCUUGUUUUGGCUAUAAGUGUGUGGAGUGUUUAGCAUGGAUUGCAUCAAGGAAAGAUAUUCAAUCAAAGAGCAACUAUCAUAAUUGAAUUCCUUGAAAUCAAAAGUAGUAGUUUCAUUACUACUCAAAGUUUUGAUAUCCUCUACUCCACUUUCAGUGCUUUUAGCAUCAAGAUAGAUAGACUCCGAAUCAUUGGGGCGUUUCUCAGCCAAAGUGGAUUCAUAUCCAGCCCCAUCAUCAUUAGGUUUGACAUUAGAAAACAAGGAUUCAAUGGGAGUCACACCAAGCACUUUAAGAUCUUCGUGAUUCUCAUCACGAGAACACGCCUUCUCAAGACAUUCAUGUCUAGCACGAAUUUGGGCGGUUCUUUCUUUACUCUCACUCAUGGAAACAUGCAUAGCUUUCAAAGUUUCAUCCAUAUUGAUCUUGGGAGGAGCACAUCUCACUUUCAAAGCAUCAAUAUCAAGAGACAUUCUAUCAACGGUCCUAGCCAAGUCAUCAAUUUUGAGUAGUUUUUCUUCUAUGGACGCAUUAAAAUCUUUUGUGAGUUGAUAAACUCUUUAAUAUUACUCUCUAAAUCAGUGGGUAAUUUGUUGUAAUUUCCAUGAGAAUUGUUGUAGGAAUUGCCAAAGUUAUUAGAGGGGUUACUAGGGAAAGGCCUAGGAAUAUAGUUUCCUCUAAAAGCAUUGUUGUGGCCAAAAUUAUUCCUACCAACAAAAUUAACGUACAAUCUCUCAUUGCCACUAUCAAUCAAGGAAGACAAAGGCAUGUCAUUUGGAUCUAAAGGAGCACCUUUACUGGCAAACAAUUUCACCAACUCAUCCAUCUUAGCACUCAAAGAGUUAAUUUCUUCUAUAGCAUGUACUUUUUUACUAGUAGGUGACCUUUCAGUGUGCCACUGGAAAUAGUUUGUCAUGAUAUUGUCUAGGAGUUUUGUGGCUUCUCCUAGUGUGAUUUCCAUGAAAGUUCCACCGGUGGCGAAAUCAAGGAUAUUUCUAGAAGCAAAAUUCAAACUAGCAUAGAAGAUUUGUAUAAUCAUCCAAAGACUCAAGCCAUGAGCGAGACAAUUUCUAAUCAUCAAUUUCAUUCUCUCCCAAUAUUGUGCAACAUAUUCAUGAUCUAGUUGCCUAAAAUUCAUGAUAUCACUACGGAGAGAGAUAAUCUUAGCCGAUGGAAAAUACUUGGAUAUAUAAGCAUCUUUGCACUAGUUCCAAGAAUCAAUACUAUUUUUGGGCAAAGAUGAAAACCAAGUUUUGGCUUGAUCUCACAAUGAGAACGGAAAUAGCUUCAGUUUGAUCACAUCAUUAUCCACAUCUUUCUUCUUUUGCAUAUCGCAUAACUCAAUGAAGGUAUUAAGAUGGGAUGCGACAUCUUCACUAGGAAGGCCGAAAAAUUGCUCUUUCAUAACAAGAUUCAGCAAAGCAGCAUUGAUUUCAUAUGAUUCCGCACUAGUGGCGGGAGCAAUCGGAGUACUAAUGAAAUCAUUAUUAUUAGUAUUCGAGAAGUCACAAAGUUUGGUGUUUUCAGUCAUGGCGACUUCACAAAGCAGACAAGCACACAAGCAAACAGAAAGCAAGCGAAAGAAAAGGGCGAAUGAAAAAGGCAAAUAUUUUUGUUUUUUUUGGUUUUUCAGAAGUGGGGGAGAGGAAAACAAGAGGCAAAAAAAGUAAAUGCAAGAGAUGAGUUUGCGACAAUUACUAGGAUAAGCUUCACUCAGAACAGUCCCCGGUGCCAGAAAUUGACACGUUGGAGGAAGACUAUUCUUGACUUGAUACUCCCCGGCAACGACGCCAGAAAUUCUUCUUGCUACCUCUUGAGAUUGUGUUGGUUUUCCCUUGAAGAGGAAAGGGUGAUGCAGCAUAGUAGCAGUAAGUAUUUUCCCCAGUUUGAGAACCAAGGUAUCAAUCCAGUAGGAGUAUCAAGGCAAGUCUCCAAAGUACCUGCGCAAAAACAGCAAACUUGCACCCAACGCUACAAAGGGGUUGUCAAUCCCUUCAUGGUUAACUGCAAGGUGAGAUCUGAAGGCGGAAACUGCAAGUGUCAAUCCCUUCAAGGCUGAAAAAUAUGGUGUGAAGUAGACCCGGGGGCCAUAGUGUUCACUAGAUGCUUCUUUCAUGAUAGCAAAUAUUACGGUGGGUGAACGAAUUGUUGGAAUUAUGCCCUAGAGGCAAUAAUAAAUAUAGUUAUUAUUAUAAUUCCUGUAUGAAGAUAAUCGUUUAUUAUCCAUGCUAUAAUUGUAUUGAAUGAAGACUCAUUUACAUGUGUGGAUACAUAGACAAAACACUGUCCCUAGCAAGCCUCUAGUUGGCUAGCCAGUUGAUCAAAGAUAGUCAGUGUCUUCUGAUUAUGAACAAGGUGUUGUUGCUUGAUAACUGGAUCACGUCAUUAGGAGAAUCACGUGAUGGACUAGACCCAAACUAAUAGACGUAGCAUGUUGAUCGUGUCAUAUUGUUGCUACUGUUUUUCUGCGUGUCAAGUAUUUGUUCCUAUGACCAUGAGAUCAUAUAACUCACUAACACCGGAGGAAUACUUUGUGUGUAUCAAACGUCGCAACGUAACUGGGUGACUAUAAAGAUGCUCUACAGGUAUCUCCGAAGGUGUUCGUUGAGUUAGUAUGGAUCAAGACUGGGAUUUGUCACUCCGUGUGACGGAGAGGUAUCUCGGGGCCCACUCGGUAAUACAACAUCACACACAAGCCUUGCAAGCAAUGUAACUUAGUGUAUGUUGCGGGGUCUUGUAUUACGGAACGAGUAAAGAGACUUGCCGGUAAAUGAGAUUGAAAUAGGUAUGCGGAUACUGACGAUCGAAUCUCGGGCAAGUAACAUACCGAAGGACAAUGGGAAUGACAUACGGGAUUAUAUGAAUCCUUGGCCCUGAGGUUCAAAUGAUAAGAUCUUCGUAGAAUAUGUAGGAUCCAAUAUGGGAAUCCAGGUCCCGCUAUUGGAUAUUGACCGAGGAGUCUCUCGGGUCAUGUCUACAUAGUUCUCGAACCCGCAGGGUCUGCACACUUAAGGUUCGACGUUGUUUUAUGCGUAUUUGAGUUAUAUGGUUGGUUACCGAAUGUUGUUCGCAGUCCCGGAUGAGAUCACGAACGUCACGAGGGUUUCCGGAAUGGUCCGGAAAUGAAGAUUGAUAUAUAGGAUGACCUCAUUUUAUUACCGGAAGAUUUUCGGAGUUACCGAGAAUGUACCGGGAAUGACGAAUGGGUUCCGGGAGUUCACCGGGGGGGGGGGCAACCCACCCCAGGGAAGCCCAUAGGCCUUGGGGGUGGCACACCAGCCCUUAGUUGGCUGGUGGGACAUCCCAAGAAGGCCCUAUGCGCCAUAGGAAGAAAAUCAAAGAGAAAAGAAAAAAAAGGAGGAGGUGGGAAAGGAAAGAAGGACUCCACCCACCAAACCAAGUAAGACUCGGUUUGGGGGGGAGACCCUCCCCCCUUGGCUCGGCCGACCCCCUUAGAUCUCCUUGAGCCCCAAGGCAAGGCUCCCCCUCUCCCACCUAUAUAUACAGAGGUUUUAGGGCUGAUUGACAUGACUUUUCCACGGCAGCCCGACCACAUACCUCCACGGUUUUUCCUCUAGAUCGCGUUUCUGCGGAGCUCGGGCGGAGCCCUGCUGAGACAAGAUCAUCACCAACCUCCGGAGCGCCGUCACGCUGCCGGAGAACUCUUCUACCUCUCCGUCUCUCUUGCUGGAUCAAGAAGGCCGAGAUCAUCGUCGAGCUAUACGUGUGCUGAACGCGGAGGUGCCGUCCGUUCGGCACUAGAUCGUGGGACUGAUCGCGGGACGGUUCGCGGGGCGGAUCGAGGGACAUGAGGACGUUCCACUACAUCAACCGCGUUCACUAACGCUUCUGCUGUAGGGUCUACAAGGGUACAUAGAACACACAUCCCCUCUCGUAGAUGGACAUCACCAUGAUAGGUCUUCGUGCGCGUAGGAAAAUUUUUGUUUCCCAUGCGACGUUCCCCAACAGUGGUAUCAGAGCUAGGUUCAUGCGUAGAUGUCUUCUCGAGUAGAACACAAAAGUUUUUGUGGGCGGUGAUGUGCGUUUUGCUGCCCUCCUUAGUCUUUUCUUGAUUCCGCGGUAUUGUUGGAUUGAAGCGGCUUGGACCGACAUUACUCGUACGCUUACGAGAGACUGGUUUCAUCGCUACGAGUAACCCCGUUGCUCAAAGAUGACUGGCAAGUGUCAGUUUCUCCAACUUUAGUUGAAUCGGAUUUGACCAAGGAGGUCCUUGGAUGAGGUUAAAUAGCAACUCAUAUAUCUCCGUUGUGGUGUUUGCGUAAGUAAGAUGCGAUCCUACUAGAUACCCAUGGUCACCACGUAAAACAUGCAACAACAAAAUUAGAGGACGUCUAACUUGUUUUUGCAGGGUAUGCUUGUGAUGUGAUAUGGCCAACGAUGUGAUGUGAUAUAUUGGAUGUAUGAGAUGAUCAUUUUUUAAUUGAUAAUAUCGACUUGCACGUCGAUGGUACGGCAACCGGCAGGAGCCAUAGGGUUGUCUUUAUACUAACGUUUGUGCUUGCAGAUGCGUUUACUAUUUUCCUAGGAUGUAGCUUUAGUAGUAAUAGCAUGAGUAGCAUGACAACCCCGAUGGCGACACGUUGAUGGAGAUCAUGGUGCGGCGCCGGUGACAAGAAGAUCGUGCCGGUGCUUUGGUGAUGGAGAUCAAGGAGCACGUGAUGAUGGCCAUAUCAUGUCACUUAUGAAUUGCAUGUGAUGUUAAUCCUUUUAUGCACCUUAUUUUGCUUAGAACGACGGUAGCAUUAUGAGGUGAUCUCUCACUAAAAUUUCAACACGAAAUUGUGUUCUCCCCGACUGUGCACCGUUGCUACAGUUCGUCGUUUCGAGACACCAUGUGAUGAUCGGGUGUGAUAGACUCAACGUUCACAUACAACGGGUGCAAAACAGUUGCGCACGCGGAACACUCGGGUUAAGCUUGACGAGCCUAGCAUGUGCAGACAUGGCCUCGGAACACAUGAGACUGAAAGGUCGAUCAUGAAUCAUAUAGAUGAUAUGAUUAGCAUAGGGAUGCUUACCACUGAAACUAUAGUCAAGUCACGUGAUGAUCGGACUUGAGCUAGUGUAAGUGGAUCAUGAACCACUCAAAUGACUAGAGAGAUGUACUUUUUGAGUGGGAGUUUAGCGAAUAAUUUGAUUAAGUUAAACUCUAAUUAUCUUGAACAUAGUCUAAGUCCACUUUGAAUAUAUUUGUGUUGUGGAUCAUGGCUCACGCGACAGUCACCCUGAAUUUCAAUACGUUCCUAGAGAAAGCUAAGUUGAAAGAUGAUGGAAGCAACUUUGUAGACUGGGCUAGUAAUCUUAAGCUAAUCUUACAAGCUGGGAAGAAGGAUUAUGUCCUUAAUGCUGCGCUAGGUGAUGAACCACCCGCUACGGCUGAUCAGGAUGUUAAGAACGCUUGGUUAGCACAUAAGGAGGACUACUCAGUAGUUCAAUGUGCGGUCUUGUAUGGCUUAGAACCGGGACUUCAACGUCGGUUUGAGCAUCAUGGAGCAUUUGAGAUGUUCUAGGAGUUGAAGUUUAUGUUUCAGAAGAACGCCCGGAUCGAGAGGUAUGAGACCUCCGAUAAAAUCUAUGCUUGCAAGAUGGAGGAGAACUCGUCUGUUAGUGAACAUGUGCUCAAAAUGUCUGGGUACUCAAACCGUCUAGCUGAGCUGGGGAUUGAACUCCCGCAAGAGGAUAUCAUUGACAGAAUCCUUCAAUCACUGCCUCCAAGCUAUAAAGUCUUUGUGUUGAACUACAACAUGCAAGGGAUGAACAAGUCUCCCGGCGAGUUGUUUGCGAUGUUGAAAGUCGCAGAGUCUAAACUCCGUAAAGAGCAUCAAGUGUUGAUGGUGAAUAAGACCACUAGUUUCAAGAGAAACGGCAAAGGCAAGAAGGGUAAUUCAUAGAAGAGCGGAAAGCCUGUUGCCAACCGACGAAGAAACCCAAAGUUGGACCUAAGCCUGAAACAGAGUGUUACUAUUGCAAGGGUAUGGGUCACUGGAAGCGCAAUUGCCCCAAGGAUCUAGCAGAUAAGAAGGCGGCCAAAGAAAAAUCAGGUAUAGUUGAUAUACAUGUUAUUGAUGUGUACUUAACCGGCUCUCGUAGUAGUGCCUGGGUAUUUGAUACCGGUUCUGUUGCUCAUAUUUGCAACUCGAAACAGGAACUGCGGAAUAGAUGAAGGCUGGCGAAAGAUGAAGUGAUGAUGCGCGUAGGAAAUGGUUCCAAGGUUGAUGCAAUCGCCGUCGGCACAGUUUCACUUCAGUUACCAUCAGGAUUAGUUAUGAACUUGAAUCAUUGUUAUUUAGUGCCUGCGUUGAGCAUGAACAUUAUAUCUGGAUCUUGUUUAUUGCGAGGCGGUUACUCUUUUAAGUCAGAGAAUAAUGGUUGUUCUAUUUCUAUGAGUAACAUCUUUUAUGGUCAUGCACCCAAUGUGAGAGGAUUGUUCAUAUUGAAUCUUGAUAGUGAUACACACAUACAUAACAUUGAGACCAAAAGAGUUAGAGUUAACAAUGAUAGCGCAAUAUUUUUGUGGCACUGCCGCUUAGGUCAUAUUGGUGUAAAGCGCAUGAAGAAACUCCAUGCCGAUGGACUUUUGGAGUCACUUGACUUUGAUUCACUUGACACGUGCGAACCAUGCCUCAUGGGCAAGAUGACUAAAACUCCGUUCUCCGGAACAAUGGAGCGUGCAAGUGACUUGUUGGAAAUCAUACAUACCGAUGUGUGUGGUCCGAUGAGCGUAGAGGCACGCGGCGGAUAUCGUUAUUUUCUCACUUUCACUGACGAUCUGAGUAGAUAUGGUUAUGUCUACUUAAUGAAGCACAAGUCUGAAACAAUUGAAAAGUUCAAGCAAUUUCAGAGUGAAGUUGAAAACCAUCGUAACAAGAAGAUCAAGUUCCUACGGUCUGAUCGUGGGGGUGAAUAUCUGAGUUUCGAGUUUGGUGCUCACUUAAGACAAUGUGGAAUUGUUUCACAGUUGACACCGCCUGGAACACCACAGCGUAAUGGUGUGUCCGAACGUCGUAAUCGUACUUUAUUAGAGAUGGUGCGAUCUAUGAUGUCUCUUACCGAUUUGCCGUUAUCGUUUUGGGGUUAUGCAUUACAAACAGUUGCAUUCACUUUAAAUAGGGCACCAUCAAAAUCCAUUGAGACGACACCAUACGAACUGUGGUAUGGCAAAAGGCCAAAGUUGUCAUUUCUUAAAGAUUGGGGAUGUGAUGCUUAUGUCAAAAAGCUUCAUCCGAUCCUGAAAAGCUGGAACCCAAAGCGGAAAAAUGUGUCUUCAUAGGUUACCCGAAAGAGACAGUUGGGUACACCUUCUAUCUCAAAUCCGAAGGCAAAGUGUUUGUUGCUAAAAACGGAGCUUUUCUCGAGAAGGAGUUUCUCUCGAGAGAAUUGAGUGUGAGGAAGAUAGAACUUGACGAGGUUGUCGAACCUCUCAUCCCUCUGGAUGGUGGCGCAGGGCAAGGGGAAACCUCUGUCGUUGCGACGCUGGUUGAGGAGGAAGUUAAUGAUAGUGAUCAUGAAACUCCGGUUCAAGUUUCUGUCGAACCACGCAGGUCGACGAGAGCACGUGCUGCUCCAUAGUGGUACGGUAAUCCCGUCUUAUCAAUCAUGUUGUUGGACAACAAUGAACCUGCAAAUUAUGAAGAAACAAUGGUGGGCCCAAAUUCCAACAAAUGGCUAGAAGCCAUGAAGUCCGAGAUAGGAUCCAUGUAUGAGAACAAAGUGUGGACUUUGGAGGUACUGCCUGAGGGCCGCAAGGCUAUUCAUAACAAAUGGAUCUUUAAGAGGAAGACGGACGCUGACGGCAAUGUGACCGUUUAUAAAGCUCGACUUGUGGCAAAGGGUUUUUCACAAGUUCAAGGAGUUGACUACGAUGAGACAUUCUCACCCGUAGCAAUGCUUAAGUCCGUCAGAAUCAUGUUAGCAAUAGCUGCAUUUUUCGAUUAUGAAAUCUGGCAGAUGGAUGUCAAAACGGCGUUCCUUAAUGGUUUCCUUAAGGAAGAAUUGUAUAUGAUGCAACCCGAAGGUUUUGUCGAUCCUACGAAUGCUAACAAAGUGUGCAAGCUCCAGCGAUCCAUUUAUGGACUGGUGCAAGCAUCUCGGAGUUGGAACAAACGCUUUGAUGAGGUGAUCAAAGCAUUUGGGUUUAUACAAAUGGUUGGAGAAUCUUGUAUUUACAAGAAAGUGAGUGGGAGCUCUGUGGCGUUUCUAAUAUUAUAUGUGGAUGACAUAUUGCUGAUUGGAAACAACGUAGAGUUUUUGGAGAGCAUAAAGGAUUACUUGAAUAAAAGUUUCUCUAUGAAGGACCUAGGAGAAGCUGCUUACAUUCUAGGCAUUAAGAUCUACAGGGAUAGAAACGCCUGAUAGGACUUUCACAAAGCACAUACCUUGAUAAAGUUUUGAAGAGGUUCAAAAUGGAACAGUCCAAGAAAGGGUUCUUGCCAGUUUUACAAGGUACGAGAUUGAGUAAGACUAAAUGCCCAGCAACUGAUGAGGAUAGAGAGCAUAUGCGCACCGUCCUCUAUGCUUCAGCCAUAGGUUCUAUCAUGUAUGCAAUGAUGUGCACUAGACCGGACGUUAGCCUGGCCAUAAGUAUGGCAGGUAGGUUCCAGAGUAAUCCAGGAGUCGAUCACUAGACGGAGGUCAAGAAUAUCCUGAAGUACCUGAAAAGGACUAAGGAGAUGUUUCUCGUGUAUGGAGGUGACGAAGAGCUCGCCGUAAAAGGUUACGUCAAUGCAAGCUUUGACACAGAUCCGGACGACUCUAAGUCGCAAACCGGAUACGUAUUUAUUCUUAAUGAGGGUGCGGUAAGCUGGUGCAGUUCCAAGCAAAGCGUCGUAGCAGAUUCUACAUGUGAAGGGGAGUACAUGGCUGCCUCGGAGGCGGCUAAGGAGGGUGUCUGGAUGAAGCAAUUCAUGACGGAUCUUGGAGUGGUGCCAAGCGCACUGAAUCCAAUAGCCUUGUUCUGUGACAACACGGGUGCCAUUGCCUUAGCAAAGGAACCACGGUUUCACAUGAAGUCCAGACACAUCAAACGGCGCUUCAACCUCAUCCGCGACUACGUCGAAGGGGAGGACGUAAAUAUAUGCAAAGUGCACACGGAUCUAAAUGUAGCAGACACGCUGACUAAACCUCUUCCACGGGCAAAGCAUGAUCAACACCAGAACUGUAUGGGUGUUAGAUUUAUUACAAUGUAAUUCGCAUGAUGAUGUGAGGGCUAGAUUAUUGACUCUAGUGCAAGUGGGAGACUGUUGGAAUUAUGCCCUAGAGGCAAUAAUAAAUAUAGUUAUUAUUAUAAUUCCUGUAUGAAGAUAAUCGUUUAUUAUCCAUGCUAUAAUUGUAUUGAAUGAAGACUCAUUUACAUGUGUGGAUACAUAGACAAAACACUGUCCCUAGCAAGCCUCUAGUUGGCUAGCCAGUUGAUCAAAGAUAGUCAGUGUCUUCUGAUUAUGAACAAGGUGUUGUUGCUUGAUAACUGGAUCACGUAAUUAGGAGAAUCACGUGAUGGACUAGACCCAAACUAAUAGACGUAGCAUGUUGAUCGUGUCAUUUUGUUGCUACUGUUUUUCUGCGUGUCAAGUAUUUGUUCCUAUGACCAUGAGAUCAUAUAACUCACUAACACCGGAGGAAUACUUUGUGUGUAUCAAACGUCGCAACGUAACUGGGUGACUAUAAAGAUGCUCUACAGGUAUCUCCGAAGGUGUUCGUUGAGUUAGUAUGGAUCAAGACUGGGAUUUGUCACUCCGUGUGACGGAGAGGUAUCUCGGGGCCCACUCGGUAAUACAACAUCACACACAAGCCUUGCAAGCAAUGUAACUUAGUGUAAGUUGCGGGAUCUUGUAUUACGGAACGAUUAAAGAGACUUGUCGGUAAACGAGAUUGAAAUAGGUAUGCGGAUACUGACGAUCGAAUCUCGGGCAAGUAACAUACCGAAGGACAAUGGGAAUGACAUACGGGAUUAUAAGAAUCCUUGGCACUGAGGUUCAAACGAUAAGAUCUUCGUAGAAUAUGUAGGAUCCAAUAUGGGUAUCCAGGUCCCGGUAUUGGAUAUUGACCGAGGACUCUCUCGGGUCAUCUCUACAUAGUUCUCGAACCCGCAGGGUCUGCACACUUAAGGUUCGACGUUGUUUUAUGCGUAUUUGAGUUAUAUGGUUGGUUACCGAAUGUUGUUCGGAGUCCCAGAUGAUAUCACGGACGUCACGAGGGUUUCCGGAAUGGUCCGGAAACGAAGAUUGAUAUAUAGGAUGACCUCAUUUGAUUACCGGAAGGUUUUCGGAGUUACCGGGAAUGUACCAGGAAUGACGAAUGGGUUCCGGGAGUUCACCGGGGGGGGGCAACCCACCCCGGGGAAGCCCAUAGGCCUUGGGGGUGGCACACCAGCCCUUAGUGGGCUGGUGGGACAGCCCAAGAAGGCACUAUGUGCCAUAGGAAGAAAAUCAAAGAGAAAAAAAGGAGGAGGUGGGAAAGGAAAGAAGGACUCCACCCACCAAACCAAGUAGGACUCGGUUUGGGGGGGAGACCUUCCCCCCUUGGCUCGGCCGAGCCCCUUGGGGCUCCUUGAGCCCCAAGGCAAGGAUCCCCCUCUCCCACCUAUAUAUACGGAGGUUUUAGGGCUGAUUUGAGACGACUUUUCCACGGCAGCCCGACCACAUACCUCCACGGUUUUUCCUCUAGAUCGCAUUUCUGCGGAGCUCGGGCAGAGCCCUGCUGAGACAAGAUCAUCACCAACCUCCGGAGCGUCGUCACGCUGCCGGAGAACUCUUCUACCUCUCCGUCUCUCUUGCUGGAUCAAGAAGGCCGAGAUCAUCGUCGAGCUGUACGUGUGCUGAACGCGGAGGUGCCGUCCGUUCGGCACUAGAUCGUGGGACUGAUAGCGGGACGGUUCGCGGGGCGGAUCGAGGGACGUGAGGACGUUCCACUACAUGAACCGCAUUCACUAACGCUUCUACUGUACGGUCUACAAGGGUACGUAGAUCACACAUCCCCUCUCGUAGAUGGAUAUCAGCAUGAUAGGUCUUCGUGCGCGUAGGAAAUUUUUUGUUUCCCAUGCGACGUUCCGCAACACGAAUUACUGUCGAGAAAUUGAUAGAACCGCGCAAAGUCAUGACGAUAUCUAAGGCAAUGAUCAUACAUAUAGGCAUCACGUCCGAGACAAGUAGACCGAUACUUUCUGCAUCUACUGCUAUUAGUCCACACAUCAACCGCUAUCCAGGAUGCAUCUAGUGUAUUAAGUUCAUAACAAAUAGAGUAACACCUUAAGCAAGAUGACAUGAUGUAGAGGGGUUAAUUCAUGCAAUAGAUAUAAACCCCAUCUUUUUACCCUUGAUGGCAACAACACGAUGCGUGCCUCGCUACCCCUUCUGUCACUGGGGGAGGUCACCGCACGGCAUGAACCCAAAACCGAGCACUUCUCCCAUUGCAAGAAUUAUAGAUCAAGUUGGCCAAACGAAACCCACAACUCGAAGAGAAUUACAAGGAUAUGAAAUCAUGCAUAUAAGAGAUCACAAGAAACUCAAAUAAUAUUCACGAUAGUCUGAUCAUAAAUCCACAAUUCGUCGGAUCUCGACAAACACACCGCAAAAGAGGAUUACAUCGGAUAGAUCUCCAUGAAGAUCAUGGAGAACUUUGUAUUGAAGAUCCAAGAGAGAGAAGAAGCCAUCUAGAUACUAGCUAUGGACCCGAAGGUCUAUGGUGAACUAGUCACGCAUCAUUGGAGAGGCAAUGGUGUUGAUGAAGAAGCCCUCUGUAUCCGAAUCCCCCUCCGGCAGGGCACCAGAACAUGUCGCAUAUGCGAUCUUGCGGAGACAGAAGCUUGUGGUGGCAGAAAAGUAUUUUCGUGGUUCCUUUCCAUGGCUUCAGAUUUUUUGGGAUUUAUUGGCGGAAGAACUAGGGCAGGGGAGCAACAGGCGGCCACAAGCCUACUCGGCCCGCCCCCUAGGCCGGGCCUGGGUGGCUUGUGACCUCCUCCGAGGUCCCCUGCCUUGGUUCUCAAGUCUCCCGCGUGUCUUCUGUUCCAGAAAAAAUCUUUUCUGAGGUUUUAUUUUGUUUGUACUUCGUUUGAUAUUCUCCUCUGAAAAAGGUCAAAAACACGGAAAAAAAAGAACUGGCACUUGGCACUCAGUUAAUAGGUUAGUCCCAAAAAAGAUAUAAAAUAGCAUAUUCAUGCAUACAAAACAUCCAAAGAUGACAAGACAAUAUCAUGGAACCAUCAAAAUUAUAGAUGCGUUGGAGACGUAUCAGUGCCGCUUCGGUCUCGAGAGGACAACCAACCUGACUUGUCUGGCGCUGCCUCCAUGUCAAGAGUGCUCCGGUCGCCCCACACCGCCAAUCAACUGCUGGCCAUAACCUUAGGCACCGCCACGGACAUCGCACCAUUUGUAAGCUCCCCGCCAACCACUCAACCACGGACAAGAUGAUCCUGCCAAGAGGUCAAAUCUCCAAAAACGAUGCUUCCUUCGAAGAAAUGACGCCAAAAGCGCCAUCAUCGCCGAUCCAACUAGCAGAUCUAGGUUUUCACCUGGAGAGAGAACUCGAGAACAAGAUAGAUGCGAAAAACUCUUCCAUGAUGCCUUCAACAAGGAAGAAACAUCCACAAAUGUUGCCAUCACCGACAAAAAGCCAGGCUUUCGCCCAGAGAGAUUCACACCUACGCCUAACGGCCUCGGCCCGGGCGCAUCCAGCACCAGAUCUGGAACCUCAUGCUCCUUCCCUCCUGGCCGGAGCAAGAACAUCGACACCGCAGCACCAUCCGACGACCCAGCGCCCAGACACAGCAAGCCCAAAUCGGCCCGGUCCUCGUAGCAGCCCGAGUGGGCCAGAUCUAGCCGACAUGAGCCACCAUCGCGCGACCACCGAACGCAACAGCAUUGCACAUCUAGCGCCACCACCGUCGGACACCAGUGCGCCCUGACCAUGACAGCCAUAGUCUCGGCCGCCGCCAUGACGGGCAUGCCAGAGCCCAGAUCUGGCCGAAACCGACCAUGGCUACGACCUCCAGCCCACCAUGGCGCACCCUAGCUCCGAAGGGAGACCGCCGUGGAUGCACACCGCCGCACAUAGAAGCCCUGGUGCAACCACAUCCAGCGGGAAGCACGGCCAAGCCGAGGCGACGGUGGCGGCGAGCGAAGGAGAGACCAAAAAUGGGAAGAGCCCCGCCGCCGCCGUCAUGGGAACCUGCCCGGCUUUGCCGGCGGCACCUCUGGCGGCGGCGAAAUAGGGGAACGGAGGGGAGGUAGGCGGUGGCGCCGAGUAGGGUUCCGCCCCCGUGUCGCUGACGAACUUGGUACUCAACUGUGAGAAAUGCCACUUCACGAUCAAUGAGGGAAUUGUUCUUGGCCACAAGAUUUCUGAAAGAGGAAUCGAGGUGGACACGGCAAUGAUUGAAGCAAUCAAGAGAAGGCCUUAUCCGAAAGACAUCAGAGCUAUUCGUAGUUUCCUCGAUCAUGUUGGUUUCUAUAUGAGAUUUAUUAAAUAAUUUCCUAAAUAUUUUAAACCCCUUACUAAUCUUCUCCACAAGGAUAUUCAUUUUGUGUUUGAUGAAGAUUGUAAGGAAGCCUUCGAAGUUCUUAAGAAAGCCUUGAAAACAGCCCCUAUGUCCAACCACCCGAUUGGAAUUUGCCUUUUGAAAUCAUGUGUGAUGCUAGUGAUUUUGCUGUUGGAGGUCUGUUAGGACAAAGGGUUGAUAAGAAAUUGAAUGUUAUCCAUUAUGCUAGGAAAACCCUUGACACUGCUCAAAAGAAUUACUCUACAACUGAGAAAGAAUUUUUAGCGGUAGUGUUUUCUUGUGAUAAGUUUAGGCCUUACAUUGUUGAUUCCAAAGUCAUUAUUCAUACUGAUCAUGCUGCUAUUAAGUAUCUUAUGGAAAAGAAGGAUGCCAAACCAAGGCUUAUCAGAUGGGUCCUUCUUCUUCAAGAAUUUGAUUUGCAGAUUGUUGAUAGGAAAGGAGCGGACAACCCUGUAGCAGACAACCUUUCCAGGAUGGAGGACAUACCACAUGAUCCUAUUCCGAUGAAUGGUAGUUUUCCUAACGAACAGUUAGCUGUUUUGCAGGUGAAAUCUAAUUCAGAUCCAUGGUAUGCAGAUUAUGCGAACUUUAUUGUUCCAAAGUUUUGUUUUGCCUCCAGGUUUAACAUUCCAGCAGCGGAAGAAGUUCUUCCACGACUUGAGGUAUUACUUUUGGGAUGACCCACAUCUUUUUAGAGAAGGUGCGAAUGGAAUUUUGAGGAUAUGCAUACCGGAGCAUGACAGUCCUUAUGGACGACAUCAUGCCGGUGAGAGGAUCGCACACAAGGUUCUUGAAUCAGGUUUUUAUUGUCCGACUCUAUUUAAAGAUGCUAGAAAUUACGUUUUAUCCCGUGAUAAGUGCUAGAGAGUUGGUAAUAUUAGUAGGAGGAAUGAGAUGCCUAUGAAUUAUUCGCUAGUCAUUGAGCCUUUUGAUUGCUGAGGUUUUGAUUUUAUGGGUCCUUUUCCUCCUUCACACAAAUACACUCACAUCUUAGUAGCUAUAGAUUAUGUGAACAAGUGGCUUGAAGCAAUCCCCACUAAGAGUGUUGAUCACAAGACAUCUUUGAAAAUGCUCAAGGAUGUAAUCUUCCCUAGGUUUGGUGUACCUAUGUACCUCAUGACCGAUGGAGGAUCUCAUUUUACACACGGUGCUUUUAGAAAAUCUCUAGCCAAAUAUGAUGUUAAUCAUAGAAUUGCUGCACCUUACCACCCUCAAACA